AAUUCUUUAGGGAGAUGGCCAUAGAAAUGGUUGCUACUCAAGUCGAGAGAGAGUAGAAAUGAAAGAUUUCCAAGGUGUGGAGGGAUAGUACCCCUAAGAUUCAUGCUUGUAAGAUUCAAAGCUAUAACUCUUUUAUGGAGGAUGCCACAAGAAACACCAAUCCAAUUGCAAACAGAGGUUGAGACCGUCCAAUUGUUUGGCAAGACAUUUUGAGGACCGGCGAUGCGAUCCUUAAACUCGAGAAGUGCAAACUGGUCGAAGUUGAGAUUCCUGACUGUCAUAGCCAAGCAAAGUACGGAACAUGGUAUGAAUAAAGCUAAAAGAAGAUGAAAGCAAGUGUUGUAGUUCAUGAUUGCAAGACGGAAUAAGCCAAGAAAAUAAAAAAAAAGUAGGAAAAGGGAAGUUGAGUUGAUAAAAUAGUUUGGAUGAUGAAGAAAAGCCCAGACAGCAUGCUUUAAUAUGUUUCAACCCUCGCACACUUGAUAAACUUGAUAAAAAUAUUUUGAUCUAAUAAAUGUAAAAAACUUUUUAAACAAAAUAAGGUUGAAAUAAUCUAUUUGUCCUUAUACUUUGAUAAAAUUUGAGAUUUAGUCCUUAUACUUAAAAGGUUAAAAAUAAAGUCUUCUUGUUUUUAUUUAAAAAUCUUAGUCCUAACGUUAAUUUUUUUUGUCAAAAUUUGUCAACUUUACAUAUUAAUUAGGUUUCCCUUAUAUGUCGUGAUAUAUGACUAACACAAAAUAAGCAAGUUGAUAAAUUCUGACAAAAAAUACCAAAGAUGAUAAUAAUUGAAUUAAAAUUUUUAAAUUGAAUUUAUAACCUUUAACGUAUAAGGAAUGGAUAUCAAAUGUUUAUAGGAAUAAAGGGACUAACAGCAUAUUUUAACCAUAAAAAAAUAUGAGUGAUUAGAAUGAAUCUAAAAUUUUAUAGAAAUAAAAGAGACUAACAACAUAGUUAUAACUUUGAGAUCUCCUUCGAUCAUCCUUUUUCUACGUGGAAAAAGAAAAUUAAUUAGCAUCUAAAGUUUCAAGUAAUGAAACCUUGAAAAGAAAAGGUGAAAGUGAUUUAUCAAACAAUAAUAGUCUAACUUAUAAUAUAUUUAAUUACAUUUAGUAAUUUAUCAAUCAAAACUUAAUUAACAUCCAUCAAUACUUCAUACAUAAGUAAAUUUACCAUUUAACUCAGAUUUAACUUUGCAAGUAAACUUAAAGUUUUAUUUAAUUUUGUCACUAAAUUUGAUUUGUUCAAUAUAGAUUUUGGUGACUUAAAACAAAAUUAAUAAAAAAAAUUAUUUUUUCAGAUAUGUUUUUAAUAUUUAAUAAUAAGUUAAUUUAUAAAAUAUACUUUCAUUGGACACAGGCAUCCAAGGCGGUGAACCACUGAUCAAAUUAAUUCAGAGAUACCUAAAUUUGCUUUCAUCAAUUAAUUAAGAAAUUAAAUUUUUAAAAAAAAUUGUUGAGACCUCAUGAUUAUCUUUUAUAAUUUCAGUCUUAUCAACUAUUUUGAAAACAACAAAACGUCUUACACCAAAACCUAAAAAAUAAAAACGUCGACAUUAAAUUUGUUGGUAUGCAAUCAAUUUUAAGAUGGUUUUUGGAGUUAUAUAUCACUUUAGCAUUGACUUACUUUUCUACAGUUAGUCUUCUCCAACAAGUUAAAUAUUUCAAUUUUAACAACAUUGAAAGGUUUUGGCGUAGAGUCGAGCAAAACUCAAUAGAAACAGAUGAUAUAGGUUGAGUUGGCUCGGCCAAGUCGAGUCGACUUGUUCAAAUUAGUUAAAUUAGUAAAUUUUAGGGUGCAGUUAGAAUUUUUUAUUUUGAGAUGCUAAGAUGAAAAACUUUGAGUUGCUAAAACAAAAAUUUUGUAUUUAAAAAGGCAUAAAUUAAAUUAUUAAGUUUUUCAAGUUUCCAUUUAAUCAAAGGUUAAAAAGGACUAAAUUGAAGCUUUUUAUUUUUAAGAAAGGCUGAAUGACAAAUUGCUCAAAGCCCAUGCCCCUAGCUAUACGCCCCUGUUAAAAUCAAUUUUAAAAUUAGUUAUAAUAGUUGAAGCGAAUUGAUUAUUGAGUAAUGAAACACAUCAUUCAACAAAAUAAACAAGUUGACAAAUUUUGACAAAAAAUAUCAAAGGUGAUAAUAAUUAAAUUAAAAAUUUAAAUUGAAAAAAUAAGGAAUUGAAUUUAUAACUUUUAAAGUAUAAAGAAUGAAUUUAUAACUAACAUAUUUUAACCACAUAAUAAAAGUAGUUAUGGAGAGUAUCAUGUAAAAUAAUGACCUGAAUGAAAUAAGAAUAGAAAAGAAAGAGUAGCCAUUUUAUGAAAUUUAUAAUUCCAACUGUGAAUAAAAUAUAAAUUUUAUGAAUGUGGACAAGACAUUUUAUUUAACUUUUUUUAAAGUCAUUUUGUUUGUUUCCUAACCACCAUGAAAUUACUUGUCACAAUUCAUCUUUUUAAAUGAGAAACAUUUUCCACAAUUUGCUAUCACUUUAACAUACACUAACUUUUCUAUGAUUAGUCUUUGGUUUGCUUUGGGUGCAAUCUUCCAACUAGCCUUAUCAGUGGUUUGACUUUCCAACAUUUAGUGUAUCACGAGUUUUGUUUUCUUUAAAAAAUAUUUUUGUGGAUAUUAGGAGAUAAUGACAAUUAUUUUACUGUGAAAUUUUAAUAAAACUGAAAGAUUAGUAAUUUAUUUUAAGAGAUCACAAUUAAACAUUAGGUUUCUAAUUUUUUAAUUUUAAAUUUUUUUGACAAUUGCAUAAUUAAUAAGGUACCAAUUUUGAGCAUUGUAGGAAUGCUAUAACCUUCCCUACGCAUAAUCGCCUCUUGAGCAUGAUGGAUCCUAGACCUUAUCCUCUAUUCUCGUAUCACAAAUUGCUUUGAGUGUGAGUUCGAACAAUCACAUAUUAAGCACAAAACCAGAAAUGAAUUAUUACUUUCAAUGGCAAAGUAAUUCUCUCUCAAUAGAAACCAAUAAAAUUGUAAUUCCAAGAAAAUAAAAUUUAGUUUUUGAAAAUAUAUUCUCACUGCUUUCUAGCAGAAUAACAAUAUGUGAAACUCAUGUCAAUGUUAAUAGCUCUACCAGUACUAUCUAUUUAUAGGGAGAGACAUGAGAAUCCUGGUUGAAUUAGUAAAACACAAGUAAUAUUUAUUUCAUAGAAAACAAUAUUCUACUCUAAGUAGAUCAAGUUUGGAUGACGCAUGGAUCGAAGCUCAAUCUAGGAGAAAAAAAUAAAGGAAUUUUCUCUGUAACGAAAAUCUGAGAUUGUACUAUUUUCGAAGUUAUAAAUAAAAUUAUACGCCAAAUUUCAAGUCAAUUUUCAACUCAAAUUUUAUAUAUACAAAUUUCUAAUACACUUGGUGGGACAUUCUUUGACUUUUAUCUAUUCUCUCAAAAAGUUAAAGUUCAAAGUUGCAUUAAACUCAAAGAAGAUAAUCACUAGUAAACCAGCUCACAAGCCUGCUCAAGCUAAUCCUACAACUCUUUCCACUUCAUCAUCAAACACCAAUGUUCUUGCUUAUCCUUAUGGAAUUAAACAAAAGACAAAAGCUCUUUAAGAGUUAUUUGAAAAGACAAAAGAUUCAGAUGUGUUGAGAUGGAAAGUGACAAUACAAUGUUGAUUGAAACUAUUCGUAAUGGGUUGGCUACAAUAACUAGUGUUGCUGAAGUAAGACAGAUUCACCAUUGGUGUUCCAAAAAUUGGGAAGUCAAACUUCGACAUAUUUAGCAGAAUGCCAAUAAAGUUGUUGAUUGCAUAGCUAAGGCAAAUGGAGGCGUAAUUGAGCAGCUGGUUAUCUUGGAAGAUCCUCCGAAUUAUGUGAGAUGCUAGCUUGAAGAAGAUAUUAGACAAUCACUGGUGACUGAUGAUAAUUUUCAUUUAGACUGAUGAGCGCUUAAUUUUCUAAGCUUAUGUUCAACAAAAAAAAAAAAUUAAAUGUCUAAAUUGUAAUAGAGUUAACAUUAAGUGUUUAAAAAAUAUCUUAAAAAUUAUUUUUUCCAAUUGCAGUUCAAUUCCACAAAUAUCGAUGAUGAACCCGGACAUAAAAGUUACAAAAAAAAAACACAUCUCUUAUCAAACCAGCAAUCCAUGUCUAAACUUAAAUUAACAAAAUUCGCCACGCAACCCGGUACACUAUUAUAUAUAUAUACUAGAUUUAUUCUAGAUGCACAUGUUUUAUUAUAUUUAAAAAUUAAAAUAUAUGGUUGACUAAGUUUUAGUUGAGUUAGUAUUGGUAUUAUUGUCAUUGUUGGAAAAUGUGAGUUUAACCGUGCUCAAAUGUGUUUUAUCCUCCAAUUCAAGGGUUAGGAAAAGGUUAUUAAUAAUUAAAUUAUACCAACUUUUAUGAUAUUAAAAAAAGGAUUUAUAAAUAAUAUAAGGAAAAGAAAAAAAAAAAAGAGAAACAUAUUCAUAUUGAUGGGCUCUUUCAAUAUUAGACUUUUUCUUUCUAUCACAAGUAAAAAUAUCAAAGGUGAUAAUAAUUAAAUUAAAAAAUUUAAAUUAAAAAAAUGGGGAUUGAAUUUGUAACUUUUAAAGUAUAAAGAAUGAAUUUAUAACUAACAACAUUUUUUAACCACAUAAUAAAAGUAGUUAUGGUAAAAUAAUGACCUGAAUAACUUUAAACGUCUCAUCCUUGCAAAAAUGAAAUAAUAGAAAAGAAAUAAGUGUUGGGUGUAGUGACAAUGUACAUUAUACUUCUAAGGGGAGAUCAGGGUUUUAGACAAGGGAAGAAUUUUAAACCUACUUUUUUUCUCUAGAACUCAACACAAACCUCAAAUUUAUCUUUUUAAAAGAAUUUUAAAAUAUCUAUAUAAAAGGUGAUUUUUUUACCAAUCACACUUAACAAAAUUUUAAAAUUUCUUUUUUUGAAAUUUAAAGUGAUCUAAAAACAUAUUUUUAAGUGUUUUAGACCAUCCAGUGCUGAUUUCUUUAUUAAUUUGAUUUGUUCAAUAUAGAUUUUGGUGACUUAAAACAAAAUUAAUAAAAAAUUAUUUUUUCAGAUAUCUUUUUAAUGUUUAAUAAUUAACUUACAUAAAAUAUGUGUCUAAGGCGGUGAACCACUGAUCAAAUUAAUUUAGAGAUACCUAAAUUUGCUUUCAUCAAUUAAGAAAUUAAAAAAAAAAUUGUUGAGACCUCAUGAUUAUCUUUUAUAAUUUCAGGCUGAUCAACUAUUUUGAAAACAACAAAAACGUCUUACACCAAAAACUAAAAAAUAAAAACGUCGACAUUAAAUUUGUUGGUAUGCAAUCAACUUUAAGAUGGUUUUUGGAGUUAUAUAUCACAUUAGCAUAAUUGACUCACUUUUCUACAGUUAGUCUUCUCCAACAAGUUAAACAUUUCAAUUUUAACAACAUUGACAGUCUUUAGGGUAGGGUCGAGCAAAACUCAAUAGAAACAGAUGAUAUAGGUUGAGUUGGCUCGGCCAAGUAAUUUAUUUUUAAAACAAGUAAUUUAUUUUAAGAGAUCACAAUUAAACAUUAGAUUUCCAAUUUUUUUAAUUUUAAAUUUUUCUGACAAUUGCAUAAUUAAUAAGGUACAAAUUUUGAGCGUUGUAGGAAUGCUAUAACCUUCCCUACGCAUGAUGGAUCCUAGACCUUCUCCUCUAUUCUCAUACUACAAAUUGCUUCGAGUGUGGGUUCGAACAAUCACAAAUUAAACACAAAACCAUAAUUAUUAUUUUCAAUAGAAAAGUAAUUCUCUCUCAAUAGAAACCAAUAGAAUUGUAAUUCCUAGAAAAAUAAAAUUUAUUUUUUGAAAAUAUCUUCUCACUACUCUCUAGCAGAAUAACAAUAUGUGAAACUUAUGUCUUGUUUUAAUAGCUCUAUCGGUACUAUCGAUUUAUAGGGAGAGACACGAGAAUCCUGGUUGAAUUAGUAAAACACAAAUAAUAUUUAUUUCAUAGAAAAAAAUAUUCUACCCUAAGUAGAUCAAGUUUGGAUGACGCAUGGAUCGAAGCUCAAUCUUGGAGAAAAAAAAUAAAGGAAUUUUCUUUGUAAAGAAAAUAUGAGAUUGUACUUUUUUCGAUGUUAUAAAUAAAAUUAUACGCCAAAUUUUCAAGUCAAUUUUCAACUCAAAUUUUGUAUGUACAAAUUUCUAAUACACUUGGUGGGACAUUCUUUGACUUUUAUAUAUUCUCUCAAAAAGUUAAAGUUCAAAGUUGCAUUAAACCCAAAGAAGAUAAUCAUUUGUAAACCAGCUCACAAGCCUGCUUAAGCUAAUCCUACAACUCGUUCCACUUCAUCAUCAAACACCAAUGUUCUUGCUUAUCCUUAUGGAAUUAAACAAAAGACAAAAGCUCUUUAAGAGUUAUUUGAACAGACUUCUUUAACGGUAAAUUACAAUCCACUCUAUGAUGCUUCUUCGCCCAACUCAUGAAUUAAAAGAAGUUUCUACUCAUGGAUCAAGUGUAGCCCGCCAGUUAUCAUUAAGGAGAAAACAGAGUCAAUCAAGUGAAAAUUAUAUUCCAACAUCUCCCCAGAACCAAAUUUCAGAGUGAUGAAUGUCAUGACAACUGACACUACAUUCUUAGAAGAAUAAGUAGAUCUCUAGCAAAAACGAUGGAGAGUCUUACUACAAGCAUAAAAGGAAUGGAUGAUCAAACUGAACAUCUUAGUGGAAGUAACCAAACCUUUUCCAGCGAAACUCAACAUCCUCUUCACAAAGUUGUUGGAAUCAAAAUUGUUGAAGGACUUUAAAGUGUUUCUUUAGAUCAACUCAAGGAGCUUAUUAAAGAAACCAUUAAAGAUCAAGUCAAAAGUGUUGCUUCGCCUUCAUAUACAUACUCGAAGUCAUACAUUUGGAGGAUUUAUCAUUUGAAUAUGCCUGAACAUUAUCCACCUCUAAUACGGCUGUCUGAAUAUAUUCCGAGAAAACACAACAAGAGAAGGGUGAUAGUCUAAUAGAGGAGUACACGACUUUGCUUCAUUGCCCGAGGAUUCAAGUUGACAAAGCUUAUUCAAAAGUCGUCAACGUCUUGACCCUUUUUAAAGAAUCUAACGAGAAUUACGAGGAUAAGUGAGCAGUGAGUCGUAGCCUGGCUCAAGCAAAAAGGAGCUAGUAGAGGCACCUAUUGGAAAAUUCAUGAUAUUUAUCUUAACAUCCGGAUGAAGAAAAGGAUCGAUGUCUUCGCCUAGAGUAUGAGGGCAAAGCUGUAUAUAUAUUCGCUUUAUGUAAAGAGAAUUGUUUUCUAGUAAAGUUGUUCUAACAUAAUUGAAUCAGACUUAACGUCGUAUUCAUUCCAUUCAUCUGCAUUACAUUUCAUUGCAUGCAAAAUUUCACAAAAGGAUACUAAUUAAUCAAAAUUGUUACAGUUACCCUGGAAACUAACGAAAAUCCACCAACUAAAUAUCGCUACGGUAUCCGCUGCAAAACCAAAGAAAUGGAUCAAAGAUUAGAAAGAUUAGAACAAAUGCAAAAAGGUAUGCAAGAUCAGUUGCAAGCGCAACUACAAGAACAAUUAACGAAAGUACAACAGGAGAUGAGGGAUCAGAUACUAGAAUCUCAAAGAAGCAUGAUGAGCCAAUUAACGCAGUUACUAGCCGGAGGGCUUAAAAAAGGGAAAAGCUAAGUGGUCAACAUUGGGGAUGAUAAUGAAGACCUUGCCUAUCCCUCAAGUUUUACCCCGAUAAGUGUCCAGGCCCAACUAGACGCGCGUCUACAAAGGGCACCCGUUACUAUUAGACCCCAACAAUAUCAAACCGGUACCUCGGCACCAGUGAACUACCCAACAGGCUUAGGUUCCAAUCUGGGGGACAAUCCAACCAAUCCUGUAGUUCCUAAUUUAGACGAAAUGGUAGAAAUAAAAAAAAGCAAAGGUGGAACUGCCAAAAAAACUUGAAGAUCGGUAUAGGUGGUUAGAAGAAAAACUCAGAGCAAUGAAAAAUGAUGAUUACCAUUAUAGGGUUGACGCCAAGGAUCUGAGUUUUGUUCCAGAUCUAGUACUCCCACCAAAAUUCAAGACUUCAAAAUUUAAAAAGUAUAAUGAGACUAGUUGUCCUAAAGCUCACAUCACGAUGUUCUGCCGAAGAAUGACAGGAUACGUUAAUAAUGAUCAAUUGUUAAUUCAUUACUUCCAAGAUAGUUUGAUUGGGCCUACUGCCAAAUGGUACAACCAACUGAGCCGUGCUAACAUCCACUCAUGGAAGGACUUGGCACAAACUUUCAUGAAGUAAUACAGCCAUGUAACAGACAUGACACCUGACAGAAUUACACUGCAGAAUAUGGAAAAGAACCAAAGUGAGAGCUUCAGGCAAUAUGCCCAAAGAUGGAGAGAGGUAGCGACAUAAGUCUAGCCACCUUUUCUGGAGAAAGAAACCACGAUGCUUCUCAUCAACACUCUGAAAGCCCCAUUCAUUAACCAUAUGUUGGGAAGGGCUACCAUGAGCUUCUCAGAUAUAGUAAUGUCUGGCGAGUUUAUUGAAAACGCGAUGAGGAGUGGAAAGAUAGACGCGGGAGAAAGCGCCAAAAGAUCAACCCCGAAAAAAAUGAAAAUGAAGCGAAUAAUGUAAGAAAAGGGUAUUCCAAAUCGGUCAUUGUAGGUGAGCCGAGGGCCGUGACUACUAACUAUCAAGCCCUCUUCAGGCAAGAGUCUAACUCGAGGCAAAGCACUGAAAGACUCCAGUUUACACCCAUCCCAAUGACAUAUAGGGAGCUGUAUCGGAAUCUAUUUGAUGCACAUGUGGUAUCCCUAUUCUAUAUGAAACCCAUACAACCUCUAUUUUCGAAAUGGUAUGACGCAAAUGCUCAACGAGAAUACCACGCGGGAAUAAUAGGACACUCAAUUGAAAACUGCACUACAUUUAAAAAGUUAGUUGAAAGGUUUAUUAAGAUGGGCAUCGUGAAGUUUGACGAUCCAUCAUGACCUAAUUUGACAGGAAAUUCGUUACCUAGUCGUCAAGACCCAAGGGUAAACGCAAUAAUUGAGAAUGGAGGAAAGAGAACCAAAACCAACGUUGCAGAAGUAAAAACCCACUGAAAUGGGUUUUGAAACAAAUGAUAGACAUGGAAUUAAUAAUUCAGAAUUUAGAGGAGAUACCAAAAGAGAUGAGGAGCUACUGUGAGUUUCACGCUGAAGAGGGCCAUGAAAUCCAAGAGUGCGCUAAAUUCAAAGUUUUGGUGCAGAGCCUAAUGGAUAAUAAAGAGUUGGAAUUCCUUUAAGAAGUCAAAGGCCUGGAAGGAAUGUUAGGGAAUCUAAACAUUGACGCCGUAUCCAAAAAGGGAGCUGGGGAAGAGAAUUUAUCAGGCAUUUGCCUUUACACACCUGGGAGUGUUUUGACUAAAGGGACUGAGGAAGAGAUCCCUGGAUUUUUUAGACCUAAUUCGGAGUAAUGUCCAAAACACACUUGCUCUAAGCCUAGGAGAAAUAAGAAUCCUUUUGUGAGAUAGGCUUAUGUCCAACAUCUUUAUUUCAAUAAAAUGCAUCCUUGUUUAUCACUUCGAGCAAAUAUUCUUUUAUUGUUUCCAUUUCAUUCAUAAUCAUACCAUAUAAAUAAAUAUUCUCAGAUUCUUUUGUUCUUUGGAUCUUCCUUCAUCCCUAUAACAGGUCUCCAGAUAUCUAUGAUAUGAGUGACUCUGCUAUUGACUCAGAACCUCCUUUUGAGCAAAAUAUGUGUCCAGAGGAACCACAGGACUUUGAAGAUAACCGGGACUAUAACUUAUCUCCUAAUUUGUUAAGGAUGGUAGAACAAGAUGAGAAACAGAUCCUACCUUAUAAAGAAUCAAUAGAAUCCAUGGCCUUUCUCUAUAUAGGGCAUGGAUGUCAUUGAGUUGAUCUUGCCAAAAGCUUCUGGCAGUCAUCAAUUCAUCUUUAUGGUUGUCGAUUACUUCACUAACUGGGUGCAAGCUGCUUCAUAUGCUAAUGUCAAAAAGUCGACAGUCAGCAAAUUCUCAAAAAAAUCAUAUGUCGGUAUGGAAUGCCAAAAAGGAUCACAUCUGACAAUGCACUAACAACAGGGCGAUAAUAGAAGUUUGCAGUCUGUUCAAGAUUAACAUCAUAUCACCCUAAAAUGAAUGGUGUAGUGAGGGCAAAAAAACCUCUACCGGGGCAAUGCCUUUCUCUUUGGCUUAUCGUGGUUUUGCCCAUUGAAUUUGAGAUUCCUUCUCUUGGAGUUUUUUUGGAUCCAAUCCCGACUAAAGAGCAAGGUUCAAAGUUAUCUGUCAUGGUCAAAUGUACCAAAAACAAAUGAUACAAGCUCACCAAAAAGGUUCGCCCCAAAAAAUUCCAUGAGGGUGACCUGGUAUCGAAGAAGAUCCUUCUCAUACAAAAGGACUUUAGAAGAAAGCAGAUGCCAAAUCGGGAAAGACCUUAUCUGGAAGACCUUAUCUGGAAAAGCAUUGAUUUUGACCAGGAAUGAUAACAAGGGAUUGUCUAAUCCUAUGAGUUCAGAUUCAAUCAAAAAUAUUUCAUGAAAAUUAAUAAAAAAAUAGAAAAGAAAAGAAAAAUUAAAAAAAAGAAAGGCCAAGGUGAAAACCCGCAAAAGGUACCUUGAGACUAAAGGGAUUUUGAGUUGAAAACCCAAAAAAGGGCGGUUUAAAUUUUGAUCAAAGUUAAGGCAUGUGGUAGUCUUGUCCUCUCCGAAUUAACGAAAAGGAGGGAUGCUACAUCUUGGGGCAUCAACAAAGUCUUCUAGGACUUCUAAGCACGUAUCAAGUUCAAAGGGUCCUCAAGAAGUUUUGUAUAAAGAAGCUUAUAAUACCCAAUUUUCGCCCGGGCCCAUGCAGAUUAAAUAAACAAAAAAUAAAAACCAAAUAAAAUAAAAUAACAGUCCAAAAGUAAAAAAAAACACAGAAACAUUAGCCCAAUAAAAUCCAACCCAGCUAACCUAACCUAAAUUACCUAGAUACAUUAAGCCCAAUAAGUUAUAAGCCCAAAAUCAGUUACCCAAACCCAAACCCAAACCCAAAUAACCCAACACCAGCCCAAAUCAAAGCUGAAACCCUAGCAGUUUCUGGAACAGUCUAGGCACCGCAUCUCCCUCACGCAAUAUAUGUGCGCCUUUGACUCCUCUCACGUAUGUCGCACUAGAUUCACGCGCGCCUUCUCCAGCCUAUACCUGCAACAACCCCAAAACGAACAGAAACAAAUAGCAAGAAAAAAAUAAAAAUAGAGGAAACUAGAAUAACAGAGAAAAUAGAAAAUAUUAAAUAAUUUUUCUAUUUUUUUGGCUAUAUAAAGCCAUUCAAGACGUUUUAAAACGGAUCCGAUUUUUGAAAAAAAUCAAUAAAAAAAGAAUGAGCAUAUAGCAGAGAUUCGAAGGUGAUUUCAGUUUUUUUUUAUUUUUUUUCCUUUUUUCAUUAUUCAUGUGCUAAAAUGAAAGGAAAGAUGAAUAAAAGAAGGAUGAGCUUACCUGGUGGCCGAUCUUCCUUCUACUCCGUCGCAAUCGGAGUUGGAUGGAAGUUAAAGGCAUGAAACGGCGCACAGAGGGGAGGAGAUUAGUUUUUUAUUAGGGUUGAUUUGUGAAUAAUGAAUGGCUGCUAAUUUUAGGUCUCAGUUUACCUAAUAUGUGACGAAAGAAACGUCGUCGUUUAGGGCCUAUUUCAGUGGCCCUAAAACGACGCCAUUCAGCUGCCAUCAACCCGCACAUUAACCCGAUCCGGUUCCAGAUCUGUGUGUUUUAUAGCGCGUAGGAAAUUUGCGCGAUUGGUCCACCUCUUUUCUAAUGUAUUUAAAUCAAUUUUUUCAUUCCUUUCAAUUUUCCCCCAUAUUUUGCUUUUGUUUCAUUUUGACCCAAGUUGUACACAGCGUUUUGCUGGGAUGGGAAUUAUUUCCCACUUGGUCCCCGAAGUUAGUCGCGCAUUGCAUUCGGCCCCUCUGCUUUAUUGUAUUUUCUUUUUUUUCUUUUCAUUCUACUUUUAGUUUAAUUUAAUCCCUACUAUCUUAAUGUGCUUGAUUUCAUUUAAUUUAUUUAAUUAUUUAAUAUUACAUUAUUUUUUAUACAUUAAUUUUUUUAAUCUAAUAUUAUAUAAUGACUAAACUCAAUAUUUUUUAUCUUAUAUUAUUUUACGUUUUAUGUGUAUUAUUGUUUGAAGUUUUUUUUUCAAAUUUUAGAUUUUUUUUAAAUUUAUAAUGUAUUAUUAUUAAUAGUAUAAAUUUAUUACAUAUCAUUUUUUAGAUUUAUUAUGUAUUGUUGUUUUAAAAUUCAUUAUACAUUGUUAUUUUAAAUUUAUUGUGUAUCAUUACUUAAGUUAAUUGUUUUUAUUUUCUUUUAUGCAAAUUUGAUAUUUAUGGAUAUUUUCUUGAUUUUUUUAUAUUUCUCUUAAUUCAUUUUUUAUAUUUUUUUGUAUUUUUAUAUAAAGAUAUUUUAUAGAAUAUUAUUUUGUAUAUAUACAAUUUAUUUAUUUUAUAUAUAAUUUAUGCUAUAUGUAAACUUUUGUAUAUAUUAUUUAUUUUAAAGAUUUUGUAUGUAUACUUUAUUGAUUUACUAUUUUCUUUCUUUCAUGCCAUUUUUUAGUUAUUUCAAAACUUAUACAUUGGAUUUGCAUUUGUGUUAAUUUGCUUGCUUUAUAGGAUUUACUAGCUUUUAAAAAUGAAUGCUAGUAUUUGCAUAAUGUAUAAUAUGAGAUGGUUGCCCUUAUAUAUGUUGUAUUGUUUAUUUGUAUUUUAUUGAUUUUUCGUUGCUCAUUAGCUUAUAUUUAGCUUACGAAUUUUUCUUUCGCAAUGUACAUUGCCAUCCCAUUGCGUUUUAUUCAUCAAAAAGAUUAUAUUCUAUUUAAAUAUUAAAAUUGUUUUACUCAAAAGCUUUCAGGAUAAUACAAUACUCAAAAUUUGGGGUCUUCGAAAGAAUUGAACCCUAACGUAUUGGGUUCCAAUUUUUCUCGUUGAAUCUAAAUAACCGGAAAUAUUCUUUAAUCAAAACACAUAAAUAAAAAGCUCAUUCUCGGGAAUUCGAUACGUGUGUCCUAAUGCAUUGGAUAUAACAUGUUGUUUUCUCGAGAUGAGGAUUUUUCUAAAUAAAAGCAAUAUUUAGUGUUUGGGAAUUUUGAGAAAUUGAACCCUAACUUACUGGAUUCUGAUUUUUUCGUUUAACCCAAAUAACCAAAUAUUCUUCUCAAAAUGCAUAAGUUUCAAAAGUUAAAAGAUAAACUUAAUUUUGAAGAUUAAACUGUUGCACCCUAACUCACUGAGUGUGACAAUUUAUUCCUUCAAAAUAAGAGUGUCUUAUCAUCCAUUGCAGCUUAUUCAAAUUUUCCUUUCAAAGGAUAGUAUUUUAAAAUAUUUUCAAAUUUUCAACACUAAGAUGUUAAUCAAUCAAUUCGAUACCAAUUUUGGGCGUUACAAGGUUGCUAACCCUUCCUCGUGCUUAACCGACUCCCAAACCUAUUUUCUCAAAUUUCAUAGACCAAAAUUGUUAUUGUAAUAAAUCAAACUGUUUUAUUAAAAUCUCAAGGUGAUCCGAUCACACCUCGAAAAAAGAUUGGUGGUGACUCCAUGUUCAUUUUUAAAAGUCGAUCCCCAUUUUCAAAUAAAAGUGGUUUUGAUAGCUUAGCGACUCCACUUGGGAAACUUGAGAGUCAAGCCGUAAAAUUGAUUGUUUUUUGUCUUAUUGUUGAAAAUUGAAAUUUUGAUUUGAAAAAUUACGAUCCUAAUUACAUUUAUUUGUGGUAUGAUUGCUGUAAAUUGAGUUUUAUAUCUUGGCAUCAUGUUGCAUCAAGAAUGCUUAGUCUUACCUUUUAAGUGGGAGUGAGAAACUAGUCCUUCGUGAGGUUUUCACCUCCGUGCAGGAUAGCGGAUCACUUUCAGGAUACAUUCGUACCUAUGUCUUCAUGAGAUUUUCAUCUCUGUGCAGCCAUAGGGAAAUGUAUUCCCUUGAACCGAACUCGGUCCGCAUGAGCCUAUAAUGGGUGAGGAUCGAGGAAUCUGCUGGUUCGGGUACCUUUGCCCUAGAAGCCAAACCACAUAUAGUGAACCUUAGGAACUUGCCCUAGAUAGAACUAUGCCAAACCCCUAGAGGUCACCCGAGUAGGUACUCUAUUUAUUCUCUUGUUUACUUUUACUUUGUACUAACUGGUUUUUGUUUUGUUUUUAUUAUGAUUGCAUUACAUUUGCAUCUUAGAAAAGAGGUGUUGAUUCAAGUUUGAUUACUAAAUUAGAGAGCUUGUCAUGGAAAUCGAAUUUUUUGAUAAAGUGGAAGAUAAUACGGUUGCCUGAAUAUAUUCCGAGAAACACAAGAAGAGUGAUGGAGGAAUACAUGACUUUACUUCGUGGCCUGAGGUUUCAAGCUGAUUAUCCAAGAGCCUUCGACAUUUUAACUUCCUUAAAGAAGCUGAUGAGCAUUACGAGGAUAGGCAAACGAUGGAUUGCGACCAUGAUCAAGAAAAAGGAGUUAGUAGCGGCAUCCAUUGGAAAUUCGCGAGAUUUAUCUUAACAUCCAGAUGAAGAAAGAUCGAUGUUGUCUUUUGGAGUAUGAAGGCGGGGCCGUACAUGCAUCCGUUUUAUGUAAAAAAGUUUGUUUUCUAGUAAAGUUUUCUAAAUGUAAUUGAAUCAGAAUCAACAUCUCUUUAGGCAUUCAUUUCAUGCAUUUGCAUUACAUGAUAUCAUAUGCAUUAAAAUCCACUAAAAGAGUCUAAUUGAUUAAAAUUAUUUCAGUUAAUUUGGAAAACCAACACCCUUACGGUACCCAGGCACAGACUAGAGAAAUGGACCAAAGGUUGGAGAGAUUAGAGCAUAUGCAAAUACAAAUGCUAGAGCAAUUGACCAAAUUUCAACAGGAUAUGAAAGAUCAGAUGCUAGAAUUUCAAAGAAAUAUGAUGAGCCAGUUAACCCGGUUGCUAGCUGGAGAGUUAGAAAGAGGGAAGGACUCAGUCGUCCACUUUGGGGUUGGUAAUGAGGAUCUUGCCUAUUCCUUAGGUUUUACCCCGAUAGGUGUCCAGGUCCAGCCAGAUGAGCAUCCACAAGGGGCACUCCUUAAUAUCAGAUCCCAACAAUAUCAGACUGGUACAUCAACACCAGUGAAUUGCCUGACAGGCCCAAGAUCCAAUCUGAGGAACAAUUUAGCUAAUCCUGUUGCUCUGGAUAGUCCAGCAGAAAUAAAACAAGCGAGUGUAGAGUACCGAGAUACUAUAAAGGCCUCAAGGAAGAAUGGGAAUAAGGGGGAUAAUUCAGACAGAUAUAACAAGGGUCACUCAAAACUAAUCACUGUGGGCCGGCCAAAGAUAGAAACCACUAGCCAUCCGAGCCCUUUAAAGCGAGAAUCUUGCACGAAGACAUAUACAGAAAGGCCUCAGUUCACGCCUAUACCGAUGUCAUAUAGCGAGCUAUAUUAGAGCCUAUUUAAUGCACAUGUCAUUGCCCCUUUCUACUCAAAAUUUACAACCUCCAUAAAUGGUACGACACGAAUGCACAGUGGGACUACCAUGCAGGAAUUACAAGGCAUUCCAUACUUAUACAUUGGAUUACGAAUAUUAUUUUUAUAUAUUUUUUAUAUAUAUUUUUUGUAUUUUUAUAUAAAGAUAUUUAAUAGAAUAUUAUUUUGUAUAUAUACAAUUUAUUUAUUUUAUAUAUAAUUUAUGCUAUAUGUAAAUUUUUGUAUAUAUUAUUUAUUUUAAAGAUUUCGUAUGUAUACUUUAUUGAUUUACUAUUUUCUUUCUUUCAUGCCAUUUUUUAGUUAUUUCAAAACUUAUAAAUUGGAUUUGCGUUUGUGUUAAUUUGCUUGCUUUUUAAGUUUUAGUAGCUUUUAAAAAUGAAUGUUAGUAUUUGCAUAAUGUAUAAUAUGAGAUGGUUGCCCUUAUAUAUGUUGUAUUGUUUAUUUGUAUUUUAUUGAUUCUUCAUUGCUCAUUAGCUUAUAUUUAGCUUACGAAUUUUUCUUUCGCAAUGUACAUUGUCAUCCCAUUGCAUUUUAUUCGUCAAAAAGAUUAUAUUCUAUUUAAAUAUUAAAAUCGUUUUACUCAAAAGCUUUCAGGAUAAUACAAUACUCAAAAUUUGGGGUCUUCGAAAGAAUUGAACCCUAAUGUAUUGGGUUCCAAUUUCCUCAUUAAAUCUAAAUAACCGGGAAUAUUCUUUAAUCAAAACACAUAAAUAAAAAGCUCAUUCUCGGAAAUUCGAUAUGUGUGUCCUAACGCAUUGGAUAUAACAUGUUUUUUUCUCGAGAUGAAGAUUUUUCUAAAUAAAAGCAAUAUUUGGUGUUUGGGAAUUUCGAGAAAUUGAACCCUAACUUACUGAAUUCUGAUUUUUUUGUUUAACCCAAAUAACCAAAUAUUCUUCUCAAAAUGCAUAAGUUUCAAAAGUUAAAAGAUAAACUUAAUUUUGAAGAUUAAACUGUUGCACCCUAACUCACUAAGUGUGACAAUUUAUUCCUUCAAAAUAAGAGUGUCUUAUCAUCCAUUGCAGUUUAUUCAAAUGUUCUUUUCAAAGGAUCGUAUUUUAAAAUCUUUUCAAAUUUUCAACACUAAGAUGUUAAUCAAUCAAUUCGGUACCAAUUUUGGGCAUUACGAGGGUGCUAACCCUUCCUCGUGUGUAACCGACUCCCGAACCUAUUUUGUCAAAUUUCGUAGACAAAAAUCGUUAUUUUAAUAAAUCAAAAUGUUUUAUUAAAAUCUCAAGGUGAUCUGAUCACACCUUGAUAAAAGAUUGGUGGCAACUCCAUUUUCAUUUUUAAAAGUCGAUCCCCGUUUUCAAAUGAAAGUGGUUUCGACAAAGCUUAUGCUACGAUAUCUGGGGCACCUAUUUUCAUCUUAUUCAUUUCAUAUCUUAGCAAAAUUUGAUAUCUUGAUUAAUUUAUUCAUUUCGAGCUUUGCUCUCAAUAAAAUUUCAUCUUGUCUAUUGUGAUAAUCUUUUUCAAGCAUUUUUCAUUAAAAUAAUGAUUAAUGGACUAACAAUACUUAAGGAAAAGGAGUUCUGAAUAUUACUCCAAAUGCUUCUAAAUAGUACGAGGACCUGAAAUAGAACUAUUAUUUAGAACUAACCAAACCUAAGGGUUGGAAACAUUUGAGAAAGAAUAGCCUAAAUUAUGGCUAUUUCUUUGAGUUUUCUAUAAAAAAUACCAGCUGAGUAAGAAGGUAGCGUAUACGUCAGUGAUAAAACCUUGAUGAAGAACGAGCAAUGUCAACCCAAGCAUUAAAAGGAGAUCAUUCUCAAAAAAAGAAAAAGAAAAAAAAUGACAUUCUGUAUCCAUGCAAAUAUUAUUUAGGAGUAUUUGAUUCAUUCUGAUUAUGACAUCCUAAUCACUUGGCAUAAAUAGGCCCGUGAAAUGGACUCUACAAGUCAUGUCACCCAAAGAAUGGUGUAACAGGUUAAUGAAGCCGCUAAUCCUAUACCCCUGAAGUUGCAAUGGGAUGGAUUGAAGAUCAUAUUAAACCUUAUCUCCCUGAAGUUGCAAUGGAACGGGUUGAAGUUACUAGUCUUAUCUCCCUGAAGUUGUAGUGGAGUAGACUGAAGAUAGAGAAUCUUAUUUCCCUGAAGUUGUAGUGGAACGAAUUGAAGUUAUAAAUUACAGAUCUUAUCUCUCUAAAAUUGCAGUAGAGCAGAUCAUAGCAAACCUUAUCUCCUUGAAGUUGUAGUGGAGCAGACUGAAGAUAGCGAAUCUUAUUUCCCUGAAGUUGUAGUGGAACGGAUUGAAGCUAUAAAUUGCAGAACUUAUCUAUAUGAAGUUGCAGUAGAGCAGAUCAUAUUUUAUCUCCUUGAAGUUGCAGUGGAACAGGUUAAAAAUAAGCCAAUCUUAUCUCUUUAAAGUUGCAGUGGAGCAUAUUGAAGAUAGGCUACAAAUCUUAUCUCUCUGAAGUUGCAGUGGAGCAGAUUAAAGCCACAAACCUUAUCUCCCUGAAGUUGCAGUGGAGCAGAUUAAAGCCACAAACCUUAUCUCCCUGAAGUUGUAGUGGAGCAGAUUAAAGCCACAAACCUUAUCUCCCUGAAGUUGCAGUGGAACAAGUUAAAAAUAACCAAUCUUAUCUCCCUGAAGUUGUAGUGGAGAAGAUUGAAGACAUGCUACAAAUCUUAUCUCCUUAAAGUUGCAGUGGAGUAGAUUAAAGCCACAAACCUUAUCUCCCUAGAGUUGCAGUGAAACAGGUUGAAGAUAGCAAUCUUAUCUCCCUGAAGUUGCAGUGGAGUAGAUUGAAGCCAUUAAUCCUAUCUCCCUGAAAUUGCAGUGGAGUGGAUUAAAACGAUGAAUCCUAUACCCUAUACCUCUGAGGUUGCAAUAGGUCGGAUAAAAUCUACCAUAGCAAGUCUUAUCUCCCUAAAGUUACAGUUAAGCAGACUCAAACUGCGAGUCUCAUCUCCCUGAAGUGGCAGUGGGUUAGAACAAGGUUACUUGAAGAAGAUGAGCACCAAGAGAUCGAGAUUCGACAAGACCAAACAAAAUUGGUCUUUCUUAAAAGUCUUUGCUCCGUUCUCAUUACACGACAACGAGCAAAGAUGGGCAGCUAUAGCAGGCCCAAUUUGCCCAAGCCCAGAACCAAAUAAAUAAAACCAAAAAAUAAAAGAGUCCAAGUCCAAAUUAUUACAAACACAAAUUAAAAACCCUAGUGGCCCAACAAACCCAAAGCCUAAACAUCUUUUCAGAAAAAAAGAAACCCUAGGCUUGCCCUUCAACCGCCGCUCCUCCCACGCACGCCACCACUGCCACACGCCAUCCUCCACGCGCCUAGUACCUGCAAACAAGAUAAAAAAGCACAACAGACACAGAGAAAAAAAUAGUAGCAAAAAGAGUUGUAUUUUUUGGCUAUAAAAGCCAUGAUUCAUCAAUGUAUUUUUUACAGACAUAAAAUCAAUACAAAAAACGAGCAAUCAGAAACAAAAUUUGAAAAAAAGGUGGUUCUUUUGUUUACUUAUUUUUCUUCUUUUCUACUGAUAUUUCUACUAGUUUUUAAGGAAAAUAAAAAAGAAAGGAGUCGAAUCUUACCUUUUUCUCAUAUUUUCACCGCCGAAAAUGGCUGAGGUCUAUCCAUUCUAAUGAAAAUCGAUAAUUUUUUGGGCUCAUGGAGUAGAAGAGCCAAAAAUGGCCUUUUUGGAUUUUUUGGCCACCGUGGACGGCGAUGCCGUCGCCGGUGACUGGUGUCCGGCACGAUGGCCGACGACCGGGACCAUGGCCGGACUUGAAGGGCUUUAAGAGAAAAAGAAGGGAUUUCAAAAUUUCAUUUAAAAACUCAAGCAGAAUGAAGGAUUUAAAUUUUUUUUUGUUUAUAUAGCAAGGCCAAACGACGUCGUUUUGGCCAGUGAGCAUAGGUUCCAAAACGGCGUCGUUUUGGCCUAACCUGAUUUUUGACCUGCCCCUGUUAGAGGAUCCGCGUGUUUUUUUGCAAAAUGGGUUAUUUACACGCUGGUCCCUUCCGUUUUUAUGGCCUAUUGCGAUUUGGUCCCAUUUUUUUCUAUUUUAAAUUUCCCCUCAUAAUUUUAUUUUUAUUUCAUUCAGGUCCUUUACAGAAUGGCGCGAUUAGAGGACCUGGGAUAAUUUCCCAGUUAGUCCUGUUUCUUUUGCGCGCAUUCCAGUUGGGGCCCUAUUUGCCACUUCUAUUUUAAUUUAUUAUGAUUUAUGCCCUUAAUUUUGUUUUGAUUUCAAUUUGAACCUAAUUUGUUUAGAUUCAUUAUCUAUUUAUUACCAUUAUUUGUUUGCAUUUUUUUAUAUACCAUAAUUUAAUAAUAAUAAAAAACAUUAACAUUUAUAUAUUUGUUUGAUUCUUUCCUUGUUUAUUUAUAUAAUAUUUGAAUUCAAACCUUAUUCAUAUUUGACUUAUCAAUUUAUCAUUUUUUUAAACAUUUAAAUUUAAUAUUAUUUUAUCUAUUUGUUCAUUUUUUUUACUUUUAAAAUAAUUAAAUUUAAUAUUAUGUAUUAUUUCAAAUUUUUUAACAUAUGUAUUUAUUUGCACAAUUUCAACCCUUAAUCAAAUUUUCAUUUAUCUUAUAUCUUUUUCGUGUCAUCAUUUUGUUAUUACUCCAAUCAUGUCAUGAGCCGUGUUUAAACAUUUUUCUUUACACUAGAAUCCAAAAAAAUAAAUAUGUAUAGUUUUAAAUAUUACAUGUGUAUUUAUUCAAAGACUUUUGGGAAUAAAGGUAAUAUUUCGUGUUUUGAGCUUCGAGAAAUUGUGCCCUAACUCACGGGGUUUCAAUUCUCUCGUUGAACUCAAAUAACCGAUUAUCCUUUAAAAUUAAAAUAACAAAAUUUAAAAUAAAAAAAGACAAGCUCAUUCUCAAAGGUUCAAGGUGUUGUGUCCUAACUUACGGGAUGUAAUAUUUUGCUACUUCGGGACGAGAAAGUCUUAAACGCGCGUUUUGACUUAUCCAAGCUAUUUUAACUAAAAAUAACAUUAAUAAAAAAGGAUCGUAUUUUCAAUUCUUUCCAAGUUUUCAACUUUCGACAUUAAGACAUUGAUUAAUCAAUUAGGUACCAAUUUUGGGCGUUACGAGGGUGCUAAUCCUUCCUUGUACGUAAUCGACUCCUGAACUCAUUGUUCUGAAUCUCGUAGACCAAAAUUGUUAUUUUAAUAAAUUAAAUCAUUACAAGGUGACCGAUCACACCUCAUAAAACUGAUAGGUGGCGACUCCCGUUUUAGUUUUUGUUUUUAAAUGAAAAGUCGACCCCUCUUUUUAAAAAAAAAUGGUUUCGAUGCACACCACACAUUUUCAAAAUAAAUCAUAUUAAAAUUAAUCCUAAUUGCAUGCCUUUUUAAACAUACCAUAAAAAAUGAAGUAAAAAAAUUCAUGUUUAGGUCACCUGCGAACCCACCCACAAAGAAACCUAGCAGCUCACAUCAACCUGGUAAGCACCAGCUCGAGACCUACUCGCGACCCCAGCUCAUUGCUAGCCCUACGAACCACUAGUUUGCUACUAUCCUGCGAUCCCAAAAGAUUGACGAACCUAGACACACAACUCCCCUUUUGUUUUAACAAACUACUCAGGUGGAUGGCUCACUCGCGAACUCCUCUAUUGUAUUAAAUGCUUGCAAUCACUCCUAAUAUAUUGUGCUUGAGUUGUAACAGAGCCAAUCGUCAACGUGCCAUAAUGAUCUAUUGAUGCUGAAAUUGAAGUUUUUGUUAUAUUGAUAGAGCUUGUCCUUCAACGCAUACAACGUGUUUGUUAUUUUUUUCCUUCAAAUUGUAUGAUCUUAUUCAUUAUAUGAAUUAAUGAAUUUCCCUUUUAAAAAGAUAUAUUUUUAAAAAUUAAAUACUUUAUAAAAUAUUUAAAACUAUUUAAAAAAUUGUAAGCCUUAAAACAAUCUACAAAAUAUAUUUUUCUCUAAAAAAAAUCAAUAAAAGUAUGUUUGAAAUUUUAUAUGAAAUCUUCUUCACAUUACUCCACAUAAUCCAUUAAAAAAAACUUAAAAAGUAUAUUUUAUUAAUUACUAUAUAUUCUUUUAUUUUUAGAAUAAUAAAUUGUUUAAAAUAUGCUACUAGUCCCUAUAAUUCACAAGUUAAAAGUAUUUGGGAUAUCUAGUGCAUCAAAUUCCUCCUUUUAUUAUUAAAUGUUUUAUUUUAGUUACUCUAAUUAAAUAUAUCCAAAAUGUAAUAGAGUUAACAUUUAUUAUAUAAAAAUAUUUUAAAUAUUUUUUCAAUUGCAGUUUAAUUCUAGUAGAAAUAUUUCAUUUAUAAAAUCAUAAAACUUUAAAAAUAUUAACUCUGUUAAAUAAAAAAUGAUGUUUUUUAAACAGUAAAUGUUGACUUUAUUAACACAAAUGGGUCUUUAGGGUAAAACUUCAGUAAUUGACGAGCUCUUCCACAAACUGUGGAUGAUAUGGGGAUAAGAACUUCAAUUAUUCUGGAGUUAAAGUGUAAAUUUACCACUAUAUUAUAAGUAAAUAUUGAAAUUUAUCUCUAUAUUUUAAUUGAUACUUGUCAUUACACUUUGAAAAUAUAAGUAAAUUUACCAUUUAACUCAUAUGAGAUUGAACUUUGCAAGUAAACUUAAAAUUUUAUUUAAUUUUGUCACUAAAUUUGAUUUAUUUAAUUAAAUUUACAACUCAACAUAGAUUUUGGUGACUUAAAACAAAAUUAAUAAAAAAAACUAUUCUUUCAGAUAAUUUUUUAGUGUUUAAUAAUAAGUUGAUUUAUAAAAUAUACUUUCAUUGGACACAAGCAUCCAAGGCGGUGAACAAACCACUAGUCAAAUUGAUUUGGAGAUAUAUUUUUUUCUAAGUCAAGUGAAUUUAUGAGUUUUGCUUUUUUUUUUAAAAUAUUUUUAAUAUUUUCGUGCAUAUCAAGAGAUGCCAAAAAUUAUUUCACUAAGGAAUUAAUUAGUGUUUUAUUUUAAGGGUUCACAAUUAAGCAUUAGAUUUUUCAUUUUUAAAUUUAGAAUUUUUUGACAAUUGCGUAAUUAACAAGUACUACUUUUGGGUGUUGUAGGGUUAUUACAAUCUUCCCUGCACAUAACGGAGUCUUAAACCUACUUUUUUCUCUAGAACUCAAUGCAAACCUCAAAUUUAUCUUUUUAAAAGAAUUUUAAAUGCUUGCAAUCACUCCUGAUAUAUUAUACUUGAGUUGUGACAAUGUCAAUUGCCAAUGUGCCAUAAUGUUCUAUUGAUGCUGAAACUAAAGUUUGUUAUAUUAAUAGAGCUUGUCCUUCAACGCGUAUAAUGGGUGUUUGUUAUUUUUCUUUUUCAAAUUGUAUGAUCUCAUUCAUUAAAUCAAUUAAUGAAUUUCCCUUUAAAAAAUAUAAUUUUAAAAAUUAAAUACUUUAUAAAAUAUUUUAAACUAUUUACAAAAUUGUAAGCAUUAAAACAAUCAACAAGAUAUAUUUUUCUCUAAAAAAUAAAUAAAAAUAUGUUUGAAAUUUUAUAUGAAAUUUAAAAUUUUUUAACAAUAAUAUAUUUUAAAAUUAUUUACACCUUUUUUUAUAUAUUUUUCCUAACAUAUCAUUAUUUUUCCUAAUAUAUUAUAAAGUUUCUAAUUGUAUAGCUAAGGCAGAUGGAGACAUAAUUGUGGAAGUUUGACGAAUAAAAAUUUUAAUUUUAGAGGUUUAAAUUAUAAUUUUUUGAAAGUUUAAAAUAAAUUUAUAUUUUUUAUUAACAAAAUAUAAAAGAUAAAAAAACAUUUUUAGAGAAGCCAAGAAACCUUUGGGAUCAUACGGGUGAUUUUGAUGACGUUAAUGGUUAUUUUGGUGGAAAGGGUGAAAAAGAAACAAAUGACUCAUAUAUAUAAUAUAAUUAUGAAAUUCAAGCCAUAUAUUGGAUGUUUCAUACAUAAAAAUUUCAUGGGAGGUCCAAAGGUAAUUAAAUGACUUGUAGGCUUGCUGAAUUUCUUUGAAAGGCCCAAAGGCAAUUUAAAAUUCACAAAAUAAUCUCUAAAUACUGUAAAGACAAAUCAAAUCCACAGCAGCAUUUGCAAAUAUUACUUUGAUUUUGCAUGCAAUAUUGGCAAAACCCCCUCUUACAUUAGAAAAACAACAUAAUCCACGUAACAUUGAUAGCCCAAUACAAAUUUCAUCAAGAAAAAAGUCUCUUUGUUUUGUAGAACGUGAUAGUAAAGAUGUGGAGUUUCGUUCUUCUUAUUGGCCUCCUUUAGUUUUCCUUGAUCAACAGCCACAAGCCAAAAACACAAUUAGAUUAGAUUAUGAAUGAUACUUUCAACUAUGACAAUAUUAAAUACAAAACACUCCAAAUAACUCUAAAUAAAUGUAAAGCAGCAAAUUACCUGACGAGGCAAGCUAGCUCAAUNNNNNNNNNNNNNNNNNNNNNNNNNNNNNNNNNNNNNNNNNNNNNNNNNNNNNNNNNNNNNNNNNNNNNNNNNNNNNNNNNNNNNNNNNNNNNNNNNNNNNNNNNNNNNNNNNNNNNNNNNNNNNNNNNNNNNNNNNNNNNNNNNNNNNNNNNNNNNNNNNNNNNNNNNNNNNNNNNNNNNNNNNNNNNNNNNNNNNNNNNNNNNNNNNNNNNNNNNNNNNNNNNNNNNNNNNNNNNNNNNNNNNNNNNNNNNNNNNNNNNNNNNNNNNNNNNNNNNNNNNNNNNNNNNNNNNNNNNNNNNNNNNNNNNNNNNNNNNNNNNNNNNNNNNNNNNNNNNNNNNNNNNNNNNNNNNNNNNNNNNNNNNNNNNNNNNNNNNNNNNNNNNNNNNNNNNNNNNNNNNNNNNNNNNNNNNNNNNNNNNNNNNNNNNNNNNNNNNNNNNNNNNNNNNNNNNNNNNNNNNNNNNNNNNNNNNNNNNNNNNNNNNNNNNNNNNNNNNNNNNNNNNNNNNNNNNNNNNNNNNNNNNNNNNNNNNNNNNNNNNNNNNNNNNNNNNNNNNNNNNNNNNNNNNNNNNNNNNNNNNNNNNNNNNNNNNNNNNNNNNNNNNNNNNNNNNNNNNNNNNNNNNNNNNNNNNNNNNNNNNNNNNNNNNNNNNNNNNNNNNNNNNNNNNNNNNNNNNNNNNNNNNNNNNNNNNNNNNNNNNNNNNNNNNNNNNNNNNNNNNNNNNNNNNNNNNNNNNNNNNNNNNNNNNNNNNNNNNNNNNNNNNNNNNNNNNNNNNNNNNNNNNNNNNNNNNNNNNNNNNNNNNNNNNNNNNNNNNNNNNNNNNNNNNNNNNNNNNNNNNNNNNNNNNNNNNNNNNNNNNNNNNNNNNNNNNNNNNNNNNNNNNNNNNNNNNNNNNNNNNNNNNNNNNNNNNNNNNNNNNNNNNNNNNNNNNNNNNNNNNNNNNNNNNNNNNNNNNNNNNNNNNNNNNNNNNNNNNNNNNNNNNNNNNNNNNNNNNNNNNNNNNNNNNNNNNNNNNNNNNNNNNNNNNNNNNNNNNNNNNNNNNNNNNNNNNNNNNNNNNNNNNNNNNNNNNNNNNNNNNNNNNNNNNNNNNNNNNNNNNNNNNNNNNNNNNNNNNNNNNNNNNNNNNNNNNNNNNNNNNNNNNNNNNNNNNNNNNNNNNNNNNNNNNNNNNNNNNNNNNNNNNNNNNNNNNNNNNNNNNNNNNNNNNNNNNNNNNNNNNNNNNNNNNNNNNNNNNNNNNNNNNNNNNNNNNNNNNNNNNNNNNNNNNNNNNNNNNNNNNNNNNNNNNNNNNNNNNNNNNNNCUAUACAUAAUAGUUAAGACUAUUAGUACGACGACAAUACCAAUUGUUGGUAAACCAUACCUAAAAGCAUGCAAUAUAAUCAUUUGGGAGUUUUUGUGGAUGUCGUUUUUGCAGGGUGGGACUAGCAAUCUAGGUGGACCACAAAGUGCAUAAUUCUUCAUGAAUGAUGUGCUAGAAAAUUUUGAAAAACAUCCUUCGCUGGGAAUUUCCCCUUCAAGUCUAUUGAAAGACACAUUAAAAUACUUUAGAUAUAAAAGCUUUUCCAAAGAUUUGGGAAUGACUCCAGAGAGAUUGUUAUUGGAUAAAUCCAAGAAUUCCAAACUAAUCAACCCAUCAAAUGAUUCAGGGAUAUGACCAUGUAGUAUAUUAUUUGAUAAAUCGAAUGAAACCAAAGUGUGAAGACCCCCAAAUGUGGAUAAGUUAUCGCCCAUGAGAAGAUUCCUUGAUAAAUUUAGUCUCAGUAGACUCCUAAAAUUUCCAACAUCAAUAGCAUGCGAAUUGUGAAGAUGGUUUGAUGAUAAAUCUAUUUCUAAGAUAUUUUUAAGAUUCCACAAAGUUGAGGGUAUUGUGGAACUCAAUUUAUUGGAAUCUAUGUGAAGAUAUCUCAAAGAAGUAAUAUUACCCAAACAAGAGGGUAUGGAUCCAUGCAGCUUAUUCAACCUUAAAAAUAAGUUGUAUAAUCUCUCCAAAUCACAAAGGCUUUCUGAGAUGGGCCCUCCUAAUUUAUUAGAGGAAAGACCUAGACUUUGGAGAUUUCGCAGUUCUAAAACCAACAUAUUGGUUAAGUUACCUAUUUCAAUAGGAAUAAUGCCUUGAAGCUUACACCCAUCGGCAAAAAAGUAUUGAAGGGAUUUUGAAAGGUUCCCAAUAUAAGUAGGAAGAAUGCCACUCAAUGGAUUUCCUGAAACUGAUAUGGUUUUCAAAUUCUUACAAUUCGUAAAAGAAGAAAGAAAGCUCCACUCAUGAUCAGUAGCAGAUCCUGUGAUCAAAUUAUUGUCAGAGAUUUGAAGCACUUCAAGGUGUUGUAAGCUGCCAAGCAUUUUAGGGAUUGGGCCAGAGAAUAAGUUUUGUGACAAGUCUAGUAUCUUAAGCAUGGAAGCAUUGGAGAUAGAGUUGGGAAUGUUUCCGCUAAGUUUAUUUGUCCACAAUAAAAGAAUCUGAAGCUUUGGAGCAUUGGUGAUGGGUGGUAAAUUACCUAUAAAAUAGCAUCUUUUAGUAUACAUAUUCAUUGAAUACCAAAUUCACAAAAUAUAUAAUACAUUAAUAAUAAGAAGUUUUGAGUAGUAAUUAGUCCUUGUGAUUUGUAUAGACAAAACAUAUAAUACACUAAUAAUUUUUUAAAAUAUUGUAAAACUUGAAAUAAAAUAAAAAUAAAAGUUUGGCAUGAGAAUGUGGCAUCUAAUCAAUCUUAAAAAUGAGACUGACACUGAAUAAUAAUUAGUUAUGAUUUGGGAAACAAAAAUGUUAAAGCCAUUAUUUAUCUUUAUUAAAUUAUAGUGUAAAAUUUAAAGAUUAUUAUUUGCUCAAAAUUGUUGUAUUUUUCGUAUAUUUGAAAUUUAAUCUUUAUAUUUUUUAUUUUCUGUGAUUUAGUCUCUCUACUUUUUGAAUUGAAAAUUUUAGGUUGAUUCAUUAACACUGUUAAAAAAGUUUUUGUGUUAGUAUGGCAUUUUGAAAAAUAAAAUAAACUUGAUAUCUAUGUUUUUAAUUAUUCCAAAUAUUGUUUUACUAUUUCAAGAUAAAUUAUUUGUGUCUAGACCAAUAUCUUAAGAACUAUUGUUGCAUGUUUAAUUAUUCUAAAGAAUUGUUAAUUGAGUCUUAGCUUGAUUGGCAUGUGUAUUGUUAUCAAUGUAGGAGAAUGUGGGUUCAAGUAUACUGAAGUGUAUUAUCCUCUUAUUUAUAAAUUGGGGAGUUGAUAAAGUAUUAAAUUUUGAUAUAUUUUAAAAUAUUAAAAAUUUAUUAAAAUAAAUUUUAUAAAAAUUGAUUGUACCACAAUAUAAAAUUUUAAUAUAAAAUUUUUAAUUUUUUUAAAAAAUAUUAGCGACUAUAUACUUUAUUUCAAGUUACACAAUUUUUACUAGUUUUUAACUUUUUAAAAAAAAAUUUUAACGUCUUUUAUAAUUUCUAAUAAUUUUUUAUAAUUUUUUACAAUAUUUAAAAAUUUCUACCAAUUUUUAAUAAUUUUAUUAUUUAUUACAAAUUUAAAAUUAACAAAUUUUUAUUUUUUAAACAAUUAUAUAUUUAUAAUGUAGUUAUUUUUUAUAUAAUUUUACUUGAAAUUUUAAAGAUUUUUUUGGUUUUUUUCUAGAUGAUGAUGCCAUCAUGAUGUCAUCAUAUACCACAUGGCAAUUUAUGAUUAGUUGGAUAUCUCAAGCUAUUUUUUAAUGUCCAAUGGACUAAACCAAGAACACCUAAUAAUGUUAGAGACUACACUAGCAAUGUUUGAUAAUAUUAGGUACUAAAGUGGGCAAAAAAAAAUAUUAAGGACCAAAGUAAAAAAAAAAAAGAAAAGAAAAAAAAAUGCUGUAGGGAAUAAACUGUGCAUUAAACCAUUAAAAAUAUAUCAAUAAUAUAUAUAAAUGCAUGGAUUUUUUGAAACUUUUGAACUGAUAAUUAUAUAGUCUUUGUUGUUUACUAUAUUAUUGAAUUUAUUAUUUUAAAUAUAUAUUCUUUUACUUUUAAGAUUUAUAUAAGAAUUUUGGUUUUCCUAAAAUAUUUGGUUAAGUAAAUUCACUUCAUAAGAAAAUUUAGCAUCCUUAUAAAUAACAAUUUUGAUUAUAUUAAAAAAAUUAUUUUAAAAAUAUAUAAUAAUAAAUUAAAAUUUAUAUUGAAUUACUUUAUACUUCAAUUAUUAUUAGAAACUUUAUCAUACACGUACGUGUAUAAGAAUCACGUAUUUAGAACAUCAAUUUGUGUUUUAAAAUAACUUAUGAUAAAUAAUGAAAUGUAUAAUUUGAAACUAUUUAAUAAUAACACAUGGCAUAUCUACCAUAUUAAAAUAAAAUAGAUUAAAUUGUAAGUAAAAUAUAGUUUAAACAUAUGAAUACAUCGAAUUAAGAAUACUAAAUGAAUACAGUUAUUUAUGAUGAUGUUGUUGUCAAUUCCUAAGUUGGUGUCGAGUUAAUUUGUGACAUCAUAUAUUUAAGUGAUAAAUUUAAGGUUUUAUGUAUUGAUGUGGAUUCAAAUAUCACCAUAACUUAUUUAAAAUAAAAAACUAAAUUACCCCAAAUAAUAUAACUUAUUUUAAAUAAAAAAAUGAUUAUAUUCAACACUAAAUCAAUUUUUAGAUUUUGUACAAAUGAUUUAAUGAUGAUAAAAACAUUAUUACCACUAUUUUUGAAUUAACAAAAAAUUAGUGAUAUAUUUUAAUUUUAAUUUUUUUAUUUUUUAUUGUAUACUAAAUAUGGUACAUAUACUUUAAUUAUAACUUGAAAUUUUAUUAUAUAAAUUAAUAUAUUUUAAUUAUAUUCAACCAUUUGAAUAACAAAAUAAAAAAAAACUAAUUAGAAUAAUUUAAAAAAAAUUAUUUAAAAGCUAGUUAAAAAUCACGUGGUGCAACAGGUGAUAUGAGAAUCUAUGUAUAUAAAUGUAUAUGUAUAUAUAUCGUUCUUUCAUUUUUUAAAAUAAAUAUAUUUUCCACAUUGGUUUCUUUUGUUAUACAGACAAAUGAUUUCUAAUGAUUUUUUAAAAAAAAUGUACUUAUAUAAAAUAGAUUAGUUUAUGAAAUAAAAAAUAAUUUAUUUUUUAAAGUUUAAUGGAAAUUAAAAAUUAAAAAUAAAUCAAUUCAUAUAGAUCUUAUUAUUUAUUAUCAAAUUAAAAUGAUAAAAGUAUAUGACCAAAAUAGAAGAAACAAAUUCAACACAAUGUUUUUGGAGUUUGGAAAAAAUUAAAGUGAAAAACAUACCUUCUAAUUUGUUGUCAUAUAGACCUAUUACUUCGACCAUAGUUGAAUUAAAAAUACUUGAUGGAAUCUGACCUGCACACAUAGUCAAAAAUUAAAGUGAAAAACAUACCUUCUAAUCUGUUCAACUAAAAAUACUUUAAGCAUAUUUUUUAAGGUUGUUGCAUUUGCCCAUGCCAAAUGGAAUGUUACCGGAUAAUUCAUUCCGACUUAGGUAAAGCCCUUCAAGCUUGGGAAGAUGUUGACACAUAUCAUUAGGCAAACUACCUGAUAGGCUAUUGUUGGAGAGAUCAAUAGUCUUGAAAGAAGAAAUGUUAAAGAUCAAAGUCGGAAUCUGACCUGUAAGGCCUUUAAUUGCUUGAAUAUCAAGCAUUUCCAAACUAAAAAGAUUACCGAUUUCUUUAGGAAUUUGACCUUCAGACAUAGUCGAAACAUCAAGGUGUUAAAUUACCUAUUUUGUUAGUGUAAAUCAAAGAGGAUUUUUAUUUUUUUUUCGUUAUGAAAUAAUAAGGAUAUGUUAGAUUCUAAUCAUAUUUAAAUAUAUAUUAGUUCUUGAAAGAAAGAGUUCUUAUUUUUGGUAUUUAUAAUGCAAAUAUUUUUUUAAAAAAUUUAAAAAAAGGGGGGGCAAAUGUGUUUAAACUAAAGACAUCAAGGAAAAGGCAUACCUUCUAGGUUAUUUAACCCCAAGUAUAAUUGUUUAAGUUGUGUCAAAUUCCCAAUGCUUUUUGGAAUGAUCCCACUAAAUUGAUUAAUAGACAAUUCCAAAAUUUGAAGGUUGCAGCAUUUGUCUAUACUUGAUGGAAUAGAACUUGAUAAUUCGUUUCUACUGAAGUAAAGCUCUUUCAGCUUGGGAAGAUGGACACACAGAUCAUCGGGCAAGCCACCAGAAAGACAAUUAUGACGAAAAUGAAUCCUUUUCAAAGAAGAAAUGUUAAAGAUGGAAGAUGGAACCUGGCCAGAUAAUUGAUUGAAUCCCAAGUUCAAGAUCUCUAGAUUGGACAUGUUGACAAGUGUUUGAGGGAUUGUGCCUGUGAAGUUAUUAUUUCUCAUUUCCAACCUUUGAACUCUGUGCAAGUUCCCAAGCCAUGGUGGAAUUUCCCCAUUAAGACGGUUGUAGCUUAAUCGAAUGAUCCUCAAACGAUGCAAUUGGCCCAGUUCUUUAGGCAGAUGGCCAUAGAAAUUGUUGUUGCUCAAAUCGAGAGAAAAUAGAAAUGAAAGAUUUCCAAGGUGUGGAGGGAUAGUACCCCUAAGAUUCAUGUUUGUAAGAUUCAAAGCUACAACUCUCUCAUGGAUGAUGCCACAAGAAACACCAACCCACUUACAAACAGAGGUAGAGUUCGUCCAAUUGUUUGCCAACACAUUUUGAGGAUCGACAAUGCGAUCUUUCAACUCAAAGAGUGCAAACUGAUCGGAGUUGAGAUUCCGGACUGUCAUAGCCAAGGAAACAAUAGAGCACUGUAUGAAUAAAAGUGAAAGAAGAUGAAAGCAAGUGUUGUAGUUCAUGAUUGCAAGACGAAAUAAGCCAGGAAAAGAAAAAGUAGGAAAAGGGAAGUUGAAUUGAUGAAGAAAUACCCAGCGAACAUGCUUAAAUAGGCUUCAACCCUCGCACACUUCUCAUACAUAAAGUUCACUGCCAUUACAACAAGAAAACUCAUAUCUCCAUUCAUACCUAUCCAUACUUUAUUUGACUAACUUUUCCCUAACAAGUGUUCAGUAAGGAGACAAAUCAGUUUGGAGCUAUUCACUGAGUUCUCCAACCUUGGUUUCAAACUCCUAGCCCAUCAAUUCACUUUAAUUGAAACAAUAUACACGAGUCUUUCGGCUUAUAUUUUUAACUUACUACUUCUCUUUUUAAUUUAUUUUUUUGUUACUUCUCAUAAUAUUUUUUGAGAAAUCCAAAUAUUCCAGUCUGAAAUUUCUUCAUUGCCACGUCUAUCUCCUGGGUAAGUUCGUGGUUAGGCAGCCCACUUUGGGGGCAGGAUUGUAAUUUUAGUUCUAUCCGACUCAUUUUACUAUUUAGAAAUAUAAAAGUAAUAUUAUAUUAAUUUUUAUAUUUUUAUAAUUUUAAUUUUAAUUUUUAAACAAUAAAACGUGUCAUUUGUAUUUGCCUAGGCUAAACUGAAUCAGGAGUGAAAAUUUUUUUAAUCAUAAUUUACUUAUUUUAAUUAAUUAAAUUUUAAUCUGCUAUAACAAGUAGUUGCAUAAAAAAAUGUCAUUCCUUUAGAAAAAUGAGAACUUAUGAAGCAUUCAAUAAGAGUUGUUGGAAUACAUGGUAACAAAACUAUAAUUCGAUAUAAAACUAUAUAAAUAAAGUAAGAUUUGUGAUACCUAAAUUGUUAUCUUUUCUGUAAAUAUAUGGAGAUUUUUUAUUAGGAAAUAAUUUUAUAUAUCAACAUUUGUUAUUUUCUUUUGAUAGAAAUUUAAUUAUGUUAUCUGUAGAAAAAAAAUAUUUACGGAAAUAUCAUUAGUAGAAAAUCAUAAAUUUGUGUGUGGCAAAAAAUUUUCACCACCAAGAAAGGGACAAAUUAAACAACUUGAAAGUCAUUGGUUGUUUAAAAUAUUAGAUAAUAAUUUUAGUGAAGAAUCAUUAAAAUUAUGACAAAAUAACCCUAGAUAUUGUAGUAUUAAAUUAGAAAAUCUCAAUAAUAUUAUUAUAGUAAAACCUAUGAUCUAUCUAAACAAGAUAUAGAAGAAUUUGAUAUACAAAUUAAGGGCAGAAAUCAUGUGGAAAUAAUAAAAAACAAGAAAAAGCUAGUAUGGUCAUUAAUUAUAAAAGAUUAAAUCAAAAUAUUAUUUUUUAUAGUUACUUGAAUUAAUCAGGAUAGACAAACAAAAUAUUUUAGUAAAUUUGAUUGUAAAUCAGGAUUCUAGCAAAUCAUGCUAACAGAAAAGUCUAAACCUUUAACGGCUUUUAUCCAAUGGACAUUACCAAUGGAAAGUGAUGUUAUUUGAAUUAUGUAAUGCACCAAAAAUCUUCCAAAGACGAAUGGAUUUUAUAUUUAAUAAAUAUAAAAAAGUCUGUGUAGUUUAUAUAGAUGAUAUUUUGAUAUUUUCAGAUACACUAGAAUUACAUAAGAAAUAUUUAAAUAUUAUUUCUUAAGAAUUUAUAAAAUAUAGAAUCAUAUUAAACCCUAAAAGUAUAGAGUUAGAAAAAAGAGAGAGAGAGUUUUUAUAACAGUGGAAAUAAAAAAUUGUCCUCAAAAGAUUGAAGAAAAAAAGAACUUCCAGCAAUUUGUAAUAUAUUCCUCCCAAAUUUUCAGUUUCAAUUUUAUUACAGAAUUUCUUUGCCGACAAUAAGAAAAGAGCAUAUUCACAUUUUCGUCGCAAUUUCAACACCCUAUCUCUUGCCCACUUUCCUUUUUCGGCCAAUUUCAAACGUAGCUGUUUUUCGAUUUUUCCUCUUUAUUUCAUUAAUAAAAUGUCAAUCUAUUUGUUUUUUUAAUAUAUAAUUUUUUUAAUAUUUUUUUAAUUAUAAUAUAAGAGCUGUUGUUUAUUUAUAGUUUUAUUACAUUAUUUAAUCUCUUUUUUCUAUCAAGUUUUUUAAAUUAUAAUAUAAGAUUUAUUUUAUCAAAUUGUGGCUUAUCGAGUAUUCAUCUAUUUUAAUAAUAACUUGAGUUCCAAUCAUUAUUAUACCAGAAAGAGUUCCAUUUAUUCUUUAUCGUAAAUUUUAUAAAAAAAUAUAUUUUAUUAUAAUACUAUACGUGUUAGGAAUAAUAUUUUAUUUUGGAUGCCCAUAAUUUUCAAAGUUGUAACCUCUAAUGUAGUAACCUCAAUGAAAUUAUGAGGCUUUUAUAUUGUAAUCAAGCCUCUAUUUAUUCUUUGUAACUUAUAAACAAAGGCAUAUUUUCUAUUAUAUUGAUAUUUUCUAUAGAGGUAUAUACACAAGGAAUCAAAUAAAAAGUUAUUUACCUUUCUAUUAUAUUGAUAUUUUCUAUUUAAUUUGUUCUUUUCUUUCACUAUUCCAUAAUAUAUUAUCAGUACGAUUUUAAUUGAGAGUAACAGUUAUUAGAUUGUGUCAAAAUUUUGUUGGACUCCAAGUAUUGGAACUUAAUUGUUUAGGUUAAGAAUCAUUAGAAUCAGUGGCUAUUUGAGAUAUGCUUGAGGAUGAUCUCAUUCUCUUCAUCACAAAGGUGGAGGUUAGAAAAUCUUUAUGUUUAAACAUUUAUAGCUUCAAAGUUAUUUUAACCUCUUAUUGUGACCUUAUAAUAUUUUGUAAUUUUUUGUCUUAUGGUAUAUAAAAAAAUAUCUAACCAUAGUGAUUGAUUAGUAAUUUGAAUUUGUUAUUUGUUAUGUUUAAUAUAUAUUUUAUUUAUAUUUAUUCAUUUUAUUUUUAUAUGAGUAAAUGAAGUGUUUGAAGAUUCGAAAUUUUUAUCAUCCACGUUGAAAGUAAGUGCAAAUGUGUAUAUUAUUUAAAAUAAAUUACACAUUCAUUAAUGUUAUAUGAUAAAAUCAUUACAUGUUUUGAAGAACUAAUAUUGCAUCAAACUGUAAAAUGCUAAACCCUAAAAAGCUCUUGAAGAACUAAUAUUUUUCCUCCUUGUGAUGCAAAAUCUUCUAAAAUAUGAUAUUAUUUUUCAAAUCGAGAAGAUAUAUGUUGCAGGAAAUCUUUAUGUGUUUUACAUUAAAACCAUGAAUAGAAAUGACAUGAUAUAUGUAAUAGGCCCAAUUUGCCCGACCCGCUAUUAAAAUAAACCAAAUGAAAAAACAAAUGAAAUAACAGUCCAUUAGUCCAUAGUUACAAACCCAAGUUACAGUGGCCCAGUCACCUAAAAGACCCAACUAAAACCCAAACCCACUAAGCCUAAUGCCCAUCAGCCAACCCUAGCUCGACGGCCCAACACCAAAGAGGUUGCAGAAACCCUAGCAGCAAACAAUCUCUGGCGCCGCAGCCUUUGGCCCUCUCCUCGUAUGUGCUGGUCUCUCCACGUCACCACCCCUCCGUACGCCGUACCUGCAAGGAGGACAAACAAACAAGCAGCGAGACAUAUAGCAACAAAAAAAAUGGAGCAUAUAGCAGAUUGACAGCAAAUACUAGGGGAAAAUAGGAAGAAAAUGUAAAAUUUAGAAAAAAAUUUAUUCUUUUUCUCAGAUCGGCUAUAAAGAGGACCGAUUGAACUAUGUAUUUUUUUACGCAUUCAAAAUAUUGAAAGGUGACUUCCGAGUUUCUUUUACAUUUUUCAUUUUGCUAGUAUCAGUUUUCUUUUUUCUUUCUCUUAUUUUUUGUGUUCAAUAGCCAUUAGUUAAGAGAUAAAACAAUAAGAGAAAGAGAGGGACGGAUGUACCUGGUAGCGCGAUCUUAGCCCUCUUCGCCGUCAUCGGAGAACGGGCUAGGUUCGAAAGCCGUCUGAAUGCCCUCAAUGCGCAGAACGGUCUAGGGCUUUUGCUUUAGUUAAGGUUUUGUUUUGAUGUAGGUGAUAGUUUUUUAGGGUUUAUUUUAGUUUUAAAUGCAGGAUUUAAAAUGUCGCCGUUCAGAGCCCAUACAAUGGCACUGAAACGGCGUCGUUUGAUGGUCCGACCCAGGCGAUGACCCGAUCCGGGUAGGAUCCGUGUCCUCUAGUUGGUUGGUCUAUUUGUCUAAUAGGUCCCUCGGAGUUCAAUGGGAUUAUGAUUCGAUUUUCUUUAUUUGUUUGUAAUUUGUACUUUACAUUUAAUUCUGUAUUCAUUUAGAUCCGAAUUUAAAUGGCGUCGUUUCUGUGGUUGACUUGGAUUGUUAUGAUGUUUGUGUUUAAUUGCUAGUUUAGUCCUUCAAUGUUGAAACAGGUUUUGAUUUAAUACAAAUUCAGUUUUCUUUUUAAAAUUCCACAAUAUUUUUAAUUAAUUAAAUCCUACUUUCGUAUAUUAUAAUAUUUAAUAUUAUUUGUAACAUUUAUUUUAUAUAGUGUUUAAAUUUAUUAUUAUAGUUUAAAAUGUAAUAAAUUAUUAUUAUUUUGUUUAUUUUUUAAUUCAUUAUACACCAAUAUUUUGAGUCAAUUGUAUUUUAAUUUUGUCCUAAUUUAUUAUCAUUCUAAUUUUAUUUAAGUCUCGAUUUAAAAUUUGUUGAUUAUUGUUCGAAAUUUCAAAAAAUGUUUUGCAUAUUUAAUCCUGAUUUCAAAAGUCUUUUAAUAAAUCAAGUUUUAUAAUAAUUCAUAUUUUUAAUAUCAUUUUAAUAUUGGCUAAUAUUAUCAUAAUUGUUGUUAUCAUUUUUAAAAUUAUUUUUCUCAUGUCUAAUGUUGUCUUCAAAAGUUUUCUUUAGAUAAAUUAAUUCAUAUUUUAAUUCAUCAUUUUUAACCUUAUUUUAAUAUUUAGCUUAUUAUUGUAUUUUAAAUUUAUUUUUAAAUCUUCAUAUUAAUUAUUAUUUUUAUUUUAUUUUAUCGUUUAAAUCAACGUAUCCUUAGGAAUUUGAUUAUUGAUUUAUUAGAUGUUUAAUUAUUAAUAUGGAUGAAUUAUAUGUUUGGUUGCUCUUUAAUGUAAAUUUAGAUUACUAUUUAUCUUUUGCAUUACAUAUUGCUAUUUAAUUAUAUUGUUUGUAAGAAUUCCAUUUCAUUAAAACAUUAUAAUCGUUUUAUUUCAAAAUUCCUAAAAAAAAUUGGUGUUUAAUAAUGCUCGAGAGAAUUGUGCCCUAACUUACUGGGCUUCAAUUCUUCUCGAUGAAUUUAUAUCAUCAAGUAUCCAUUUUAUUUAAGCCAUACAAUUUUAAAAUAAAGCAUUUAAGAUUUCAAAAUAUUGGAUCCUAACUUACUGGAUAUGAUAUUUUGUUAUCUCGAUUUUAAAAUAAAGGCAAUAUUUGGUAUUUAGGAAUUUUAAGAAAAUUGAACCCUAACUUACUGGGUUUCGAUUUCUCGAUUGACCCAAAUAACCAAAUAUCCUUCUCAAAACGUAUGAAUUUUUAAAAUUAAAAAAGACGAAUCUAACUUCGAAGAUUGAAUCGUUGCACUCUAACUCACUGAGUGUGACGGUUUAUUUCUUUAAAGUGGGUAGGUCUUAUGUUCCACUUCGAUUAUUAAAUUUUCUUUUCAAAGGAUCGUAUUUUAAAAUCUUUUCAAAUUUUUGACACUAAGACAUUAAACAAUCGAUUCGGUACCAAUUUUGGGCGUAACGAGGGUGCUAACCCUUCCUAGUGCGUAACCGACUCCUGAACCUGUUUUUUUCAAACUUCGCAGACCAAAAUCAUUUUUAUGGUGAGCCGAUCACACUCCUUUAAAAGAUCGGUGGCGACUCCCAAUUUGCGUUUUUAAUUCGACAACUAAAAUUUUUGUUGUUUCCAAAACGGUGGGUUCGACAAUAUACUCGUGUAUUUGUAUUAUAAAUAUUCCUUGAAGGAAUACACUUCACUUGUAUGAUUGACAUAUGAGAUAGUGACAAGAAGUUCAUAGUGUUGGUAUGGUCUGCUAGAUCAUCUCAAGUCAAUAAUGAUGCAAAAUCAUUUGAAGAGAAUUUAUAUGAUUUUAUUGAAGAAUGAGAAGUUAUUUUCAUUUUGAUAAUUGUCAUCAAUACUAGUUCUUUGAAAAAAAUAUUGAACUAACAUCAACUAAAGUUAGAGGUUGGUUGCAUUUUUUGAUGAUAUCCAAAUAAUAUAUGAGCUCAUGUAUCACAUGUAUGCAACCCAAAGUUUACAGUAUUAUUUCUUGAAAUAAUUUGAUUCUACACAAUCUCUAUAGUAUGCAAUUUGUGCUAACAACAUUGAUGCAUUAUAUCCUAAGCUUGAUUUUCAUAGUUUUAGCUGAGAUAAUAUUAAGUUAUCUAUGCCUAUAUAUGUUAUACUUAAUGGUUAGCAAAAUUAUGCCUCCAUUUAAUUGCUUAACCAUUAAUAUAAGAAGAGCUUUAAAAUAAGCAUGUAAUUUUAUUUGCAUAGAGCCAACAUGUAAGAAAUGUACAAGCCCAAUUUCGUCCGGGACCAACCAAAUAAAACCCAAAAAAAAAAAGAAUAAUAAUUAACAGUCCAAGAAAUUUAAUAAUAACUUGAGUUCGAAUCAUUAUCAUACCAGAAAGAGCUCCAUUUAUUCUUUAUCGUAAAUUUUAUAAAAAAAAUUAUAUUUUAUUAUAAUACUAUAUGUGUUAGAAUAAUAUUUUAUUGUGGAUGCCCAUAAUUCUCAAAGUUGUAACCUCUAAUGUAGUAACCUCAAUGAAAUUAUGAAGCUUUUAUAUUGUAAUCAAGCCUCUAUAUAUUCUUUGUAGAAAAUAUUAAGUUGAUUUUACUUUAUUAAAAAAUUUAAAAUAAAUUAUCUUGUUUUUUUUAAAUGAGUUAACCAAAUUAACAUAUUUAUUUUUAUCCAAAAUUGUCCAAAAUAAUAUAAAAUAUUAUAUUAAUAAAAUUAAAACUAUGAAAUAAUAUUUUUUAAAGAUUAUUAUUUACUUUUAUCAAACAAUACAAUUAUAUUCAGUACUUAUAUUUACUAGUUUACCAAACAGUUUUCCAAUAUGAGUUCAACACUUAUCAAAUUCAGUAUUAAAAAUUCAGUGCUUAAUUUUUUAGCACUUAACUUUUCAAUUCAUCAAGCACGUCUAAUUCAAUUUAUAUAAUUCUCUAUUUGUAUCUCUAUGAAUUUAUAAAAUCCUUCUCGCAUUUAGUUGUUGGGAUCUUUAUAUGAAGAUAGAUGCUUUUAUUUUUUUAUUGGUUCAUUUUUAAUAAUUGUAUUGAUUUAUUUAAUUUAAUUUUUGAUUAAUAUAUAUAUGAUUAUUGUGGAAUGGAAGUAAAAGUAUUUACUUCUCAUAAACUUUGAAAUAUUCACCCUGUCUACAUAUUAAUUAUUGUAAAAUUUUAAUUGAAAUUAUGUCAUAAAAGGUGGAGGUUAGAAAAUCUUUAUGUUUAAACAUGUAUAGCUUCAAAGUUAUUUUAACCUCUUAGUGUGACCUUAUAAUAUUUUGUAAUUUUUUGUGUUAUGGUAUAUAAAAAAAAUCUAACCAUAGUGAUUGAUUAGUAAUAUAAAUUUGUUAAUAUAUAUUUUAUUUAUAUUUAUUCAUUUUAUUUUUAUAUGAGUAAAUGAAGUGUUUGAAGAUUCGAAAUUUUUAUCAUCCAUGUUGAAAAUAAGUGCAAAAGCGUAUAUUAUUUAAAAUAAAUUACGCAUUCAUUAAUGUUAUGUGAUAAAAUCAUUACAUGUUUUGAAGAACUAAUAUUGCAUCAAACUGUAAAAAGCUCUUGAAAAGCUAAUAUUUUACCUCCUUGUGAUGCAAAAUCUUGUAAACCAUGAUAUUAUUUUUCAAAUCAAGAAGAUAUAUGUUGAAGGAAAUAUUUAUGUGUUUUACAUUAAAAACAUGGAUAGAAAUGACGUGAGAUACUCGUGUAUUUGCAUUAUAAAUAUUCCUUGAAGGAAUACACUGCACUUGUAUGAUUGACAUAUGAGAUAAUAGCAAGAAGUUCAUAGUGUUAGUAUGGCCGGCUAGACCAUCUCAAGUUAAUAAUGAUGCAAAAUAAUUUGAAGAGAAUUUAUGUGAUUUUAUUGAAGAAUGAGAAGUUAUUUUCAUUUUGAUAAUUGUCAUCAUUACUAGUUCUUUGGAAAAAAAAUAUUGAACUAACAUCAAAUAAAGUUAGAGGUUGGUUCAUGGUUGUAUUUUUUUAUGAUAUCCAAAUAAUAUAUGAGCUCAUGUAUCACAUGUAUGCAACCCAAAGUUUACAGUAUUAUUUCUUGAAAUAAUUUGAUUCUACACAAUCUCUAUAGUAUGCAAUUUGUGCUAACAACGCUGGUGCAUUAUAUCCUAAGCUUGAUUUUCGUAGAUUUAGCUGAGAUAAUAUUAAGUUGUCUAUGCCUAUAUAUGUUAUACUUAAUGGUUAGCAAAACUAUGCCUCCAUUUAAUUGCUUAACCAUUAAUAUAAGAAUAGUUUUAAAAUAAGCAUGUGAUUUUAUUUGCAUAGAGUCAACAUGUAAGAAACAUUUGUCCCAUGAGAAUUAGCUUUCAUUUAUAAGCCAAUAGGUUUCAUUUAUGACUAUUUGAAUGUAAAAUAUCUAUUUUAUAUUCCACCAUAAUGCACUAAGAUGGACCAUCAAGUAUGAAGUUGAGAAAAAUUAGAAUUUUUAUUUGAUGGUAAAAGUUGAAAAGAGAUAUAUAUUUAUAAUUUUGAAAAAAAUAUUCAUGUUACAAAUUUUCUCAGUAUUAGGGGGAGACAAGUUGGACAAAUAAGUAUAAUUAUGUCAUCACUUUUUGUGAUCCCUUACUAAUCUUAUGUGCACAAAGUUUGAAAGAAAAAGGUAUUUGCUAGACAUGUUUAGUGAUGAUAUUUAGAGAUUGUAUAUACUAGAUGAUACAUAUACCAGCUAAAAUGUUCCAAAUAAUUAUGAGUCCUAGAAGGACAAAGUGAUAAAAAUAAUUUUUGGGCACACUAGAAGGAUGAAAAACUAGUUGGUUCUAUAAAUAAAAAAAAUCUUAAAAGAAAAGAGUAAGAAAUGAAGAUGGUCAUACGUUAAAGGAGACGAGUACUCAUGAAGAGACCCAAGGUAUAACUUUUAAUAAAACCCCAAAAGAGGUUCAAUACAUGAAAUUAUGAAAAUAAUAAGUGUAAUAACCAGAUUUUUCCCGGGCCCAAUGCCAAACAAAUAAAACCCAAACCAAAUAAAUAAAAUAAGAGUCCAAAUUACAAUCCAUCAGGGCCCAAUUCAGACCAGCCCACUAUUCAAUCAGACCAGCCCAACAAAAAAUAAACGCUAGUAGCCCACAACCCAACUAAGCCUAAAACAUUUUCAGCAAAAGACGAAACCCUAGCUGCCAUGCUAGCCGCCGCUCCUGCCCUAGCCUCUGCCCACUGUCGCACACCACCUUUGCCACCACCGUCAACCUCUGACACCUGCAAAACAGCAAACAACACGCAACAACAAAGAAGAAGACAACAAGCAAAAAACAAAUCGCAAAGGGACAAAAAUAAUGAUAACAAAUAGCCUUAGUUCGGCUAUAAAAACAAAAAAAAAAUGAAAACUUUGUACUUCUUCGGCAAGAUUAAUACCAAAAAAAAAAGAGAAAAGAUUUGAACUUUUUAAGGUGAUAUUUCAUUUUUUUACGCUUUAGAUCUAUUUUUUUUAUUUCACCUUCAUCUACGAAAAUUAAAAAAGAAAAGAAAAGAAAAAGACUUUGAUUUCAAAGUGAUAUUUCAUUUUUUUUUGUUUUAGAUCUAGUGUUUUUUAUUUAUUUUUUAUCUACGAAAAUAAAAAAGGAAAAGAGAAACGUACCUGAUUCGCCUCGUGGCUCCGUCGACGGAAGUCCCAUCGUCGUCGUCGGAAUCAGGCUUAAAAGGGGAAGGUUUUUAUUUUUCUUUGCUUUUUUUUUUGGAUUUUUCGUCUCAAGAAAGGGACUAAGGGAGGAGAAAUGGCCAAAAUGGUCUUUUUCCGAUGAACUCCGGCAACCGUAUGCAGCGGUUAACGGCGCCGGCGCUCGGUGGCUGCGAUGGAGCCAUGGUGGUGUCCCAUGGCCGGAUCUGGAGAGGAAGGCUUUGAGAGGGAGAGAGUUUCUAACAGUUUUUUUUUUAUAUUUUCUAAGGCAGAAAUGAAUUUUUGAAAAAAAAAGUUGGGUUUUAUAAGUGCAUGAAACGGCGCUGUUUUGCACAAGUGCACAUCGACGUCGAAACAACGUCAUUUACCCCUUUACCCGCGCGCCCGAGUCCGACCCGAUGAAGGUCCGUGUGUUUUCAUGCCUGAUGGGUUAUUUCCCUUCUGCUUUUGGGCUUCUUCUCAAUCUGGUCCUAAUCCUACUUUUUUCCUCCUUUUAAAUUGUACCAUUUAAUUUAAUUUCAUUUUCAAUUCGGUCCCUAGGUUGACCAUAGGAAAUGACGAGCACAAAGUUAAGGGAUAUUUUCCCUUUCAAUCCCCAAUAUUUUUAGCGCGAUUCCCUAACCUUUAAUUCCUACCUUUUACACAUAUUAUUUCAUUUUAUUCGUUUAUUUAUUCACUUAUCAUUUUUACCCUCUUUUUAUACUUAAAAAUAUAUAUUAUUUACACUAUUACUUGCAUAUUUUUUACUAUUAAAUUAUUAUUUUUAAUGUAUUAUUAUUCCCAUUAUUUUACCUUUUUAUUUAUUUUGAUACUUUCAUGUCACAUUUAUUUAUUUUAAUAUUUCCAUUAUUUAUUUUAUUUUAUUCUUAUGUUUUUUAGUAUUUUUUUUAUUUCUUUUAUUGUUCACGGUUUUUUUUUUCAUGUUAUAGAUAUUUAUCUUUCUAAUCAUGCAUUUUUCCUUUUUUUAUUUUGUUUUAGGUUACCUUAUUUAUUAUUAUUAUUAUUGUGAUAAUACUAUUAUAAUUAUAUUACCAUUAUUAUAGAAUUCCUUUAUUUGUAUAUUCCAUUAUAACUAUUAUUAUUAUUAGUCUUUAACUAACUUCUAUUUUUAUUAUUAUUUUUUAGAAUAGUAGUCAACAUGGUUAUCCUUAUUAUUAUUUGGUGUUGUUAUUAUGAUUUUAUCAUUAUUAUUGUUGUAUUUCAUUUUUUGUUCACUCUUUAAAUAUUUUGUUCAUAUAGUUAUUUUGCAUUAUUGCAAUAUUGUUGCAUUAACGCAUUAUGUUUCUUAUAUAAUAAUUAUUUCGCUUUCGCGCAAUGUUCGAAUCAAUUAAACAUGAAUCUUAUCAAUUCUUACAUUAAUUCUUACUUAAGUUCAAAAAGAAAAUUUUCAAAAUAAGGUAAUAUUUUGCGUUUUAGAAAUUCGAGAAAUCGUACCCUAACUUACGGGGUUUCAAUUUUCUCGUUAAACUUAAAUAGCAAAAUAUUCUUUUAAAUUUCAAAAUGCAUGCAAUUUCAAUAAAAAUCAAAGGCAAGCUUAUUCUCUAAGGUUCCAAAUAUCGCGUCCUAACUUAUAGGAUGUGACAUUUCGUUACCUCGAGACGAGUAGGUCUUCAACUCUCUUUUUGAUUUAUUCGGGCGUUUUUAAUAACAUUAAUAAAAAGGGAUUCUAUUUUAAAUUUCCGUUCAAGUUUUCAACCUUCGAAAUUAAGACAUUAAUUAAUCAACUAGGUACCAACUUUGGGCGGAUCUAGGGUUCUAAUCCUUCCUUGUGCGUAACCGACUCCCGAACCCGUUUUCUGGAUUUUGUAGACCAAAUAUUAUCAUUUUAGUAAAUUUAAAUUUUUAUUAAAAUGAUUAGAUUACAAGGUGACUGGAUCACACCUCAUCAAAAAGGAUUGGUGGCGACUCCCAUUUGCGUUUUCAUUUUUUAAAAAAAUCAAAGUCAACCCAUUUUUAAAAAAAAUGGUUUCGACAAUAAGAUAUCUUGAUUAGUUAUGUCAUAACUAAAGAUGAUGGAGUUGAUAAAAGGAAAUUGUAGUUAACAACGAAUAAUCUACGUAGAAUAUUUCAAUAUUAUGGAAAAAUGAGUAUUUACCAACCUUCUUUUAGUCAAAUUAUGCAAGCCUAAAAUUUUUAGCUUAAUUUGAGUUUGUUGACUAUGUCUAAUUCAAGUUUUAUUAUUAAGGACUAAAUUGUAACUUAAACAAAUUAGAAUACCAAUUUAAAGAGACAAAAAUUCAAAACCCAAAAACCCACACGGGCUUGUGGGUAAGUGACACGGGCGUGUGGAGACUGGACCUAUCACACACGGGAGAGUGGGAUUGAGAAAUAUGAAAUAAAUUAAUCCACUUAAUUUUCCAACAACCAUGCUAUACUACCAAACCAAAUAGCGCUUGAAGCUUUGAAUAGGGACGAAUCUUAAAAAAAUUAGAAGAAUUAGAAUUAAAUUAUAAAAUUUUGAAAAGUUAUCAUGUUUUAAUUUAUUAUUUUUAAAAGGGUCUUAAUAGAAUUUUUUUUUCCCAUUUUGGUUGGGCCAAUACCCCUAUUUGCCUCUUUAAAUUUGCUUCAAUCCUAAACCCAAUGUUCGAUUUGUUGUGGAAGUUUGACGCAUAAAAAUUUCUUUUUUAGAGGUUUAAAUUAUAAAUUUUUGAAAGUUUAAAAUAAAUUUAUAUUUUUUAUUAACAAAAUAUAAAAGAUAAAAAAACAUUUUUAGACAAGCCAAGAAACCUUUGGGAUCAUACGGGUGAUUUUGAUGAUGUUAAUGGUUAUUUUGGUGGAAAGGGUGAAAAAGAAACAAAUGAUUCAUUAUAUAUAAUAUAAUUAUGAAAUUCAAGCCAUAUAUUGGAUGUUUCAUACAUAAAAAUUUCAUGGGACGUCCAAAGGUAAUUAAAUGACUUGUAGGCUUGCUGAAUUUCUUUGAAAGGCCCAAAGGCAAUUUAACAUUCACAAAAUAAUAUCUAAAUACUGUAAAGGCAAAUCAAAUCCACAGCAGCAUUUGCAAAUAUUACUUUGAUUUUGCAUGCAAUAUUGGCAAAACCCCCUCUUACAUUAGAAAAACAACAUAAUCCACGUAACAUUGAUAGCCCAAUACAAAUUUCAUCAAGAAAAAAGUCUCUUUGUUUUGUAGAACGUGAUAGUAAAGAUGUGGAGUUUCGUUCUUCUUAUUGGCCUCCUUUAGUUUUCCUUGAUCAACAGCCACAAGCCAAAAACACAAUUAGAUUAGAUUAUGAAUGAUACUUUCAACUAUGACAAUAUUAAAUACAAAACACUCCAAAUAACUCUAAAUAAAUGGAAAGCAGCAAAUUACCUGACGAGGCAAGCUAGCUCAAUUAAGAUCAUUGUGUUAUACUUGUCUCUAAAUUGAAAAUUUUAGAAGGAAAUAAAGAGAAAGAAAAUACUUGAAAACGGAUAAAACUUCUAUGUCAUUUAAAAUAAAAAAAAUUCUAUUUAAGCCAUUUAAAAUUUUUUAGAUUUUUAAAAUUUUAAAAUGAUUAAGUGUACUCAUUACUCACCAUCUCUGUUAAAAAUGUUGGAUGUUGUUUAGCAACCUUUGUUUGAUUUUCUUCAGCUCAACCACAACAUCUUUCAUAUCUUUUCUUUCUUCUGGUAACUCAGCUGAACAAUUCAAAGCCAACUCCAUGAUAGAUGAAAUACAAUUUGCUUUAACAACCAUGUACUCAUCCUCUCUUCUUAAUAAAUCAACAUCUGCAAUUUCUAUCGCUCCUUUAGGCAAUGAACUUUCCAUCCAAUGCCUUAUACUCUCUUCUUCAACAAAAACAUUAUCAGUUGGCUUUUUCUUUGUGAAAGUUUCUAUAAGGACGAUCCCAUAACUAUAGAUGUCAGAUUUUAUAGAAACAAUUCCUGCUGAUCCAAAUUCUGCAUUUCAAGUAUAAUUAGAACAUCAUUCAUCCUCAAUUAUUUCUAAAAUGCUUAUUCAAAUAUAUAUCCACAUCCACAUGAAACAAAAAUAUAAAAUGCAAUUUAGGAAAAUAAUCAUACAAAAAUAAAAAAUAAUUCACCUGGUGCCAUAUACCCGAUAGUUGCAAGAGUCAUGGUUUGCUUCAUUACUUCACCUUCUCCCAACAAUUUGGCAACGCCAAAAUCUCCAACAUGUGCAACCAUGUCUUCAUCUAGUAAAAUAUUGCUUGGUUUUAUGUCACAAUGAAUUAUAGGUGUUGGAUGUCCAUUGUGGAGGUGUUCUAUAGCUACCGCAACAUCUAUCAUUAUGUCGACCCUUUGUAUGAUAUCAAGGAAACAAUUUUCAGAAUGUAACCAUUUCUCAAGGUUUCCAUUAGACAUGUAAUCAAGCACCAAGGCUUUGAAGUCAACACUUGAGCAGCAAGUAAUGACCUUCACAAUAUUACGAUGAACUAUAUUAAGCAUAGCAUCACAUUCAAUGUCAAAACUCCUAAAUGCUCCCUCUGUUUGCAAAUUGAAAACUUUUAUUGCAACUUCCAUUCCAUCUGAAAGCCUCCCUUUAUAUACAUAUCCAAAACUCCCUGAACCAAGCAUAUUGCUUUCCUCAAAUCCAUUAGUUGCUCGUGAAAGUUCAGCAUGUGAAAUUCUUCUCGGUGUCUUCAAAGACAACAAAUCAUCUUUAAUUGGUAAAGCUGUACUCCUCCUUUGGCAUCUUCUAUACAUAAUAGUUAAGACUAUUAGUACUACGACAAUACCAAUUGUUGGUAAACCAUACCUAAAAGCAUGCAAUAUAAUCAUUUGGGAGUUUUUGUGGAUGUAGUUUUUACAAGGUGGGACUAGCAGUCUAGGUGGACCACAAAGUGCAUAAUUCUUCAUGAAUGAUGUGCUAGAAAAUUUUGAAAAACAUCCUUCGCUGGGAAUUUCCCCUUCAAGUCUAUUAAAAGACACAUUAAAAUACUUUAGAUAUAAAAGCUUUUCCAAAGAUUUGGGAAUGACUCCAGAGAGAUUGUUAUUGCAUAAAUCCAAGAAUUCCAAACUAAUCAACCCAUCAAAUGAUUCAGGGAUAUAACCAUGUAGUAUAUUAUUUGAUAAAUCUAAUGAAACCAAAGUUUGAAGACCCCCAAAUGAGGAUAAGAUAUCGCCCGUGAGAAGAUUCCUUGAUAAAUUUAGUUUCAGUAGACUCCUCAAAUUUCCAACAUCAAUAGCAUGUGAAUUGUGAAGAUGGUUUGAUGAUAAAUCUAUUUCUAAGAUAUCUUUAAGAUUCCACAAAGUUGAGGGUAUUGCGGAACUCAAUUUGUUGGAAUCUAAGUAAAGAUAUCCCAAAGAAGUAAUAUUACCCAAACAAGAGGGUAUAGAUCCAUGCAGCUUAUUCAACCCUAAAAACAAGUUGUAUAAUCUCUCCAAAUCACAAAGGCUUUCUGAGAUGGGCCCUCCUAAUUUAUUAGAGGAAAGACCUAGACUUUGGAGAUUGCGCAGUCCUCCUAUUGAUGUUGGAAUGAAUCCACUUAAUUUAUUAUAGCCAAGUUCUAAAACCAACAUUUUGCUUAAGUUACCUAUUUCCAUAGGAAUAGUGCCUUGAAGCUCACAAUCUUCGGCAUAAAAGUAUUGAAGGGAUUUUGAAAGGUUCCCAAUAUAAGUAGGAAGAACGCCACUCAAUGGAUUUUCUGAAACUCCUAUGGUUUUCAAAUUCUUACAAUUCGUCAAAGAAGAAAGAAAGCUCCACUCAUGAUCAGUAGCAGAUCCUGUGAUCAAAUUAUUGUUUACGAUUCUGAACCAUUCAAGCUGUCUUAAGUUGCCAAGCGUUUUAGGGAUUGGGCCAGAGAAUAAGUUAUCUCCCAAGUCUAGUUUCGUAAGCAUGGAAGCAUUGGAGAUAGAGUAGGGAAUGUUUCCGCUAAGUUUAUUUCCCCCCAAAAAAAGAAACUCAAGCUUUGGAGCAUUGGUAAUGGGUGGUAAAUUACCUGUAAAAUAGCAUCUUUUAGUAUACAUAUUAAUUGAAUACCAAAUUCAUAAAAUAUAUAAUACAUUAAAAUAAAAACUGUAAAACUUCAAAUCAAUUAAGAAUAAAAUUUUGGCAUGGAAAAAUGUGAUGAAAUCAAUUAGAAAGUUGAGACAUAAUAAGAAGUUUUGAGUAGUAAUUACUCAUGAUUUCUAUAGACAAAACAUAUAAUACACUGAUAAUUUUUUUAAAAUAUUGUAAAACCUGAAAUAAAAUAAAAAAUAAAAGUUUGGCACGAGAAUGUAGCAUCUAAUCAUUCUUAAAAAUAAGACUAACAUUGAAUAAUAAUUAGUUAUGAUUUGAGAAACAAAAAUGUUAAAGAUGUAAACUGGUAUGAUUUUUAUCCAUUGGGUUAAUUAUUUAUUUUUAUUAAAUUAUAGUGUAAAAUUUAAAGAUUAUUAUUUGCUCAAAAUUUUUGUAUUUUUCGUAUAUUUGAAAUUUAAUCUUUAUAUUUUUUAUUUUCUCUGAUUUAGUCUCUCUACUUUUUGAAUUGAAAAUUUUAAGUUUAUUUAUUAACACUGUUAAAAGGUUUUUGUGUUAGUAUGGCAUUUUAAAAAAUAAAAUAAACUUGAUAUCUAUGUUUUUAAUUAUUCCAAAUACUGUUUUACUAUUCCAAGAUAAAUUUUUUGUGUCUAGACCAAUAUCUUAAGAACUAUUGUUGCAUGUUUAAUUAUUUUAAAGAAUUGUUGAUUGAGUCUUAGUUGAAGUGCACUAUUCUCCUAUUUAUGAAUUGGGGAGUUGGUAAAGUACUAAAUUUUGAUAUAUUUUAAAAUAUUAAAAAAUUUAUUAAAAUAUUUUUUAUAAAAAUUGAUUGUACCACAUUAUACAAUUUUAAUAUCAAAUUUUUAAAUUUUUUUAAAAUAUUAGCGAAUAUAUACUUUAUUUCAAGUUACACAAUUUUUNNNNNNNNNNNNNNNNNNNNNNNNNNNNNNNNNNNNNNNNNNNNNNNNNNNNNNNNNNNNNNNNNNNNNNNNNNNNNNNNNNNNNNNNNNNNNNNNNNNNNNNNNNNNNNNNNNNNNNNNNNNNNNNNNNNNNNNNNNNNNNNNNNNNNNNNNNNNNNNNNNNNNNNNNNNNNNNNNNNNNNNNNNNNNNNNNNNNNNNNNNNNNNNNNNNNNNNNNNNNNNNNNNNNNNNNNNNNNNNNNNNNNNNNNNNNNNNNNNNNNNNNNNNNNNNNNNNNNNNNNNNNNNNNNNNNNNNNNNNNNNNNNNNNNNNNNNNNNNNNNNNNNNNNNNNNNNNNNNNNNNNNNNNNNNNNNNNNNNNNNNNNNNNNNNNNNNNNNNNNNNNNNNNNNNNNNNNNNNNNNNNNNNNNNNNNNNNNNNNNNNNNNNNNNNNNNNNNNNNNNNNNNNNNNNNNNNNNNNNNNNNNNNNNNNNNNNNNNNNNNNNNNNNNNNNNNNNNNNNNNNNNNNNNNNNNNNNNNNNNNNNNNNNNNNNNNNNNNNNNNNNNNNNNNNNNNNNNNNNNNNNNNNNNNNNNNNNNNNNNNNNNNNNNNNNNNNNNNNNNNNNNNNNNNNNNNNNNNNNNNNNNNNNNNNNNNNNNNNNNNNNNNNNNNNNNNNNNNNNNNNNNNNNNNNNNNNNNNNNNNNNNNNNNNNNNNNNNNNNNNNNNNNNNNNNNNNNNNNNNNNNNNNNNNNNNNNNNNNNNNNNNNNNNNNNNNNNNNNNNNNNNNNNNNNNNNNNNNNNNNNNNNNNNNNNNNNNNNNNNNNNNNNNNNNNNNNNNNNNNNNNNNNNNNNNNNNNNNNNNNNNNNNNNNNNNNNNNNNNNNNNNNNNNNNNNNNNNNNNNNNNNNNNNNNNNNNNNNNNNNNNNNNNNNNNNNNNNNNNNNNNNNNNNNNNNNNNNNNNNNNNNNNNNNNNNNNNNNNNNNNNNNNNNNNNNNNNNNNNNNNNNNNNNNNNNNNNNNNNNNNNNNNNNNNNNNNNNNNNNNNNNNNNNNNNNNNNNNNNNNNNNNNNNNNNNNNNNNNNNNNNNNNNNNNNNNNNNNNNNNNNNNNNNNNNNNNNNNNNNNNNNNNNNNNNNNNNNNNNNNNNNNNNNNNNNNNNNNNNNNNNNNNNNNNNNNNNNNNNNNNNNNNNNNNNNNNNNNNNNNNNNNNNNNNNNNNNNNNNNNNNNNNNNNNNNNNNNNNNNNNNNNNNNNNNNNNNNNNNNNNNNNNNNNNNNNNNNNNNNNNNNNNNNNNNNNNNNNNNNNNNNNNNNNNNNNNNNNNNNNNNNNNNNNNNNNNNNNNNNNNNNNNNNNNNNNNNNNNNNNNNNNNNNNNNNNNNNNNNNNNNNNNNNNNNNNNNNNNNNNNNNNNNNNNNNNNNNNNNNNNNNNNNNNNNNNNNNNNNNNNNNNNNNNNNNNNNNNNNNNNNNNNNNNNNNNNNNNNNNNNNNNNNNNNNNNNNNNNNNNNNNNNNNNNNNNNNNNNNNNNNNNNNNNNNNNNNNNNNNNNNNNNNNNNNNNNNNNNNNNNNNNNNNNNNNNNNNNNNNNNNNNNNNNNNNNNNNNNNNNNNNNNNNNNNNNNNNNNNNNNNNNNNNNNNNNNNNNNNNNNNNNNNNNNNNNNNNNNNNNNNNNNNNNNNNNNNNNNNNNNNNNNNNNNNNNNNNNNNNNNNNNNNNNNNNNNNNNNNNNNNNNNNNNNNNNNNNNNNNNNNNNNNNNNNNNNNNNNNNNNNNNNNNNNNNNNNNNNNNNNNNNNNNNNNNNNNNNNNNNNNNNNNNNNNNNNNNNNNNNNNNNNNNNNNNNNNNNNNNNNNNNNNNNNNNNNNNNNNNNNNNNNNNNNNNNNNNNNNNNNNNNNNNNNNNNNNNNNNNNNNNNNNNNNNNNNNNNNNNNNNNNNNNNNNNNNNNNNNNNNNNNNNNNNNNNNNNNNNNNNNNNNNNNNNNNNNNNNNNNNNNNNNNNNNNNNNNNNNNNNNNNNNNNNNNNNNNNNNNNNNNNNNNNNNNNNNNNNNNNNNNNNNNNNNNNNNNNNNNNNNNNNNNNNNNNNNNNNNNNNNNNNNNNNNNNNNNNNNNNNNNNNNNNNNNNNNNNNNNNNNNNNNNNNNNNNNNNNNNNNNNNNNNNNNNNNNNNNNNNNNNNNNNNNNNNNNNNNNNNNNNNNNNNNNNNNNNNNNNNNNNNNNNNNNNNNNNNNNNNNNNNNNNNNNNNNNNNNNNNNNNNNNNNNNNNNNNNNNNNNNNNNNNNNNNNNNNNNNNNNNNNNNNNNNNNNNNNNNNNNNNNNNNNNNNNNNNNNNNNNNNNNNNNNNNNNNNNNNNNNNNNNNNNNNNNNNNNNNNNNNNNNNNNNNNNNNNNNNNNNNNNNNNNAGUCUAGGUGGACCACAAAGUGCAUAAUUCUUCAUGAAUGAUGUGCUAGAAAAUUUUGAAAAACAUCCUUCGCUGGGAAUUUCCCCUUCAAGUCUAUUAAAAGACACAUUAAAAUACUUUAGAUAUAAAAGCUUUUCCAAAGAUUUGGGAAUGACUCCAGAGAGAUUGUUAUUGCAUAAAUCCAAGAAUUCCAAACUAAUCAACCCAUCAAAUGAUUCAGGGAUAUAACCAUGUAGUAUAUUAUUUGAUAAAUCUAAUGAAACCAAAGUUUGAAGACCCCCAAAUGAGGAUAAGAUAUCGCCCGUGAGAAGAUUCCUUGAUAAAUUUAGUUUCAGUAGACUCCUCAAAUUUCCAACAUCAAUAGCAUGUGAAUUGUGAAGAUGGUUUGAUGAUAAAUCUAUUUCUAAGAUAUCUUUAAGAUUCCACAAAGUUGAGGGUAUUGCGGAACUCAAUUUGUUGGAAUCUAAGUAAAGAUAUCCCAAAGAAGUAAUAUUACCCAAACAAGAGGGUAUGGAUCCAUGCAGCUUAUUCAACCCUAAAUACAUCUCGUAUAGUCUCUCCAAACCACAGAGGCUUUCUGAGAUAGGCCCUCCAAAUUUAUUAGAGGAAAGAAAUAGACCUUGGAGAUUUCUCAUUCCUCCUAUUGAUGCUGGAAUCAAUCCACUUAAUUUAUUAUAGCCAAGUUGUAAAAGCAAUAGGUUGGUUAAGUUACCUAUUUCCAUAGCAAUAAUGCCUUGAAGCUCACAAUUAGAGGCAUAAAAGUAUUGAAGGGAUUUUGAAAGGUUCCCGAUAUAAGUAGGAAGAACGCCACUCAAUGGAUUUCCUGAAACAUCUAUUGUGCUCAAAUUCCUACAAUUCGUCAAAGAAGAAAGAAAGCUCCACUCAUGAUCGGUAGAAGAUCCUGUGAUCAAAUUAUUGUUUUUGAUUCGGAACCAUUCAAGGUGUCUUAAGUUGCCAAGCGUUUUAGGGAUUGGGCCAGAGAAUAAGUUAUGCGCCAAGUCUAGUUCCUUAAGCAUGGAAGCAUUGAAGAUAGAGUUGGGAAUGUUUCCGCUAAGUUUUUUUCUCCACAAUAAAAGAAUCUCAAGCUUUGGAGGAUUGGUGAUGGGUGGUAAAUUACCUGUAAAAUAGCAUCUUUUAGUAUACAUAUUCAUUGAAUACCAAAUUCACAAAAUAUAUAAUAUAUUAAUAAUAAGAAGUUUUGAGUACUAAUUAGUCCUUGUGAUUUGUAUAGACAAAAUAUAUAAUACACUAAUAAUUUUUUAAAAUAUUGUAAAACUUGAAAUAAAAUAAAAAUAAAAGUUUGGCAUGAGAAUGUGGCAUCUAAUCAAUCUUAAAAAUGAGACUGAGACUGAAUAAUAAUUAGUUAUGAUUUGGGAAACUAAAAUGUUAAAGCCAUUAUUUAUCUUUAUUAAAUUAUAGUGUACAAUUUAAAGAUUAUUAUUUGCUCAUAAUUUUUGUAUUUUUCGUAUGUUUGAAAUUUAAUCUUUAUAUUUUUUUAUUUUCUGUGAUUUAGUCUCUCUACUUUUUGAAUUGAAAAUUUUAGGUUCAUUUAUUAACACUGUUAAAAAAGUUUUUGUGUUAGUAUGGCAUUUUGAAAAAUAAAAUAAACUUGAUAUCUAUGUUUUUAAUUAUUCCAAAUAUUGUUUUACUAUUUCGAGAUAAAUUAUUCAAAAGAAUUGUUAUUGAGCCUUAGCUUGAUUGGCAUGUGUAUUGUUACCAAUGUAGGAGACUGUGGGCUCAAGUAUGCUGAAGUGCAUUAUCCUCUUAUUUAUAAAUUGGGGAGUUGGUAAAGUAUUAAAUUUUGAUAUAUUUUAAAAUAUAUCUAUAAUAUAUAUAAAUGAAUGGAUUUUGAGAAACUUUUGAACUGAUAAUUAUAUAGUCUUUGUUGUUUACUAUAUUAUUGAAUUUGUUAUUUAAAUUUUAUUUAUUUUUUACUUUUAAGAUUUAUAUAAGAAUUUUGGUUUUCCUAAAAUAUUUGGUUAAGUAAAUUCACUUCAUAACAAAAUUUAGCAUCCUUAUAAAUACCAUUUUUUAUUCUAUUAAAAAAUUAAUUUAAAAAAUAUAUAAUAAUAAAUUAAAAUUUAUAUUGAAUUACUUUAUACUUCAAUUAUUAUUAGAAACUUUAUCAUACACAUAUGUGUAUGAGAAUCACGUAUUUAGAACAUAAAUUUGUGUUUUAAAAUAACUUAUGAUAAAUAAUGAAAUGUAUUAUUUAAAACUAUUUACUAAUAUCUACCAUAUUAAAAUAAAAAUAGAUUAAAUUGUAAGUAAAACAUAAUUUAAAUAUAUGAAUACAUCGAAUUAAGAAUACUAAAUGAAUACAGUUAUUUAUGAUGAUGUUGUUGUCAAUUCCUAAGUUUGUGUCAAGUUAAUUUGUGACAUCAUAUAUUUAAGUGAUAAAUUUAAAGUUUUAUGUAUUGAUGUGGAUUCAAAUAUCAUCAUAUCCUAAAAUAAUAUAACUUAUUUUAAAUACAAAAAAUGAUUCUAUUCAACACUAAAUCAAUUUUUAGAUUUUGUACAUAUGAUUUAAUGAUGAUAAAAACAUUAUUAUCACUAUUUUUGAAUUAAAAAAAAGUUUGUGAUUUAAUUUAAUUAUAUUUUUUAUUUUUAUUUUUUAUUGUAUACUAAAUAUGGUACAUAUACUUUAAUUAUAACUUGAAAUUUUAUUAUAUAAAUUAAUAUAUUUUAAUUAUAUUCAACCAUUUGAAUAAAAAAAAAACUAAUUAGAAUAAUUUAAAAAAAACAUUAUUUAAAAGCUAGCUAAAAAUCACGUGCAACAGGUGAUAUGAGAAUCUAUGUAUAUAAAUGUAUCCGUAUAUAUCUCGUUGUUUCAUUUUUUUAAAUAAAUAUAUUUUCCACAUUGGUUUCUUUUAUUCUAUAGACAAAGGAUUUCUAAUGAUUUUUAAUUUUUUUUUACUUAUAUAGAAUAGAUUAGUUUAUGCAAUAAAAAAUAAUUUCUUUUUCAAAGUUUAAUGGAAAUUAAAAAAUUAAAAAUAAAUCAAUGCAUAUAAAUCUUAUUGUUUAUUAUCAUAUUAAAAUGACCAAAAUAGAAGAAACAAAUUCAACACAAUGUUUUUGGAGUUCGGAAAAUAUUAAAGUGAAAAACAUACCUUCUAAUUUGUUGUUAAAUAGAUCUAUUUCUUCGAGCGUAGUUGAAUUAAAAAUAUUUGAUGGAAUCUGACCUGCACACAUAGUCGAAAAUUCAAGUGAAAAACAUACCUUCUAAACUGUUCAACUAAAAAUACUUAAAAGCAUAUUUUUUAAGGUUGUUGCAUUUGCCCAUGCCAAAUGGAAUCUUCCCAGAUAAUUCAUUCCUACUCAGGUAAAGCACUUCAAGCUUGGGAAGAUGUUGACAAAUAUCAUUAGGCAAACUACCUGAUAGGCUAUUGCUGGAGAGAGCAAUGGUCUUCAGAGAAGAAAUGUUGAAGAUCAAAGUUGGAAUUUGACCUAUAAGGCCUUUAAUUGCUUGAAUAUUAAGCAGUUCCAAACCAAGAAGAUUACCAAUUUCCUCAGGAAUUUGACCUGUACACAUGGUCGAAAAAUCAAGGUGUCAAACUACUUAUUUUGUAAGCAUAACUCAAAGAGGUUUUCUUUUCUGUUCUACAGUAAUUUGGAGAUGUUAGAUUUUAAUAUAUUUUAGCAUAUGUUUUUCAUCAAAUGAAAUAAAAACUUUUUCCUUUUGUUAUCUAUUACAAAUCAAGCUAUUUUAUAAAAAAAAAUACUUUGAAUUCAAGAAAUCAAGAAAAUUGAUUACCUUCUAGAUUAUUAAAUCCCAAAUAUAAUUCUCCGAGUUGUGUCAGAUUUCCGAAACUUCUUGGAAUGAUCCCCGUCAAUUGAUUCAAGGACAAGGACAAAUUUUUCAGGUUGCUGCAUUUGCCCAUACUUGACGGAAUGUUACCAGAUAACUCAUUGCGAUGCAAGUAAAGCACUUCAAGCUUGGGAAGAUGUCGACAUAUAUCAUUAGGCAAACUACCUGAUAGGCUAUUGUUGGAGAGAGCAAUGGUCUUCAGAGAAGAAAUGUUGAAGAUCGAAGUUGGAAUCUGACCUGUAAGGCCUUUAAUUGCUUGAAUAUUAAGCAGUUCCAAACCAAGAAGAUUACCGAUUUCAUCAGGAAUUUGACCUGCACACAUAGUCGAAAAAUCAAGGUGUCAAACUACCUAUUUUGUUAGCAUAAGUCAAAGAGGUUUUCUUUUCUAUUCUAUAGUAAUUUGGAGAUGUUAGAUUUUUAUAUAUUUCAGCAUAUGUUUUUCAUCAAAUGAAAUAAAAACUUUUUCGUUUUGUUAUCUAUUACAAAUCAAACUCUUUUAUAAAAAAAGUACUUAAAAUUCAAGAAAUCAAGGAAAUUGAUUACCUUCUAGAUUAUUAAACCCCAAAUAUAAUUCUUUGAGUUGUGUCAGAUUGCUAAUACUUCUUGGAAUGAUCCCCGUCAAUUGAUUCAAAGACAAGGACAAAUUUUUAAGGUUGCUGCAUUUGCCCAUACUUGAUGGAAUGUUACCAGAUAACUCAUUACUAUGCAAGUAAAGCACUUCAAGCUUGGGAAGAUGUUGACACAUAUCAUUAGGUAAACUACCUGAUAGGCUAUUGUUGGAGAGAGCAAUGGUCUUCAGAGAAGAAAUGUUGAAGAUCGAAGUUGGAAUCUGACCUGUAAGGCCUUUAAUUGCUUGAAUAUUAAGCAGUUCCAAACCAAGAAGAUUACCGAUUUCAUUAGGAAUUUGACCUGCACAUAUAGUCGAAAAAUCAAGGUGUCAAACUACCUAAUUUGUUAGCAUAAGUCAAAAAGGUUUUCUAUUCUGUUCUACAGUAAUUUGGAGAUGGUAGACUUUCAUAUAUUUCAGCUUAUGUUUUUCAUCAAAUGAAAUAAAAACUUUUUCCUUUUGUUAUCUAUUACAAAUCAAACUCUUUUAUAAAAAAAAGUACUUAAAAUUCAAGAAAUCAAGGAAAUUGAUUACCUUAUAGAUUAUUAAACCCCAAAUAUAAUUCUUUGAGUUGUGUCAGAUUGCCAAUACUUCUUGGAAUGAUCCCCGUCAAUUGAUUCAAGGACAAGGACAAAUUUUUAAGGUUGCUACAUUUGCCCAUACUUGACGGAAUGUUACCAGAUAACUCAUUGCUAUGCAAGUAAAGAACUUCAAGCUUGGGAAGAUGUUGACACAUAUCAUUAGGCAAACUACCUGAUAGGCUAUUGCUGGAGAGAAUAAUAAUAUUCAGAGAAGAUAUCUUGAAAAUGGAAGAUGGAACCUGACCAGAUAAUUGAUUGAGUCCCAAGUUCAGGAUCUCUAGAUUAGAUAUGUUAACAAGUGUUUCAGGGAUUGUGCCUGUAAAGUAAUUAUUUUUCAUUUGCAGCCUUCGAACUCUCUGUAAGUUCCCAAGCCAUGAUGGAAUUUCCCCAUUCAGACGGUUGUAGCUUAAUUGAAGGAUCCUCAAAUGACGCAAUUGGCCCAAUUCUUUAGGGAGAUGGCCAUAGAAAUGGUUGCUACUCAAGUCGAGAGAGAGUAGAAAUGAAAGAUUUCCAAGGUGUGGAGGGAUAGUACCCCUAAGAUUCAUGCUUGUAAGAUUCAAAGCUAUAACUCUUUUAUGGAGGAUGCCACAAGAAACUCCAAUCCAAUUGCAAACAGAGGUUGAGGCCAUCCAAUUGUCUGCCAAGACAUUUUGAGGACCGGCAAUGCGAUCCUUAAACUCGAGAAGUGCAAACUGAUCGAAGUUGAGAUUCCUGACUGUCAUAGCCAAGCAAAGUACGGAACAUGGUAUGAAUAAAGCUAAGAGAAGAUGAAAGCAAGUUUUGUAGUUCAUGAUUGCAAGACGGAAUAUGGCAAGAAAAUAAAAACAGUAGGAAAAGGGAAGUUGAGUUGAUAAAAUAGUUUGGAUGAUGAAGAAAAGCCCAAAGAGCAUGCUUUAAUAUGUUUCAACCCUCGCACACUUGAUAAAUUUGAUAAAAAUAUUUUUAUUUAAUAAAUGUAAAAAACUUUUUAAACAAAAUAAGGUUGAAAUAAUCUAUUUGUCCUUAUAUUUUGACAAAAUUUGAGACUUAGUCCUUAUACUUAAAAGGUUAAAAAUAAAAUUUUCUAGUUUUUAUUUAAAAAUCUUAGUUCUAUCAUUAAUUUUUUGGUCAAAAUUUGUCAACUUUACAUAUUAAUUAGGUUUCCCUUAUAUGUCGUUGCAUAUGACCAACACAAAAUAAGCAAGUUGACAAAUUCUGACAAAAAAUAUCAAAGAUGAUAAUAAUUUGAUUAAAAUUUUUAAAUUGAAUUAAAAACCUUUAACUUAUAAGGAAUGGAUAUCAAAUAUUUAUAGGAAAAAAGGGACUAACAACAUAUUUUAACCAAAAAAUAAUAUGAGUGAUUAGAAUGAAUCUAAAAUUUUAUAGAAAUAAAAGAGACUAACAGAUUUUAUAGAAAUAAAAGAGACUAACAGCAUAUUUAUAACUUUGAAAUCUCCUUCGAUCAUCCUUUUUCUACUUAGAAAAAGAAAAUUAAUUAGCAUCUAAAGUGUCAAUUAAUGAAACCUUAAAAAGAAAAUGUGAAAGUGAUUUAUCAAACAAUAAUAUUCUAACUUAUAAUACAUUUAAUUACAUUUAGUAAUUUAUCAAUCAAAACUUAACUAACAUCCAUCAAUAUUUCAUACAUAAGUAAAUUUUCCAUUUACUCAGAUUUAACUUUGCAAGUAAACUUAAAAUUUUAUUUAAUUUGGUCACUAAAUUUAAUUUGUUCAAUAUAGAUUUUGGUGACUUAAAACAAAAAUUAAUAAAAAGUUAUUCUUUCAGACAUCUUUUUAAUGUUUAGUAAUAAGUUAAUUUAUAAAAUAUACUUUCAUUGGACACAAGCCUCUAAGGCGAUGAACCAUUGAUCAAAUUAAUUUGGAGAUAUCUUUUUUCCAAAUAAAGUGAAUUUACGAGUUUUGUCUUCUUCUUUUUUAAUAUUUUUAAUAUUUUUGUGGAUAUCAAGAGAUACCAAAAAUUAUUUCACUAAGAAAUUUUAAUUCACCCGAAAAGUUAGUGUUUUAUUUCAAGGGGUCAUAAUUAUAAAUUUUGAAUUUUUUGACAAUUGUGUAAUUAAUAAAUACUUAUUUUGAGUGUUGUAGGGCUUGUACAAUCUCCCUUACACAUAACCGACUCUUGAACCUACUAUUUUCUCUAGAAUUUCACGUAGACCUCAAAUUUAUCUUUUGAAAAGAAUUUUAAAAUCUCUGUAAAAAAGGUGUAAAAAUAUAUAUAUUUUAUUAAUUACUAUAUAUUCUUUUAUUUUCAGAAUAAUAAAUUGUUUAAAAUAUGCUACUAGUCCCCAUAAUUUAAAAGUUAAAAGUAUUUGGGAUCUCGAGUGCAUCAAAUUCCUCCUCUUAUUAUUAAAUGUUUUAUUUUAGUUACUCUAAUUAAAUAUAUCCAAAUUGUAAUAGAGUUAAUAUUUAUUAUAUAAAAAAUAUUUUAAUUUUUUUUCAAUUGCAGUUUAAUUAUAGUAGAAAUAUUUCAUUUAUAAUAUCACAAAACUUUAAAAUAUUAAUUUUGUUAAAUAAAAAAUGAUUUUUUUAAACAGUAAAUUUUGACUUUAUUAACACAAAUGGGUCUUUAGGGUUAAACUUCAAUAAUUGACGAGCUCUUCCACAAACUAUGGAUGAUUUGGAGAUAAGAACUUCAAUAAUUCUGGAGUUAAAGUGUAAAUUUACUACUAUAUUAUAAGUAAAAUUUGAAAUUUAUCACUAUAUUUUAAUUGAUACUUGUCUUUACACUUUGAAAAUAUAAGUAUUUACCAUUUAACUCAUAUGUGAUUGAACUUUGCAAGUAAACUUAAAAUUUUAUUUAAUUUUGUCACUAAAUUUGAUUUGUUUAAUUAAAUUUACAACUCAAUAUAGAUUUUGGUGACUUAAAACAAAAUUAAUAAAAAAACUAUUCUUUCAGAUAUUUUUUUUAAUGUUUAAUAAUAAGUUGAUUUAUAAAAUAUACUUUCAUUGGACACAAGCAUCCAAGGCGGUGAACAAACCACUGGUCAAAUUAAUUUGAAGAUAUCUUUUUUUUUUCUAAAUCAAGUGAAUUUACGAGUUUUGCCUUUUUUUUUAAAUAUUUUUAAUUUUGUGGAUAUCAAGAGAUACCAAAAAUUAUUUCACUAAGGGAUUAAUUAGUGUUUUAUUUUAAGGGUUCACAAUUAAACAUUAAAAUUUUCAUUUUUAAAUUUUGAAUUUUUUGACAAUCACGUAAUUAACAAGUACAAAUUUUGGAUGUUGUAGGGUUAUUAUAACCUUCCCUACACGUAACAGACUCUUAAACCUACUUUUUUUCUCUAGAACUCAACGCAAACCUCAAAUUUAUCAUUUUAAAAUAUCUAUAUAAAAGGUGAUCUUUUUACCGAUCACACUUAAAAAAAAUUUAAAAAUUAUUAAUUUAUUUUUUGAAAUUUAAAGUGUUCUAAAAACAUAUUUUUAAGCGCUUUAGACCAUCCGGUGCUGAUUUCUUUAUUGUAUUAAAUGCUUGCAAUCACUUCUGAUAUAUUAUACUUGAGUUGUGACAGAGCUAAUUGUCAAUGUGCCAUAAUGUUCUAUUGAUGUUGAAACUGAAGUUUUUGUUAUAUUAAGAGAGUUUGUCCUUCAACGCGUAUAACGGGUGUUUGUUAUUUUUUCCCUUCAAAUUGUAUGAUCUCAUUCAUUAAAUGAAUUAAUGAAUUUCCCUUUAAAGAUAUAAUUUUAAAAAUUAAAUACUUUAUAAAAUAUUUAAAACUAUUUAAAAAAUUGUAAGUGUUAAAACAAUCAACAAGAUAUAUUUUUCUCUAAAAAAUCAAUAAAAAUAUGUUUGAAAUUUUAUAUGAAAUUUAAAAUUUUUUAACAAUAAUAUAUUUUAAAAUUAUUUACACCAUUUUUAUAUAUUUUUCCUAACAUAUCGUUAUUUUCAACACUAUCGUAAUCCUAUUUUGAUAAUUCCCUUUCCAUACAUCCUUUUUCUACAUAGAAUUUCGAAAGAAAAUGUGAAUUAAUGCAGACUUGAGAAGACUUAGAGGUAAGUCACCCAAUGAAAGUGACCUAAACCGACUUAUGGAACAAUCAAACAAUAAUUUUGUAUCUUAUAAUAAUUACAUUUAUUAGUUUAUCAAUCAAAACUUAAUUAGAAUCCAUCAAUAUUUCACACAUCAAAAACCCAAAGCAUAAAAUUCACUUUUAAAGUAUUUGGGUUGUAUUUUUAUUAUAGGAAAUGUAUUAAAUUAGUCUCUUUAUUAUUAAAUGUAUUAUUUUAAUCUUUGUAUUAGAUAUAAAUGAUAUCUUCUAGAUUAAAGCUAGAGCGGUUCUUAAAUGGCUGAAUUUGGCUUGGGCUAGAGAAUUCAGAUGUGUAGAGAUGGAAAGUGACAACGUAAUGUUGAUUGAAACUAUUCGUAACAGGUUGGCUGCAGUAAGUUGCAUUGCUGAAGUAAGAUUGAUUCAUGAUUGGUGUUCCAAAAAUUGAGAAGUCAAAUUUCUGAAAUAUUCAGCAAAAUGUCAAUAAAGUUGUUGAUUGCAUAACUAAGGUAGACGGAGGCAUAAUUGAGCAGCUGGUUAUCUUGGAAGAUCCUCCGCAUUAUGUGAGAUGCUAGCUUGAAGAAGAUAUUAGACAGUUGCUGGUGACAAAUGAUAGUUUUCAUUUGGACUAACGCUCCUUAAUUUUCUAAGCUUAUGUUCAACAAAAAAAAAAACAAUUAAAUACAUCUAAAUUGUAAUAGAGUUAACAUUUAGUUAUAAAAAUAUCUUCAAAAUUAUUAUUUUCAAUUGUAGUUCAAUUCCACAAAUACCGAUGAUCAACCUUGAAAUGGACAUGAAAAUUUAAAAAAAAAAACACAUCUAUUAUCAAACUAGCAAUCUAUGUCUAAACAUAAAUUAACAAAAUUCGUCACGCAACCCGAUACACUAUUUUAUAUAAUAUAUAUUCUAGAUUUAUUCUAGAUGCACAUAUUUUUAUUAUAUUUAAAAAUUAAAAUAUAUGAUUGACUGAGUUUUAGUUGAGUUAGUAUUGGUAUUAUUAUCAAUGUAAGGAAACGUGAAUUCAGUCAUGCUCAAAUGUGUUUUAUCCUCCAAUUCAAGAGUUGGGAAAAUGUUAUUACUAUUAAAUUAUACCAAUUUUUACAAUAUUUAAAAAGGAUUUAUAAAUAAUAUAAGGAAAAAAAGAGGGAGAAACAUAUUCAUAUUGAUGGGCUCUUUCAUUAUCAGACUUUCUUUCUCCCACAAGAAAAAGUACUUAUGGACAGGAUCAUGUAAAAUAACGACCUGAAUAAUUUUAAAUGUCUCAUCAUUGCAAAAAUGAAAUAAUAGAAAAGAAAUAAGUCUUAAGUGUAAUGGCAACCACGAACCCCGAUUAUAAACUAAAAAACAAAUAUGAAAAUUAAGUAAAAAAAACAUGUCUAUUACAAAAUUAGUAAUCCAUCCUAAGGCUUAAAUUAACAAAAUUCACCAUGCAAUUGUGUAGACUAUUAUAUAUAUAUAUAUAUACACUAUAUUUAUUCUCAUGCAAAUGUUUAUUAUAUUUAAAAAUUAAAAUAUAUGGUUGAUUGAGUUUUAGUUGACUUAAUAUCGACAUUGUUGUCAGUGCAGAAGAACAUGAGUUCAAUCAUAUUUGAACACGUUUUAUUGUUUUAUCUUUCAAUUUAGGAGUUGGAGAGGAUUCUUUAUCUAGUAAAACAAAUACAUAUUCAUAUUCAUCGGCUUUUUCAUUAUUAGACUUUUUUCCCCACAGGUAAAAGUAUUUAUAGACAGGAUGAUGUAAAACUAUGACCUGAAUGAUUUUAAACCUUUCAUCACUGCAAAAAUGAAAUAAUAGAAAUGAAAGAGUAGCCAUUGUAUGAAAUAUAUAAUUGAACUGUCAACAAAAUUGUGAGAAAUUUCCAAAUUUUAUGAAAAUUUAAAAUUAAACUGUCAAUAAUAGAAAAUUGCCUGAGUGACUUGAGAUAAUAGGUUCAAUUGCAUUUAAGAUGGGUCUUUAGGGUUAUACUUUAGUUAUUGAGAACACUUUCCACAAUUUGCCAUCAUUAUUUGUGAGUGAUUUGUGGGGUAAGAGGUUGAACACUUCUGAAUCACAUUGCCUUUAAGACGGGUCUUUGGAGUUAUAUGAUACUUCAACAUAGACUAACUUUUCUAUAAUUAGUCUUUGCUUUACUUUGGGUGGAUUCUUCCAACUAGUCCAAGAUUUAUUGUACAAUCACAAUUAAUCUUUUUAAAUGAGACAAACAUUUCAAAUUUGUCAUCACUAUUUGUGCGUGAUUUGGAGGUAAGAAGUUUAACACUUCUGGAUGACUCAUAGAAUUGUGGGUCUCUAUUUGAGUAUUGACUCAGUUUUCCACAAUUGUAUACACUUUUUUAUAUUUUUACUAAUUAUAUUUGAGUAUUGAAUUAAUGUAGACGUGAGAAGACUUAGACGUAAGUCACCCAAUGAAAGUGACCUAAACCGACUUAUGGAAGAAUCAAACAAUAAUUUUGUAUCUUAUAAUAUAUUUAGUUACAUUUAUUAAUUUAUCAAUCUAAACUUAAUUAGAAUCCAUCAAUAUUUCACACAUCAAAAACCCAAACAUAAAAUUCACUUUUAAAUUAUUUGGGAUAUAUUUGUAUUAUAGGAAAUAGAUUAAAUGAGUUUAUUUAUUAUUAAAUGUAGUAUUUUAGUCUUUAUAUUAAGUAUGAAUGAUAUCUUCUAGAUUGAAGCUAGAACUAUUCUUGAAAGAUUGAAAUUAGGAUUCAGAUGUGUUGAGAUGGAAAGUGACAACACAAUAUUGAUUGAAAUUAUUUGUAACGGGUUGGCUACAAUAAGUAGUACUGCUGAAGUAAGACAGAUUCAUGAUUGGUGUUUCAAAAAUUGGGAAGUCAAAUUUCGACAUAUUUAGCGGAAUGCCAAUAAAGUUGUUGAUUGCAUAGCUAAGGCAAAUGGAGGCGUAAUUGAACAGCUGGUUAUCUUAGAAGAUCCUCCGCAUUAUGUGAAAUGCUAGCUUAAAGAAGAUAUUAGACAAUCACUGGUGACUGAUGAUAAUUUUCAUUUGGACUGAUGAGCGCUUAAUUUCUAAGUUUAUGUUCAACCAAAAAAAAUAUUAAAUACGUCUAAAUUGUAAUAGAGUUAACAUUUAGUGUUUAAAAAAUAUCUUAAAAAUUAUUUUUCCAAUUGCAGUUCAAUUCAACAAAUAUCGAUGAUGAACCUGGACAUAAAAAUUACAAAAAAAAAAACAUCUAUUAUCAAACCAACAAUCCAUGUCUAAACUUAAAUUAACAAAAUUCGUCACGUAACCCGGUACACUAUUAUAUAUAUAUAUAUAAUAGAUUUAUUCUAGAUGCACAUGUGUUAUUAUAUUUAAAAAUUAAAAUAUAUGGUUGACUGAGUUUUAGUUGAGUUAGUAUUGGUAUUAUUGUCAGUGCAUGGAAAUGUGAGUUUAAUCGUGCUCAAAUGUGUUUUAUCCUCCAAUUCAAGGGUUAGGAAAAGGUUAUUGAUAAUUAAAUUAUACCAACUUUUAUGAUAUUAAGAAAAGAAUUUAUAAAUAAUAUAAGGAAGAAAAAAAAAAGAGAAACAUAUUCAUAUUGAUGGGCUCUUUCAAUAUUAGACUUUUUUUUUCUCUCACAAGUAAAAGUAGUUAUGGAGAGUAUCAUGUAAAAUAAUGACCUGAAUAAUUUUAAAAGUUUCAUCAUUGCAAAAAUGAAAUAAUAGAAAAGAAAGAGUAGCCAUUUUAUGAAAUUUAUAAUUCCAACUUUGAAUAAAAUAUAAAUUUUAUGAAUGUGGACAACCAAUUUUAUUUAUGUGUUUUUCGUCUUUUUCUGACCUUUUUUUAAAGUCAUUUUCUUUGUUUCCUAACCACCAUGAAAUUACUUGUCAAAAUUCAUCUUUUUAAAUGAGAAACAUUUUCCACAAUUUGCCAUCACUUAACAUACACUAACUUUUCCAACAAUUAGUGUAUCACGAGUUUUGUUUUCUUUAAAAAAUAUUUUUGUGGAUAUUAGGAGAUAAUGAAAAUUAUUUUAUUAUGAAAUUUUAAUAAAACUGGAAAGUAAGUAAUUUAUUUUAAGAGAUCACAAUUAAACAUUAGAUUUCCAUUUUUUUAAUUUUAAUUUUUUUUGACAAUUGCAUAAUUAAUAAGAUACCAAUUUUGAGCGUUAUAGGAAUGCUAUAACCUUCCCUACACAUAAUUGACUCUUGAGCAUGAUGGAUCCUAGAUAUUCUCCUCUAUUCUCGUACCAUAAAUUGCUUCGAGUGUGGACACAAUCACAAAUUAAACACAAAACUAGAAAUGAUUUAGUACUUUCAAUAGCAAAGUAAUUCUCUCUCAAUAGAAACCAAUAGAAUUGUAAUUCCCAGAAAAUAAAAUUUAUUUUUUGAAAAUAUAUUCUCACUACUUUCUAGUAGAAUAACAAUAUGUAAAACUUAUGUCUUGUGUUAAUAACUUUACCAGUACUAUCUAUUUAUAGGGAGAGACACGAGAAUGCUAGUUGAAUUAGUAAAACACGAAUAAUAUUUAUUUCAUAGAAAACAAUAUUCUAUCCUAAGUAGAUCAAGUUUGGAUGACGCAUGGAUCGAAGCUCAAUCUAGGAGAAAAAAAUAAAGAAAUUUUCUAAAAAAAGAAAAUUUGAGAUUGUACUAUUAUCGAAGUUAUAAAUAAAAUUAUACGCCAAAUUUUCAAGUCAAUUUUCAAAUCAAAUUUUGUAUGUACAAAUUUCUAACACACUUGGUGGGACAUUCUUUGACUUUUAUCUAUUCCCUGAAGAUUUGACUAGGAUCUGGAAACAGUGAAACUCAAGAACUAGGGUCAUCUUCGUUGGCAAAAUAUUUUGUAAUUGACUCUUUUGAUAAAUGAAACGCCAAAAUAUGGGGCUAUCUUGAAAUCAACACCAUUUUUUGCAUAUUUAUACAUGACUAGCAUCCAUUGGUCAUUCAUUCAUUCAUUCAUUCAUUGCAUGUACAUAUCACCCUAAUCAUUCACUAAAGCCAAAACCGUACAAUCCACAAUUGCAACACUACAAGUCUGGAAUCACGUUAUUCCAGAGCUAUGGAUGCUAUUGACAAUGAGAAUGAUGAAAUUAAGAAUGCUUCAAUGAUACGCCCUUGUCCUCCAGGAUAUGUUUUGAACAACUGGACUGCUGAGGACCUCCUUGUAGUUUUUCAGUCCCCUUCAGAGUAAUGCUCAAUGUUAACCCUUCAUUUUGUGUGUCCUUAAACAGUAGGGUUCCUUUUGUAAGAGCUUAUGUUUGCUCUUUAUCAUUUCAAUGAACAUUAAUGAAGAUGCAUUUUGUUUUAUAUUGUCAUAUUCUUUUCAUUAACUUUGCGACUACUCAUUCUGUUCAUAUCCUUUUCUAGGCAUAUAUCUCAUAUCAUCUCAUAUCAUUGUGUGUUGAUUACAAUACCUCAAUACUCUGCUAUAGCCUUUUUCCAUUCACCUUUCAGGUGCUCAGAUAUCAAUGGCAUGAAUAAUCCCGUUAUGAAUCCUGAAAUCAAUUUUGAAAAGGUUGUUUGUUUAGGAGAAUUCGAAGCUGACGAAAAUGUUGAAGAUUGUGUCUCGUCUCCUGACUUACUGAGAAUGGUGGAACAAGAAGAGAAACAAAUCCUACCCCAUCAAGAAUCUGUUGAGGUAGUUAACUUGGGGAACGAAGAAGAGAAACAAGAAGUGAAGAUUGGGACUUCCAUUUCAGAAAACACAAGGCAAGAUUUGAUCGCCUUGCUCCAGGAAUACAAGGAUGUGUUUGCCUGGUCUUAUCAGGAUAUGCCAGGAUUGAACACGGAUAUUGUAGUCCACAAGCUCCCACUGAAACCAGAAUGCAAGCCCGUUCAGCAGAAAUUAAGAAGGAUGAGACCCGAAAUGCUGUUAAAGAUAAAAGAAUAAGUCAAGAAACAAUUUGACGCUGGCUUCCUACAAGUCUCAAAGUAUCCAGAAUGGGUAGCUAAUAUAGUCCCAGUGCCGAAGAAGGAUGGCAAGGUGCGAAUGUGCGUGGAUUAUCGUGAUCUAAAUCAAGCAAGCCCUAAGGAUAACUUUCCUUUACCGCACGUCGACACUUUGGUGGAUAAUACGGCAAAGCAUUCUCUGUUUUCUUUCAUGGAUGGUUUCUCAGGAUAUAAUCAGAUAAAGAUGGCUCCCGAAGACAUGGAGAAAACUACAUUCAUAACAAUGUGGGGAACCUUCUGCUACAAGGUAAUGCCGUUCGGAUUAAAGAAUGCUGGGGCAACAUAUCAGAGAGCCAUGGUGACGUUAUUCCAUGAUAUGAUGCACAAAGAAAUAGAAGUUUAUGUCGAUGAUAUGAUUGCCAAAUCUCGGGAAGAAAGAGAGCAUGUUGGGAGUCUUAGGAAGCUGUUUGAAAGAUUAAGAAAGUUCCAGUUGAAGCUUAACCCGGCCAAAUGUACAUUUGGGGCUACCUCAGGAAAACUGCUAGGUUUCAUUGUUAGUGAAAGAGGUAUCGAGGUUGACCCAGAUAAGAUAAAAGCUAUACAAGAAUUGCCUCCCCCGCGUACACAAAAGGAAGUCAGAGGUUUUUUAGGAAGGUUGAAUUACAUUGCUCGAUUCAUUGCUCAACUUACCAAUCAGUUUGACCCAAUUUUUCGACUCCUUUNNNNNNNNNNNNNNNNNNNNNNNNNNNNNNNNNNNNNNNNNNNNNNNNNNNNNNNNNNNNNNNNNNNNNNNNNNNNNNNNNNNNNNNNNNNNNNNNNNNNUAAUCCGGGAGAAUGGAACGAGGAGUGCCAAGUGGCCUUCGACAAGAUAAGACAGUAUCUAUCUAAUCCUCCUGUGCUAGUACCGCCGACCCCUGGAAAACCCUUAAUAUUGUACCUGAACGUGUUUGAGAACUCAAUGGGUUGCGUACUGGGGCAACAUGAUGAGUCAGGGAGAAGAGAAAAGGCAAUUUACUACCUCAGCAAGAAGUUCACAGAAUAUGAGGCAAAUUACCCUUCAAUUGAGAAGUUUUGUUGUGCAUUGAUUUGGACGGUUCGAAGGCUCAGACAAUACAUGUUGCAUCACACGACAUGGUUAAUUUCAAAACUGGACCCAAUAAAGUACAUGAUGGAGUCACCUGCACUCUCAAGGAGAAUGGCCCGAUGGUAGAUCCUAUUGACUGAGUAUGACAUUGUAUAUGUGAGCCAAAAGUCGAUAAAAAGAAGCGCAAUAGCUGACUUCUUGGCAAGUCGUGCAAUAGAGGAAUACGAGCCUUUGAGAUUUGAGUUCCCAGAUGAAGAUUUGAUGUGCAUUUCAGAAAAAGAGGGCGAGUCAUCAAAAGGAAAGUCAUGGAAGAUGAGCUUUGAUGGUGCAUCAAAUGCAUUAGGGCAUGGGAUAGGAGCAGUCUUAGUAUCACCUGAAGGGGACCAUUACCCACUUACUGCCAGAUUGAAUUUCUUCUGUACAAAUAAUAUAGCGGAAUAUAAAGCUUGCAUCAUGGGACUUCGUGCAGCUAUCAAGAGGAAAAUCAAAAUCUUAGAGGUACACGGGGACUCAGCACUAGUCAUUUACCAAAUUCGUGGAGAUUGGGAAGUGAGGGAUUCGAAAUUAGUCAAAUAUCGCGAUCUUAUUGCAGAAUUGGUCAAAGAAUUUAAAGAAGUGACUUUUAACUACUUUCCACGGGAAGAGAACCAAUUGGCUGAUGCUCUGGCCACCUUGGCUUCAAUGUUCAAAGCAAACAGAGAAAUUGAGAUAAUGCCUAUCCAAAUGAGUAUAUAUGAGACCCCCACACACUGUUUUAGUAUUGAGGAGGAGUCAGAUGGACGACCAUAGUUCCAUGAUAUCUUGGAGUAUAUCGAGAAUCAAAGAUACCCCGAGCAAGCAAAUGAGAAUGACAAAAGAACAAUCAGGAAAUUGGCGAUUGGAUUUGUUCUUGACGGAGAUAUUCUAUACAAAAGAGGAAAAGAUCAAGUGAUCCUAAGGUGCGUAGACGCUGUUGAAGCCAGAAAGAUACUUGAAGAGGUUCAUGAAGGAAUUUGUGGAACACAUGCCAGUGGUUCACCAUGGCCAGGCAGAUUAUGAGACUUGAUUAUUAUUGGCUGACGAUGGAAAGGGAUUGCAUUGGUUACACACGAAAGUGCCACAAAUGUCAAAUUUAUGGCGACAAAAUUCAUGCAGCUCCAUCACCCCUUCAUGUCAUGACUUCUCCGCGGCCUUUUUCUAUGUGGGGCAUGGAUGUUAUAGGGCCAAUUUCCCCGAAAGCUUCUAAUGGACAUCGAUUCAUCUUUGUGGUUAUAGACUACUUCACAGAAUGGGUAGAAGCCACUUCGUUUGCUAAUGUGACAAAGGCUGCAGUCUGUAGGUUCUUAAAAAAAUAAGAUCAUAUGUCGACAUGGUCUGCCUGAAAGAAUCAUCUCAGAUAAUGCUUUAAAUUUGAACAACAAGAUGAUGAAAGAAGUAUGUGAGCAAUUUCAGAUAAAGCAUCAUAAUUCUUCGCCCCAUCGCCCGAAGAUGAACGGAGCAGUAGAAGCGGCUAAUAAGAACAUUAAGAGGAUUCUCGGGAAGAUGACUGAGACAUAUAAAGACUAGCACGAGAAGCUACCAUUCGCUUCGUACGCAUAUCGCACCUCUGUACGGACGUCUACAGGGGCAACUCCUUUUUCUCUGGUCUAUGGAAUGGAAGCCGUUCUGCCUAUCGAAGUAGAGAUCCCAUCCCUACGCGUCUUGAUGGAGACGAAGUUAGAAGAAUCAGAGUGGGUUCGAGCUCGACAUGAUUAGCUAAACGUUAUUUAAGGGAAACGCUUGAAAGCAAUUUGUCAUGGACAGAUGUACCAGAAGAGAAUGAUCACGGCCCAUGAUAAAAAAGUGCGGCUAAGAGAAUUUCGCGAAGGAGAGCUCGUACUGAGAAAAAUUCUCCCUAUACAGAAGGACUUUCGAGGAAAAUGGUCACCAAAUUGGGAAGGGCCAUACGUUGUAAAAAAGGCAUUCUCAGGAGGGGCUCUGAUUCUCACUGAGAUGGAUGGGAAAGAAUUACCUAAUCCAGUGAACUCAGAUGCUGUGAAGAAAUAUUAUGCUUAAAAAAAACAAAAAAAAUAGAAAAAAAACAAAACAAAAAACAAAAAAAAACAGACAAAACAAAAAACAAAAAAACAAAAAAACAAAAAAAAAGAAAAAAUCAAGAUGAAAACCCGAAAAGGGCGUCUUGAUGAACAAAAAGGAUUAGGAUGAAAACCCAAAAGGGUGUCCUAAUGAAACAAGCUCGAGCUUAAGGAGCAAGGCGACUUGAACAGGGAGUCGAAUGGCGAGGUUACAAUAUUUGAAGCAUUCUCAGAAGCUCAAAAUCUUCUACACAAGAAGCCGUGCUCGAAAAGAUCCAGGAUGAAGAAACGUGGAAAGUUCAUGCAUUGGAUAUCUAGAGCAUUUCUGGCCAUUGAAUUCGCUUUCUUUUCUUUAUGACAAUUUAUUUGUUAAACUUUCCUUGUCAAUUUCCUUCGUUUGUUACUUUUAAGAAAAUGAAUGUGAGGUAUUUCUUUCAUGCCUACUUUGUCUUUUGUAUGCAUCUCGUGUUUGAUUCAUUUAAAUGAUAAAUAGUAAGAUGACAUACUCUAAACAAAAGGAAUGUUGAGCAUUACUUGAAUGAGAACUUGAUAAAUACAAGGACCCUAAAGCAAGAAAAAGUUCAACAGGGGGCAAGAGGGUGAUAUACGAAGAAAUGUGGGUUACUCACCAAACUUGAGGAUGAGUACAAAACUAGAGAGAAAAGUCAAGAAUUGAGGAAAUGAAUGCGGACCCUCACAAAAAUCAAAAGUGGGGCACGUGACAAACAACCCAUGGUGCAUUGUAUGAUCAUGUAGACACAAAAGCAUUUAGGACAAACAUGUGCAUAUCGUAAUAACAUCAUACAUCACAUAUACAGGUAUACCAGUAGAGCAAGGAAUACUAGGAGAAAGCUGCACAGAAUCAAUGAAGAAGAAGGCUUUUAGUUUCACCUGAUGUUUUUUCAAACCCUGUUUCUUUCAAGAAAUAUUUUUUAAAAUUUUGCUUUUUUCAAAAAAUCAACUCAUAAUACAGAGGUGAGUUGAGCCUCGGGUCACGCUGAGGUAUUUUUUUUAAUUUCUGCUUUUUUCAAAAAUCAACUCAUAAUACAGAGGUGAGUUGAGCCUCGGGUCACGCUGAGGUAUUUUUUUAAAUUUCUGUUUUUUUCAAAAAAUCAAGUCAUAAUACAGAGGUGAGUUGAGCCUCGGGUCACGCUGAGGUAUUUUUAAAUUUCUGCUUUUUUUUCAAAAAAUCAACUCAUAAUACAGAGGUGAGUUGAGCCUCGGGUUACGCUGAGGUAUUUUUUUAAAUUUCUGCUUUUUUAAAAAAUCAACUCAUAAUACAGAGGUGAGUUGAGCCUCGGGUCACGCUGAGGUAUUUUUUUAAAUUUCUACUUUUUUCAAAAAAUCAACUCAUAAUACAGAGGUGAGUUGAGCCUCGGGUCACGCUGAGGUAUUUUUUUAAUUUCUGCUUUUUUCAAAAACUCAACUCAUAAUACAGAGGUGAGUUGAGCCUCGGGUCACGCUGAGGUAUUUUUUUUAAUUUCUGCUUUUUUCAAAAAAAUCAACUCAUAAUACAGAGGUGAGUUGAGCCUCGGGUCAUGCCGAGGUAUUUCUUUUAAAUUUUCGUUUUUCAAAAAAUCAACUCAUAAUACAGAGGUGAGUUGAGCCUCGGGUCAUGCCGAGGUAGUUUUUUUAAAUUUCUAUUUUUCAAAAAUCAACUCAUAAUACGAGAGGUGAGUUGAGCCUCGGACCAUGCCGAGGUAUUUCUUUUAAAUUUAUGUUUUUUGAAAAAUCAACUCAUAUUGCGAGAGAUGAGUUGAGCCUCGGGGCACAUGUCGAGGUAUUUUCGAUUUUUGUUUUUCGAAGAUCAACUCAUAAUCCAAGAGGUGAGUUGAGUCUCGGGUCGCACGCCGAGCUGUUCUCGAUUUCUGCUUUUCAAAUAAAGAGGAAAAUUUUGGAUGGUCGAACAAAAUUCAGUGCUUUUUAGUCUUUGCUCUAUCCCUGUUUCACAGCGAUGAGCAAAGAGGGGCAGCUGUAAUCACUGAAUUUUGUCCGGGAAUAAUUUUGUGUUAAAAAAAUAAAAAAAUUUUAAAAAAUUGCAUUUUGACCCCUGUACUUUCUCAAAAUUACAUUUCAACCCCUAAACUUUUAUAAAUUACUUUUGACCCCUAAACUUUCUCAAAAUUACAUUUCGACCCCUAAACUUUCUCUAAAUUAUGUUUCGGCCCCAAAACUUUUGCUGUAUUUACAUUUUGGUCCCUCUGAUAGCAAUCAGCCCAACUUGCGCCUGCAACGGCGGCGGCCGGCCUACCUCUCCCUAGCCCACUUGCUACCUGCAAAAAAAGAAGAGAACAUCAAAAUAAAAUGGGUUUUAAAACCCCCAAAGCAAAAAAAAACGGGGGGAAGUAAGGAAGCAAAAAGAAAAAAAACAACAAAAUUUUUUAGAGAAAAAUCAAGCAAAAACAGCAGCACAUCGUCGGCCCUCGCACCAACGCCACCGUGCCCACCGCCGUAGCACUCCCAUCGCCGGCACCUAGCAAAGCAAACAACAACCAAGAAGCAAAAAAAGAGAGCAAGAAGCAAACAACAAACAAAAAUAAAAGAGAAAUACAAAGGAAGAAAAAGAAAAAACAGAAAAGGAAAAGGGGAGGAGAAGAGGAGAUCUCCACCGCGCGCCGUCGCCGACCGUCGCACCAGGUCGGGGAAGCGCCGUCGGGGGCUGAACGAAGGAGAAGAAAAAAAGAAAAAAAAAGAAGAAGAAAGAAGAAGGAAGAAGAAAGGGGGGAAAGAAAAAGAAAAAAGAAAAAAGAAAAAAGAAAAAUAAAAAAAUAAUUAAAUCAGUCGGGUCGAACCGACCCGACCCGAACUAGCAACCCGACCCGGAACAGCCAGCAGACCCACAACACCCAGCAGGCCCAGCAGAUUAGGCCCAAACAGCAGGCUUUUAAAAAAAACUGCAACAAAAAGUAAGUAGCAGGCCAUUCCAGCAAAGGCCCAGCAGGUCUCCAGGCCCAACAGCAGUUCCAGCAGGCCAGCUCCAGCAGCCCCAGGCCCGUUUCAGCAGCAGGCCAGCAUCCGGCCCAGCACCCAGCGGCCCAACCUGAAAAAAAAAGAAAAAAGAAAAGAAAAAGAAAAAAGAGAAAAGAAAGAGAAAAAAGGGAAAAGGCCCAAAAUUGUGCAGCCCAUAACUUUGGGUUUUGGUAAAUUCUUGAACUUUUAAUUUUGUCUAAAUAUUUAAAUGUUGUCUCGUUUUUAAUAUUAUUGCAUAUUUUUAAAUAUUUUUAUUUUGUAUUUAUGUUUUUUUAAUUUUAUUUUAUUUUAUUCGUUAAAUUCGAACAAUUUUGAUGCAUGAGGCCACGAACCGAUUCAGCAUUAAGUCAUUGAUUUCAUCGCUAUGUUGGGUGAAUAUCGAUGGCUCGUGUCAAAUACGGGACGCCCUUUUUUUUAAAAAAAAAGCGAAGAUAUUCAAAAAUUCUCGUUUUUUUAAAAAAUAAAAAAAGUUUCUCGUGUUUUAAUAGAAUCACGAUUAAAUAUUAAGUUGAAUCGAUUUAACACUAAUUCGAUGAUUUCAUCGUCAUGUAUGGGUGAAUAUCAUUGAUUUGUGUCAAUUGCGGUACCUUUAAAAAAAAACUAAUCGUGUUUCAAAAAUUUUCAUGUUUCCAAAAAAUUCCCGUGUUUUAAAAAUUUCCUUAUUUUCAAAAAUUUUCGUGUUUCAAAAAAAUCCUCAUGCUUUUAAAAAUUUUAGUGUUUCAAAAAUCCUCGUGUUUUCAAAAAUUAUUAUUGUGUUUCAAAGUUCUCGUGUUUAAAAAAAAAAGGGUUUUCUCAAGUUUCAAUCAGAUCACAAUUAAAUCUUAAAUUGAACUUGUAUUUUUGAAAAUUAAGACAACGCGCAUUUAACGAGAUUCCAAUUUUGGGCGUCGCGAGGGUGCUAAUACCUUCCUCGCGCGUAACUGACUCCCGAACCCUAAUUUUCUCUGGAUUUUCACGCAGACCUAAAAUUACCUCUUUUUUAGGAAAAUUUAAAAUAAAUUUUUCUUCUAAAAAAAGAAUUUAUUAGGUGUCCGAUCACACCUAAAAAAGAUCGGUGGCGACUCCUUUUGCAAAUAAAAUCGAAACUCUAUUUUCAAAUUUUCAAUAAUUAAUUCGAUUAGCGCCCGUGCCCAAAAUUUUUAGGUCGCUACAGAGAUAACAGAAAAAGAAAACCUGAUAGAUACUCUAACUCUUAGUAAAAUUCGGCACCAAAAAGCAAAGCAAAAACAAACGAUACACAAAACCAAUAUGAGAAAUAUCCCCUCUGGCUGAAUUUUUCCUGAGUACAAAGUUCAAUUUCUGCAUACCCUUUCCUUUCCCCUCACUUCCCUUCGUUUUCUCCAAAAAUCUCUCCCUUUAUCCCUCCUUGAAUCACUCCACCUAUUUCUCCUCAACUCCCCCGACAACUCCAUUCAAAUUCCAUUCAAACUCCCCUUGGCUGUGUUUCAGUCCAACUCCACUUCCAACACAGCUCAAGCAGCAAAAUAAAUAUUCCAUUGUGCAACCCAAUACUUGAACCUCAAACCUCACAGUUACACAACACGCCACUUUACCACUAGGCCACAAGCUCUUUUUAUUUCAUGAACAAGCACUAUUAUUUAUAAGGCCUAUAUGCCAGUGUCCAGAUUCAUUUAAGAGCAAAACUAAAAAUUCUACAAAAGCCAAAACUUAAACCCCUAACUUCUCAGACACUUGCAAACACUCCUAAAUCACUUAACCACUGAAGCAAACAUUCAUUUAUGUCUCUUCCUUGUACAACUAAAUAUUUAUGUGCAGUCUUUUAACUGUCUCCUUGUUCAAAACCUAUUUCUUCUAGGCCCAAAAUUUGGGGUGUUACACAAAUGGGUCUUUAGGGUUAAACUUCAAUAAUUGAUGAGCUCUUCCACAAAUUGUGGAUGAUAUGGGGAUAAGAACUUCAAUUAUUCUAGAGUUAGAAUGUAAAUUUACCACUAUAUUAUAAGUAAAUAUUGAAAUUUAUCACUAUAUUUUAAUUGAUACUUGUCAUUACACUUUGAAAAUAUAAGUAAAUUUACCAUUUAACUCAUAUGUGAUUGAACUUUGCAAGUAAACUUAAAAUUUUAUUUAAUUUUGUCACUAAAUUUGAUUUAUUUAAUUAAAUUUACAACUCAACAUAAAUUUUGGUGACUUAAAACAAAAUUAAUAAAAAAACUAUUCUUUCAUAUAUUUUUUUUAGUGUUUAAUAAUAAGUUGAUUUAUAAAAUAUACUUUCAUUAGACACAAGCAUCCAAGGCGGUGAACAAACCACUGGUCAAAUUAAUUUGGAGAUAUGUUUUUGUCUAACGAGUUUUGCUUCUUUUUUUUUAAAUAUUUUUAAUAUUUUUGUGGAUAUCAAGAGAUACCAAAAUUAUUUCACUAAGGAAUUAAUUAGUGUUUUAUUUUAAGGGUUCACAAUUAAACAUCGAAUUUUUCAUUUUUAAAUUUUGAAUUUUUUAACAAUCGUGUAAUUAACAAGUACUAAUUUUUUGGUGUUGUAGGGUUAUUACAAUCUUCUCUACAUGUAACAGACUCUCAAACCUACUUUUUUCUCUAGAGCUCAACGCAAACCUCAAUUUUUUUUUUACCGAUCACACUUAAGAAAAUUACAAUUUUUUUUUGAAAUUUAAAUUGAUCUAAAAACAUAUUUUUAAGUGCUUUAGACCAUCCGGUGCUGAUUUCUUUAUUGUAUUAAAUGCUUGCGAUCACUCUUGAUAUAUUAUACUUGAGUUGUGACAGAGCCAAUUGUCAACGUGCCAUAAUGUUCUAUUGAUGCUGAAACUGAAGUUUUUGUUAUGUUAAGAGAGCUUGUCCUUCAACGCGUAUAACGGGUGUUUGUUAUUUUUUCCCUUCAAAUUAUAUGAUCUCAUUCAUUAAAUGAAUUAAUGAAUUUCCCUUUAAAGAUAUAAUUUUAAAAAUUAAAUACUUUAUAAAAUAUUUAAAACUAUUUAAAAAAUUGUAAGCGUUAAAACAAUUAACAAGAUAUAUUUUUCUCUAAAAAAUCAAUAAAAAUAUGUUUGAAAUUUUAUAUGAAAUUUAAAAUUUUCUAACUUAUUUUCAAUCAACUUUAUUUCAAUUUUCAAUCACAAUCAAUUGCAUUCAAGAGCACCAUAUCUUUUUGGAUGAAACAAAGCUCUCAAUAUUAAGAUAAACGGGUCUUUAGGGUUAUUAAUUUAGGGCCUUUUCCACAAUUUCCAUCGUUAUUUGCGGGUGGUUCGGGGAUGAUAACUUCAACAUUUUUGCAUCACAUUUAAUUCAAUUCCACAUUCAAUUUUUAAUUUUUAGAGAGAUGAUUGGUUUACAACAAUGGUUUGAAGUGAAGAUAUUUCAAAAGAAGAUGAAUAAUUUAAAAUUCAGGUUAUGUUUCAUUUCAAUUAAGUUAAAUGUUAAGAUUAAGGUUAAACCUUUUAGAGGUUGUUCACAAAAGGAUCAAACAUUUAUAAAGUGCUUAAAUGAAGGCCAAACUUUUUAAAAUAGAUAAAUAAGGCCCUAACCUUUUAAAGGGUGUUCAAAGAAGGGCUUCUCAAAUGUUGUAUAUCAGGUUAUGGAUUUUACUCUAAACAUAUCGGCAUUUACCUAUUUUUUCUACAAAUUAGAUUGAAAUGCGUGAAAAACCCUUAUUUUAGCACUUCUGUAAAGGUUAAACUCUUAUUUGACCAUUUUGAAAGGUUUGAUCCUUAUGUGAGCAACCUCUAAAAGAUUGAGCACUAAUUUGACAAGUUGAGAAAUAUCAAAUUUGUUUUCAUGAAUCAAGAAAUUAAAAAAAAAAAUGUUGAGAAAUAUUUUAGAGACAAGUUCCCUCCACCAGCUCCCUGCAUCCAGUCCCACCUCUUCUCUUAUGCUCCUUCCAGGUUCUUGCUUUUUGUGUGUUGAAAAUUCGAAGGAACAAAAUAUCAACCUACAUCAUAAGGCACGAAGGCCAGAAAUUACUUGAGAUCUGACAACUUUAUUUCAUUUUCAUUUUCUUUGUUAUUUUCUAUGUUUCUUGUCAAAUACAAUGAAAAAAGAACAUAGAAAAAUGUUGCCCAUUUAUUUCCCAAUCAUCAUGAAAUUACUUGCCAUAGACUUAGAAUUUAUUUCUCACCAAUUUUCAAGCAAUCUGACAUGAUUUCUCAAUCACAAUUAAUUGAAUUCAAGAUCUUUUUGGAUGGCACAAACAUUUGAAUUUUAACACAAACCAAUAUUUAGGUUAUACUUCAGUGCUUGACAAGCACUUUCACAUUUGUGGGAUAAGAACUCUAACAUAUUUGGAUCACAUUUAAUUCAAUAUAACGCCGACCAAGUAGACGGCGGCGGCUGUGAAGGAGGUUAAAUCAAGAAAUUAAAUCCUUUUAGAACUCUAUUAUAAAGAAACCAUAUUCUUUAAGGAUUAUUUUAUCUCUAAUUAAUUAAAUUAAUAAGAUAUGAAUAACAAUAAUAGAGUUUAAAUUCUACAAGAAUUCUCUUAUAUCAAAGUGAUUGACACUAUAAAAACGGGUCACCUCCAAGUCAUUCUACACAUUCACAAGUUUAAGAAGUCCAAAAAUUCUUUACAAAAAUAUUUGAAGAAACUAAAGAAGUGGAAGAAAUUCUAAUGAACAUCACAUCAAUUGAGAAGAGGAUGUGAACAGAAGAGAAGAAUCAAAGAAGUUUUGUUUGUAAAGAAAUUCAAAACUUGUACACUCUUCGAAAUUAUAAAUAAAUUUUGAUGCAAAAUUUUCAAAUUAAUUUUCAACUUGAAAUUUGUGUAUACAAUAUAUAUGGGAAAGAAUCCAUUUACAUUAUAUAAAACUAGUGUAUGUAUAAUACAUAAAUAUUUAGUACGUAAUCAAUUCACUUUAAAUGAAACGAGAUCCACGAGUGUUUGGUGUUAUAUUUUUAAAAUGUAUUUACAUGAUUGUUUAUUAAUUUUAUUUGUUUAUAUUUAAAUCAAAUGUAAUAAAUUGUUGAAUUUAUAUACUUCUUAUUAUAACAAUAUAUGGACUAUCUUCCUACUUCUCUUUUUAAUUUAAUUUUUUGUAACUCUUCACAAUUUAUUUUGAACAACAUUGAAAAAAACUAAAUGAUUAAAUUAAGGCUCAACUUUUCACUAACCUUAGUUUAUUUAGUCUCACUUUUCACAAAUUAUUCUACUCAUUUCAUGUUUCAUACCAACAACUUUUCUUUUUGCUGAAAAGAAAAAAACAACUAUACUUUCUUUAAUCCCAAAAUUAAGGCUUUAUGAAUGAAAAUAAUAUUAUAUUAACUAUGAUAAUUAAGUUUUUAUUUUUAAUAUGAUUAAUAUUAUAUAUAAUAACUUUAAAUAUGCUUCCACUAAUGAGAUAUACUAAAGAAAAGAGUAACUUUCUUUUUAGGAUAACUAAUUUCCAAUUAUGUAUUUUAAUCUAUCACUAAGUAAUUAAUUAAGUUAAUGUCACAAGUGAAUCGUACAUCAUAUACCAACUCAAUUGGAAAAUGUCUUUAAAUUAUUUUUAAAUUGUAACAAAUAUUAUUAUUAAGAUGUUUUUCUUUUUAUAUUUUUUAUAAAUAUAAUAAAAAACAAUUAGAAUAAUUUUAAGAGAAAAAAACUCAUACACUGUAGAAUUUAAUGUAAAGAUAUCAAAGUUUUAAAGCCUCAACUUUAACCUUUCAACCGAAAUUCCAUUAGUCAAUAAAUAUUUUAUAAAUAUAGAUUUUAUAAAUAUAGAAUUUAAUCACAAGUGUACCAUAUUUAGAGAUAUUCAUAGCUAGGCAGUCCACUUUGGGUCAAGAAGUUUGUAGUUAGGCAGCCCACUUUGGGCCAGGAUUCAGCUUACGCUUUUAAUCUUGGGCUUUAAAAAUAAUAAAAAUAUAAAAAUAAUGUUCUAUUAAUAUUUAUAAAUUUUAUAAAUUUAAAUUUAUUUAUAUUUUUUAAACAGUAAAAUCAACCAUUUAUAUGGGCUAAAUUGAGUUAAGUUCGGUUUGCAUCAAGCCUUAACUUUGACCAAAUCCAACUAAAAACACCUCUAACCAUAAUCUAGUAUUGUUUUUAUGAAUUCAAUUUUAACUUGUAAUUUUCAAUUCUAUUACAAAAUUUCUUUGCCUACGAUAAGAAAAUAACAUAUUUGUAACUUCUCCAAUCCGGCGUAAACGUUCAGUCUGAAUUCGGAAGAUUACAUCAGCUAUAAAGAUGGCCUAGUAGGGUUAUCGGAGUUUUUGAAAAUAGACAUCUUUAAAACGUUUGUUUAAUUUAGUAAAAAACUUAUUUAAUUUCUAAAUUAUUUAUUACUUGAAAUCUUAAUUACACUUUAAAAGUAGGAAGUGGUAACUAUUUAUUUUUAAUAAAAAUCGGGGUUCAUGUAUAAUUUAUUAAUAACCAUAAUUCGAAAACAAUAAAACUUAAUUAAAUGUCAUGCAAAAUAAAACAAGCUUAAAUCUAAAUCUCAUGCCACAGUUCAAUAUAAUUUAUUGUAGUCUUCGAAAAUAAAAUAAAUCAUAUAAUCAACCUAAAAUAAGUUUGUAAUUUAACAAUGUGUCGAGACCUUCCAGAUGUCACUCCCGCGUCCUAACCUAGAGGGUUAUCUGUAAGGAUGAAAACCUUCCAGGUGCGGCGCUACUGCGGCGGCCAUGGCUGAAGAUCUAGGCCGGAUUUUGGGGAGGGGUUGAGGUUUGAGAGAAUUUUGUUUGAUUUUUUUAGAGGAAAGGAGAAAAUGAAGGAUUUAAAAAAAAAAUUGGCUUUUAUAGCAUUAAGAAACGGCGCCGUUUUGAUCUUAGGGUUCAGAGGCCAAAAUGACGUCGUUUUGACCUCUGACCCGUCACCCGACCCAGCAGCCCACAGGAUUCGAGUGUUUUUGCGGUGAAUGGUCCCUCAGCUUUUGCGCCGUGAUGCAAUCUGGUCCCUUCGUUUAUUUUAUUUUUGCCCCAUAAAUUUUAUACUUGUUUCAUUUUAGUCCACGCUGAAACGUUGUGCUUUAUGGCUGGGAAUAUUGCCCAGUCAGUCCCUAAUUUCUUAAGCGCGUUCCACUUCAGUCCCUAGCCACCCCCUUUUUAUUUAUUUGCGAUUUAAGCUCCGAAUUUUGGGGUCCGUUUUCAAAUUAGUCCUUAGCCUGUUUAAUUUUAAUUUUUAAAAAAAAAUAGAUUUGUCUAAUAUUUCACUUAAUAGUUAUUUAUUUACUUUUUUUUAAUUGUAAAUCAAGCUUACAUUAGUAUUUAUCUAUCUAUCUAUCUAUCUAUUUAUUUAUUUAUUGGCUUGUUCAUCUUAUUUUGCCAUUAUUAUUACUAUCAUUCCAUUAUCUAUUUAUGUGCUAAUUUUCAAAUAUUUUCAAAUUAGUAUUAUAUUUAUUAUUGUUGUUGUUAUCGUUAUUGUUAUAUUGUUACUUGCAUUAUUAUUAUUCAUGCAUGUUAACAUUAAGAUUUAUUAGUAUCAAUGCUAUAUGUGUAUUUUAUGAUGCAUAGUAUGUCAUGAUUAUUUUAAAUGCAUAUCGUAUUAUCGUUAUUAGUCGUGUACGACUCCUCUUUUUAAAAACGAUUUCUUUUCGAAUAUAAUCAAAGUUUGCACACAUACUAUUUUUAAAUAUUCUAUUAGUGCUCACUUAAAUUCAAAAAAAAAAAAUCAAAGAAAGGCAAUACUUUGCAUUUUGGCAAUUUGAGAAAUCGUACCCUAACUUACGGGGUUUCGGCUUUCUCGUUAAACCUAAAUAGCAAAAUAUUCUUUUAAAACUUCAAAAUACAAAUUUUCAAUAAAAUUUAAAGACGAGUUUAUUCUCUAAGGUUCUAAAUAACGUGUCCUAACUUAUGGGACGUGGUAUUUCGUUACCUUGGGACGAGUGGAUCUUUAACUCUCUUUUCGAUUUAUUCAAGCAAUUUUUAAUGGCAUUAAUAAAAAGGGAUUGUAUUUUAAAUUUCCCUUCGAAUUUUCUACUUUAAAUAUUAAGACAUUAAGUAAUCAACUAGGUACCGAUUUUGAGCGUAUUGAGGGUGCUAAUUCUUCCUCGUGAGUAACCGACUCCCGAACCCAUUUUCUGGAUUUUUGUGGACCGAAAAAUUUUGUUUUAGUAAAUCAAACCGUUUAUUUAAAACAAUUCAAUUACGAGGUGAUCCGAUCACACCUCACAAAAAAAAAAGAUUGGUGGCAAUUCCCAUGUUCGUUUUCAUUUACAAAAUUAAAGUCGACCCUCCUUUUUAAAAAAAAUGGUUUCGACACUACGAAUAUGAACCUUCAAGCUUUUGUGGAUAAUGUUACAGAUGGUUGUUGCAAAAAAUAUUUCUUAUUCUUUUAUGUGGCAUGCCACAUUAUCAUAUUAUCAUGUGACAACUUCUGGUGAUUUCUGUCCGUAACAAUUUUUGUUAAAUGAAGAGGUCAAUUGAUUUUUUUGGAAUCAUUGAGUACUCAAUUGGUGCACUUUUUUCGUAAAGGCUAAAUUAAUUUUUUAAUUUGUUACUGUUGAGGGCUAUAGCAAUAAAAAAUUUUGAGGUAAAAUGAAAAAAAAUGUUAGAGCUAAAUUUGUCAUUAUGCCUAAAAUGUAAAACCAAAAUUUUUUGAAAAUGAAAAAAAAUGGAAAAUCACAAAUUGUGUCACUUAUGUUUGCUUAAAAUUAUAGUUUUGGUCACGAAUCUUUUGAAGUAAAUAUAUGGUCACCAAUACAAUCCAUUUGUUACUUUGUAAUAACUCACCUUAAAGUUAUACCCCUACGCAAGAAAGUAUUCAAUGACAUUGGGAUACCAUCAAACUUGUAUCUUUUUUUAUUCAUCCAAUGUCAUUUCAACAUUUUCAUUUAAAAACAUAUCAUUUUGGAUUUGAUCUUUUCAAUGAUGAAACUAUUGAAAUGAUGUUAAAUUAUUGGAAAGAGAUACAAGUUUAAUCUUAUCUAUCUAAGAAAGCUGAUGUAACACACUAAUGACAUCAUUUCAAACAAAGUUUUGGGUCCAAUUGUUCAUCUAGUCCUUGUAAUUGCUUUUAGGUGAAUUUCACUAUUAUUCUUUUAUUUUCUUUGGCUUAAAUACACAUUUACCCUUAAUUUUAUCACAUUCUCCUUCAUUGGUAUUUAUGGUUUAGAAAAUUUUACAAAUAUAUUAUUUUUUAAGAAAUUAUAAGAAGAUUACAUUGUUUUUAUGCAUUGAAUUUUAACUUGUAAUUUUCAAUUUUAUUACAAAAUUUCUUUGCCUACAAUAAGAAAAUAACAUAUUUGUAACUUCUCCAAUCCGGCGUAAACGUUCAGUCUGAAUUCGAAAGAUUACAUUAGCUAUAAUGAUGGCCUAGUAGGGUUAUUGAAGUUUUUGAAAAUAGACAUCUUUAAAACAUUUGUUUAAUUUAGUAAAAAACUUAUUUAAUUUCUAAAUUAUUUAUUACUUGAAAUCUUAAUUACACUUUAAAAGCAGGAAGUGCUAACUAUUUAUUUUUAAUAAAAAUUGGGGUUCAUGUAUAAUUGAUUAAUAACCAUAAUUCGAAAACAAUAAAACUUAAAUUAAAUGUCAUGCAAAAUAAAACAAGCUUAAAUCUAAAUCUCAUGCCACAGUUCAAUAUAAUUUAUUGUAGUCUUCGAAAAUAAAAUAAAUCAAAUAAUCAACCUAAAAUAAGUUUUGCAAUUUAACAAUAUGUCGAGACCUUCCAAAUGUCACUUCCGCGUCCUAUCCUGGAGGGUUAUCUGUAAGGAUGAAAACCUUCCAGGUGCGGCGCUACGGCAACAACCAUGGCCGAAGGCCUAGGCCAGAUUUUGGGGAGGUGUUGAGGUUUGAGAGAAUUUUGUUUGAUUUUUUUAGAGGAAAGGAGAAAAUGAAGGAUUUAAAAAAAAAUUGCUUUUAUAGCAUUAAGAAACAACGCCGUUUUGAUCUUAGGGUUCAGAGGCCAAAAUGACGUCGUUUUGACCUUUAACCCGUGACCCGACCCAGUAGCCCACGAGAUCCGAGUGUUUUUGUGGUGAAUGAGCUAUUUCCGGGCAGGGUCCCUCAGCUUUUGCGCCGUGAUGCAAUCUGGUCCCUUCGUUUCUUUUAUUUUGGCCCCAUAAAUUUUAUACUUGUUUCAUUUUGGUCCGCGCUGAAACGUUGUGCUUUAGGGAUGGGAAUAUUGCCAGUCAAUCCCUAAUUUCUUAAGCGCUUUCCACUUCAGUCCCUAGCCACCCCCUUUUUAUUUAUUUGCGAUUUAAGCCUUGAAUUUUGGGGUCUAUUUUCAAAUUAGUCCUUAGCCUGUUUAAUUCUAAUUUUUUUAUUUAAAAAAAAUAGAUUUGUCUAAUAUUUCACUUAAUAGUUAUUUAUUUACUUAUUUUCAAUUAUAAAUCAAACUUAGUAUUUAUUUAUUUAUCUAUCUAUCUGUUUAUUUAUUUAUUUAUUGGCUUGUUCAUCUUAUUUGUGCCAUUAUUAUUACUAUCAUUCCAUUAUCUAUUUAUGUGCUAAUUUUCAAAUAUUUUCAAAAUUUAGAUUCAUUAGUAUUAUAUUUAUUGUUGUUGUUAUUAUCGUUAUUGUUGUAUUGUUACUUGCACUAUUAUUAUUCAUGCAUGUUAACAUUAAGAUUUAUUAGUAUCAAUGCUAUAUGUGUAUUUUAUGAUGCAUAGUAUGUCAUGAUUAUUUUAAAUGCAUAUCGUAUUAUCGUUAUUAGUCAUGUACGACUCCUCUUUUUAAAAACGAUUUCUUUUCGAAUAUAAUCAAAGUUGCAUGCGUACUAUUUUUAAAUAUUCUAUUAGUGCUCACUUAAAUUCAAAAAAAAAAUCAAAGAGAGGCGAUACUUUGCAUUUUGGCAAUUUGAGAAACUGUACCCUAACUUACGGGGGUUCGGCUUUCUCGUUAAACCUAAAUAGCAAAAUAUCCUUUUAAAACUGCAAAAUACGAAUUUUCAAUAAAAAUUAAAGACGAGUUUAUUCUCUAAGGUUCUAAAUAUCGUGUCCUAACUUACGUGACGUGGUAUUUCGUUACCUUGGGACGAGUGGAUCUUUAACUCUCUUCUCGAUUUAUUCAUGCAAUUUNNNNNNNNNNNNNNNNNNNNNNNNNNNNNNNNNNNNNNNNNNNNNNNNNNNNNNNNNNNNNNNNNNNNNNNNNNNNNNNNNNNNNNNNNNNNNNNNNNNNNNNNNNNNNNNNNNNNNNNNNNNNNNNNNNNNNNNNNNNNNNNNNNNNNNNNNNNNNNNNNNNNNNNNNNNNNNNNNNNNNNNNNNNNNNNNNNNNNNNNNNNNNNNNNNNNNNNNNNNNNNNNNNNNNNNNNNNNNNNNNNNNNNNNNNNNNNNNNNNNNNNNNNNNNNNNNNNNNNNNNNNNNNNNNNNNNNNNNNNNNNNNNNNNNNNNNNNNNNNNNNNNNNNNNNNNNNNNNNNNNNNNNNNNNNNNNNNNNNNNNNGUUACAGAAGGUUGUUGCAAAAAAUAUUUUUUUAUUCUUUUAUGUGGCAUGCCACAUUAUCAUAUUAUCAUGUGACAACUUCGGGUGAUUUCUAUCCGUAACCGUUUUUGUUAAAUGAAGAGGUCAAUUGAUUUUUUUGGAAUCAUUGAGUACUCAAUUGGUGCACUUUUUUCAUAAAGGCUAAAUUAAUUUGUUACUGUUGAGGGCUAUAGCAAUAAAAAAAUUUGAGGUAAAAUGAAAAAAAUGUUAGAGCUAAAUUUGUCAUUAUGCCUAAAAUGUAAAACCAAAAUUUUUUGAAAAUGAAAAAAAAAUUGGAAAAUCACAAAUUCUAUCACUUAUGUUUGCUUAAAAUUAUAGUUUUAGUCACCAAUCUUUUAAAGUAAAUAUAUGAUCACCAAUAUAAUCCAUUUGUUACUUUGUAAUAACUCACCUUAAAGUUAUACCCCGACGCACGAAAGGAUUAAAUGACAUUGGGAUAUAAUAAAACUUGUAUCUUUUUUUAUUCAUCCAAUGUCAUUUCAACAUUUUCAUUUAAAAAAAUUGACAUAUCAUUUUGGAUUUGAUCUUUUUCAUGAUGAAACUAUUGAAAUGGUGUUAAAUUAUUGGAAAGUGAUACAAGUUUAAUCUUAUCUAUCUAAGAAAGCUGAUGUAACACACUAAUGACAUCAUUUCAAACAAAGUUUUAGGUCCAAUUGUUCAUCUAGUCCUUGUAAUUGCUUUUAGGUGAAUUUCACUAUUAUUCUUUUAUUUUCUUUGGCUUAAAUACACAUUUACCCUUAAUUUUUUCACAUUCUCCUUAAUUGGUAUUUAUGGUUUAGAAAAUUUUACAAAUAUAUAUUUUUUAAGAAAUUAUAAGAAGAUUACAAAAAUUCCAAAAAAAUAUAAAAAAGCUAAGAAAAACCUUGAAAUUCAAAAAAAAAUCAUGUUUUUACAAAUUAGGAAAUACCUAAAUUUGUUUUCAUCAAUUAAGAAAUUAAAAAAAUUGUUGAGAAAUAUCUUUUUAGAAAUAUCAUAAUUGCAUUUAAGACCUCAUGAUUAUCUUUUAUAAUUUCAAGGUUAUCAACUAUUUUGAAAACAAAGACAAAAACAGAAACAAAAACGUCGACAUAUCACUUUAGCAUUGACUUACUUUUCUACUCUUAGUCUUCUCCAACAAGUUAAAUAUUUCAAUUUUAACAAUAUUGACAGGUCUUUGGGGUAGGGUCGAGCAAAACUCAAUAGAAACAGAUGAUAUAGGUUGAGUUGGCUCAGUCAAGCCCAUGUCCCUCGCUACACGCCCCUGGUAAAAUCAAUUUUAAAAUUAAUUAUAAUAGUUUAAGCGAAUUGAUUAUUGAGUAAUGAAAUACUUAAUUCAACCAAUUGAUGUAAUCAAAUUAUAAUAAAUAUAUAUUUACUUUUAUGAUACCCUUCGUCUUCUUUUUAGAGUUUGUGGCAAUAUUUUUUUUAUGCUUCAAAUUUAUAUUUUUUUAUUUAUGAGUACAAUGUGUCUUACAAUUACAUCUGCAAUUUAUAUUUUUUAUUUGAAAACAUAUAUUAUAAUAUAUGAAAAACAUAUAUAUAACCAGAUUUUGUCACACCCAUUUUAUGUUAAAAAUAUUUUCAUUUAAAUUGAGUAUAGGUUGGGUGGUAAUGUACUUAUAUUUUAAUACUAGUAAAUACGUGUUCAAUCUUUAGAUUUAUAAUUUAUAAUUCUUUUAAUUAAAGAUGAUAUACAAGUAUGAAAAGACAAAAGUGACAUAGUAAUAAUAUUAAUUAUUAAUUUUAUAAUUUCAUAAUUGAGUUGAUGGCAUGGUUGAAGGUGACACUAACUCUAAAACACUUAAAUAUAAUAAUAGCUUAAAAAUGAGGGGCUUUUGGUAAAUACAUUACUGAGUUGGUGACCUGAUUGAGGGUCACAUCAACUAAAUAAAACACUUAAAUAUUGACUACAAAUCCUAUCACACACUUAUGUGUCUAAAAACCACAAAUUUAGUAUACAAAGAUGUGUUUAAAAUUAACAUACAAUAAAGAAUGAAAUUUAUGGUUUGAAACUAAUUAGUAAUAACACAUGAAAUAUGUAUGAUAUCAAAAUGAAAAAAAAAAGAGAAUAAAUUGUGCAUAAAACAAAAUUUUAUCCUAUUACAUCAAUAAAGUUAUAUUUAUUACCCUCGCCAAUUAUUUGUCAUUAAGAACAUUAAAGUAUCCUUGAAUGAUAUAACUUAUUCUAAAUAGAGUUGAUGUAUGGUUGGCUUGGGAUACCAACUCAGUCAGGGACUUAAGAUUAUUAAAAUAUUCUUAUUUUAAAGGGAAAUUAAUAUUAUCAUAAGUGUAUUUUCACCUUUUCAUACUUUGAUAUAAUCUUCAAGUAAAACGAUUGAAAAAUAUUAUUUGAGAACACAAGACUAAAAAAAUUCAUAUAGAAAACGCUUACCACUCCACUAAUAAUCAUUUGUCAAUGUAUUUUUUGUAAAAAGACCUCUCCAAUCCCUCUUAAUUUCACAAUUGCGCAAAUUAGUCCCUCUCAAAAAAAUUGGAGUAAUUUAAUUCCUAUCAAUUUUGAAAGUGAGUAACUAAGGAUAAUUAAUUAUGGUGUUAAAUUCUUCCAUCAAUUGUACAUAAUUUUGAUUGGUAUAGUAAUAAAUUUAGCCUACAAUGUUUAUAUAUUUUGUCAUUUUGGCCUUAAUUUUUAAAAAAAUUUCAAGAAAUUCAGCCUCAACAUUACAUAUUUACACAAACAUUGCGGGAUAAUUUUGUUAAAGUAAAACCAGCUAAUAAAUUUAUUAUUAUACCAAACAAAAUCAUAUACAUUUUAUGGAAAAUUAACAUCCUGAUUAAUUAUUCUUAGUUACUCACUUUCAAAAUUAAUAGGGACUAAAUUGCUCUGUUUUUUUUUUUGGGGUGACCAAUUUCCUCAAUUUAGAAAUUGAGAGAGACUAUUGAGAUCUUUUACAUAUUUUUUUUAUAAAUAUACCUUUUUAAUAUAAAAUAUAUUUGUUCACACACAUCGUGAGUAUGAUAAAAUAUGUUUAUUGUUGAUUGAGUUGGUGUCAAAAAUUAACUUGACACAAACUCAAGAUUAAUAAUAACAAUAUGAUAAAUAAUUAUUUAUUUAAUAUUCUUAAUUUAAGAUAUUGAUGUAAAUUUUAAGACAUGCAUGUCUUGUAGAAUUGUAAUUAUACUUUUUGAGUAUUGACUCAGUUUUCCCGAAUUGUGGGUCUCUAUUUCAGCAAAACAAUUUAAACAUUUCUUCAUCUCGCUUAAUCCAAAUGCAUUUAGGAUUUUCUUAUGUCACUGCUUCAAAAACGGUAAAAAAAAAAUGUCGACAUUGAAUUUGCUGUUUCACAUUCAAUUNNNNNNNNNNNNNNNNNNNNNNNNNNNNNNNNNNNNNNNNNNNNNNNNNNNNNNNNNNNNNNNNNNNNNNNNNNNNNNNNNNNNNNNNNNNNNNNNNNNNCCAUCAACUUGACUUCAAUUUUCAGUCACAAUCAAUUGCAUUCAAGAGCACCACAUCUUUUUGGAUGAAACGAAGCUCUCAAUUUUAAGAUAAACGGGUCUUUAGGGUUAUUAAUUGAGGGCCUUUUCCACAAUUGCCAUCGUUAUUUGCGGGUGAUUGGGUUACGACAAUGGUUUGAAGUGAAGCUGUUUCAAAUGAAUAUGAAUACUCUACCAGUAAGUCAUAAUUUAAAAUUCAGGUUAUGUUUCAUUUCAACUAAGUUAAAUGUUAAGAUUGAAGUUAAACCUUUUAGAGGUUGCUCACAAAAGGAUCAAACCUUUAUAAAAGUGCUUAAAUGAAUGCCAAACUUUUUAAAAUAGACAAAUAAGGCCCUAACCUUUUAAAAGGUGUUCAAAUAAGGGCUUCUCAAAUGUUGUAUAUCAAGUUAUGUAUUUUACUCUAAACAUAUCAGCAUUUACUUAUUUUUUCUACAAAUUGGGUUGAAGUGCAUGGAAAAUCUUUAAUAUCAAGUUAUGUAUUUUACUCUAAACAUAUCAGCAUUUACUUAUUUUUUCUACAAAUUGGGUUGAAGUGCAUGGAAAAUCUUUAAUAUCAAGUUAUGUAUUUUACUCUAAACAUAUCAGCAUUUACUUAUUUUUUCUACAAAUUGGGUUGAAGUGCAUGGAAAAUCUUUAAUAUCAAGUUAUGUAUUUUACUCUAAACAUAUCAGCAUUUACUUAUUUUUUCUACAAAUUGGGUUGAAGUGCAUGGAAAAUCUUUAUUUAAGCACUUUUGUAAAGGUUAAACUCUUAUUUGACAAUUCUGAAAGGUUUGAUCCUUAUGUGAGGAACCUUUAAAAGAUUGAGCACUAAUUUAACAAGUUGAGAAAUACCUAAAUUUGNNNNNNNNNNNNNNNNNNNNNNNNNNNNNNNNNNNNNNNNNNNNNNNNNNNNNNNNNNNNNNNNNNNNNNNNNNNNNNNNNNNNNNNNNNNNNNNNNNNNCCUGCCUCCAGUCCCACCUCUUCUCUUAUGCUCCUUCUAGGUUCUUGCUUUUCGUGUGUUGAAAAUUCAAAGGAACAAAAUAUCAACCUACAUCAUAAGGCACGAAGGCCAGAACUUUACUUUCUAGCCCGUCCGAUCCAAUGAAAGAAGAACAAAGAGUCUUGAGAUCUGACAACUUUAUUUCAUUUUCAUUUUCUUUGUUAUUUUCUAUGUUUCAUGUCAAAUACAAUGGAAGAAGAACAUAGAAAAAUGUUGCCUAUUUAUUUCCCAAUCAUCAUGAAAUUACUUGCCAUAGACUUAGAAUUUUCUCACCAAUUUUCAAGCAAUCUGACAUGAUUUCUCAAUCACAAUUAAUUGAAUUCAAGAUCUUUUUGGAUGACACAAACAUUUCAAUUUUAACACAAACCAAUAUUUAGGUUAUACUUCAGUACUUGACAAGCACUUUCACAUUUGUGGGAUAAUAACUCUAGCAUUUUAGGAUCACAUUUAAUUCAAUUGCAUUUAAGACCUCAUGAUUUUAUUCUAUAAUUUGAGUCUUAUCAACCUUUUGGGAAAUAAUAAAACAUCGACAUUAAACAUUGUUGUUGAUGCAUUCAAUUUGAUUUUUUGAGGGGUCGUUGGAGUUGUAUGUGAAUUUAGCAUUGAUUGACUUUUUUAGAAUUAAUCUUUUAUACCAAUUUAAUAACAUCGACAUGUUUUUGGGUAGGGUCGAGCAAAACCCAAUUAAAACCGAUGAUAUUGGUUUAGUUGACUCGGUCAAGUCCAUUAGAUGGAGAAAAUCAAUUUUAAAAUCAGUUAUAAUGGAUUAAGGUAAUUAAUUAUUGAGUUAUGAAAUACAUAAUCAAAUCAAUUGAUUUUGUUAGAAACUAAAAGAAAAUGGGAUAAGCUGAAAACUGAUUGCCCUUUAUUAAAAUUAAGGAAUUCGCCUUUUACAUGUUAGAUAAUAUGAACAUCCCAUAUAUAAUAAGAAAAAUUACGUACGAUUAUUUGUUAUCAUAAAUGGUUAGUUUAAAUUUCAAGUAAUCUAAAAUGUGUAUUGAACUUCAACUAUUACAUAAAGUAUAAGCUAAAUAUGUAUAAAUAUUCUAGAAACCAUUUCUAACAGAUGAUAGGCUAAUUCAGAAUUAAGAUUAAUAUAUAAAAACUCGAUAGUAAGGUUAUAGUCCUCAAACUACAACUAAUUUAAUAACAUUUAUAGUUUUUGUUAAUUUGGUCCUUACUCUUUAAAAUUACAUAAAAAUUGCAAAAAUAUUUUAAAAAUAAAUUUUUUUCGUAUUUUUAAUAACAUUUAUAGUUUUUUUUUUUGUGGUUUGGUAACUUAUCAACUCGACUCUUAAUUGUAACCAACUUUUCUGACUUUUUUCGUACCCUUAACCUAAGUCUCGUUACAACUUUCUAAAGACCACUUGAUUGGUGUAUCAUCUUGAUUUGUUUUUAUAGUGGUGGAGAUUUGGUUUUCAAGCAAGCCUAUGAUAAUCACAUUUUUCGUUCAACCGUUGAGCACACAGUACUUGAACCUUAAACACUUUGAGUGCUUUGAGUGAAUCUUAGUUAGGGUAUUGAUUAUUGUUGAGUUUGAAUUUCAGGUAAUUAUUGAGAUAGAGGAGACGCCUAUGUUUUUUGUGCGUUUCAAAUUUCUACUUAGAUUGCUUUUAUUCUUUCGUGUCAUGCUAGUUUCAAUUUCCAAUGCAUGAUAAUCUUUAGAGUAUUCAUAAGGCAUGUCGGUGAAAACACUAAAUUGAGGGAGAUUAACUUGAAUAAGGGUUGAGAAUUUUGCUUAGGGACAAACAAAUGCUUAAGUGUGGGGAUAUUUGAUAAGUGCUAAAAUUGAUAUGUUUUAACAUCAUUCUUAAUGUGUUUUUGGUUGAUUAUUCGAUGUUAAUUAUGCUCUUAAUCCUUACAAUUCGUGUUUUUAUGCUUAAUAGAACAUUUGGGAGGAAAAUGAGCGAAAAAUGAACGAAAGCCUAAAAAUGUGGGCAAACUAUAGGACACGGGUUGGCCUAUUCCACAUGACCGUGUGACCCACACGGUGAUGUGGCAGGUUGUGUCAAUUUCGUAGAUUUGCACUCUGAACUGCAAAAAAAAUGCAAAUUUUAGAUUUUUCGAGAAUUUUAAUACGUAUAUAUAUGAAAAAAAAAGAAGAUAAGAGAGAACCUUCCUAGAAUAUUUAAGAAAACAACUCCAAAAACACUAUUGAAGUCGUCUCUGAAGCAGAUUUUCAUCAAGUUUGAAGAUUCCCAGUUGAUUUCUUAAGAGAUUAUCAUGAGUUUCUUUAUUUCUUUCGGUUAUACUACCCUUUGGAUGUUUUUAUUUUUAAGCAUGAACUAAUUUUCUAAAUACCUAAGAGAGAUGAACCCUAUGAUAGAUUGUGACACCCCAAACCAAACCGGGAUAGACCAGCCCGAAUUCGAAGCAUUACAUUAGCCACCUAAGUGACUCUCCAGCUAACGACCACCCAAGACACACCUCGACCUUAUAACACCUCAAUCUUAUCUAAUUACUAGUUAUUUAUUAAUGAAAAAGUAAAUUAUGAGCCAAUUUUAAACUUUUCCUAGGUAAUUUAACCUAAGGGUAUUUUUGUUAUUUUACCACCUAAUGUAAAACAAACCCGAUUUUAGAUCUAAGUGUUUACCAACCUUCUUUUAGUCAAAUUAUACAAGCCUAAAAUUUUCAACUUAAUUUGAGUCUGUUUACUAUGUCUAAUUCNNNNNNNNNNNNNNNNNNNNNNNNNNNNNNNNNNNNNNNNNNNNNNNNNNNNNNNNNNNNNNNNNNNNNNNNNNNNNNNNNNNNNNNNNNNNNNNNNNNNAAAUACCAAUUUAAAGAGACAAAAAUUCAAAACCCCAAAACCCACACAGGCAUGUGGGUAAGUGACAAGGGCGUGUGGAGACUAGAGCUAUCACACACUGGCGUGUGGGAUUGAAAAAUAUGAAAUAAAUUACUCCACUCAAUUUUCCAACAACCAUACUAUACUACCAAACCAAAAAAAAGGCUUGAAGUUUUGAAUAGGGGUGAAUCUAAAAAAGAAAAUUAGAAGAAUUAGAAUUAAAUUAUAAAAUUUUGAGAAGUUAAAAUAUAAUUUUAUCAUAUAUUAAUUUAUUAUUUUUUAAAGGGUCCUAAUAUAAUUUUUUCCCAUUUUGGUUGGGCCAAUACCCCUGCCUGCGUCUUUAAAUUUGCUCCAACCCUAAACCCAAUAUUCGAUUUGGAUUAACAACAAUAUAUAGGUUAGUAUUUGUGGGAGUUUGACGAAUAAAAAUUUCUUUUUUAGAGGUUUAAAUUAUAAAUUUUUGAAAGAUUAAAAUAAAUUUGUAUUUUUUUAUUUACAAAAUAUAAAAAGAAAAAACAUGUUUAGACAAGCCAAGAGACCUUUGGGAUCAUACGGGUGAUUUUGAGAUGUUAAUGGUUAUUUUGGUGGAGAGGGUAAAAAAGAAACAAAUGAUUCAUUAUAUAUAAUAUAAUUAUGAAAUUCAAGCCAUAUAUUGUAUGUUUCAUCCAUAAAAAUUUCAUGGAAGGUCCAAAGGUAAUUAAAUGACUUGUAGGCUUGCUGAAUUUCUUUGAAAGGCCCAAAGGCAAUUUAACAUUCACAAAAUAAUCUCUAAACACUGUAAAGACAAAUCAAAUCCACAGUAGCAUAAGAGUUGAUUAAGCUAAGCAUUGGCAAAUAUUACUUUGAUUUUGCAUGCAAUAUUGACAAAACCCCCUCCUACAUUAGAAAAACAACAUAAUCCAUGGAACAUUGAUAGACCAAUACAAAUUUAUUCGAGAAAAAAGUCUCUUUGUUUUGUAGAACAUGAUAGUAAAGAUGUGGAGUUUCGUUCUUCUUAUUGGCCUCCUUUAGUUUUCCUUGAUCAACAACCACUAGCCAAAAACACAAUUAGAUUAGAUUAUGAAUGAUACUUUCAACUAUGACAAUAUUAAAUACAAACCACUCUAAAUAACUUUAAAUAAAUGGAAAGCAGCAAAUUACCUGACCAGGCAAGCUAGUUUAAUUAAGACCAUUGUGUUAUACUUGUCUCUGAAUUGAAAAAUUUAGAAGGAAAUAAAGAGAAAGACUUAGAAAAUACUUGAAAACAGAUAAAACUUAUAUGUCAUUUAAAAUAAAAAAAAAUUCUAUUUAAGCCAUUUAAAAUUUUUAAGAUUUUUAAAAUUUUAAAAUGAGAAAAGUAAAAUUGUACUUUGGCACCCAAAAAUGAUAAAACUUUGAUUUAAUUCUUUAGAAAUUAUAAAAAAUAUAGGCUAUUAAAAUGGUGAAAUUACAUUUUUACUAUAGUAAAAAUUACAAUUUAAUUUCACCCCCUAAAAGGAUUUUCUGGCUUUGCNNNNNNNNNNNNNNNNNNNNNNNNNNNNNNNNNNNNNNNNNNNNNNNNNNNNNNNNNNNNNNNNNNNNNNNNNNNNNNNNNNNNNNNNNNNNNNNNNNNNAAGAUUAAAAUAAAAUUAUACCGUAAAUGGAAAAAGAAACUAAGAAAAUCCAAUCUAACAAGGAAAAUAACUUGAUGUCCAAAAGCUACCAUAAAUCGUAAUUCAUGGGAAGGCUUGUUGCUUAUUUUAUUGGUUUCCAUUUUGAUUUUGCAAAAGAAGUUUGAAUUUUGAAGAGAGCCUACUACGUGAGAGCAAAAGAAAAAAAAUAGUUUAUAUGAUUAAAUUCCAGAAUAGAUGAAAAAUGUUGAAUAAAAGAUAAAAUUAAGUGUGAAUUAAUAACCACAAUCUUUACUCACCAUCUCUGUUAACAAUGUUGGAUGUUGUUUACCAACCUUUGUUUGAUUUUCUUCAGCUCAACCACAACAUCUGCAAUUUCUAUCGCUCCUUUAGGCAAUGAACUUUCCAUCCAAUGCCUUAUAGUCUCUUCUUCAACAAAAACAUUAUCAGUUGGCUUUUUCUUUGUGAAAGUUUCUAUAAGGACGAUNNNNNNNNNNNNNNNNNNNNNNNNNNNNNNNNNNNNNNNNNNNNNNNNNNNNNNNNNNNNNNNNNNNNNNNNNNNNNNNNNNNNNNNNNNNNNNNNNNNNNNNNNNNNNNNNNNNNNNNNNNNNNNNNNNNNNNNNNNNNNNNNNNNNNNNNNNNNNNNNNNNNNNNNNNNNNNNNNNNNNNNNNNNNNNNNNNNNNNNNNNNNNNNNNNNNNNNNNNNNNNNNNNNNNNNNNNNNNNNNNNNNNNNNNNNNNNNNNNNNNNNNNNNNNNNNNNNNNNNNNNNNNNNNNNNNNNNNNNNNNNNNNNNNNNNNNNNNNNNNNNNNNNNNNNNNNNNNNNNNNNNNNNNNNNNNNNNNNNNNNNNNNNNNNNNNNNNNNNNNNNNNNNNNNNNNNNNNNNUUAUGUCGACCCUUUGUAUGAUAUCAAGGAAACAAUUUUCAGAAUGUAACCAUUUCUCAAGGUUUCCAUUAGACAUGUAAUCAAGCACCAAGGCUUUGAAGUCAACACUUGAGCUGCAAGUAAUGACCUUCACAAUAUUACGAUGAACUAUAUUACGCAUAGCAUCACAUUCAAUGUCAAAACUCCUAAAUGCUCCCUCUAUUUGCAAAUUGAAAACUUUUAUUGCAACUUCCAUUCCAUCUGAAAGCCUCCCUUUAUAUACAUAUCCAAAACUCCCUGAACCAAGCAUAUUGCUUUCCUCAAAUCCAUUAGUUGCUCGUGAAAGUUCAGCAUGUGAAAUUCUUCUCGGUGUCUUCAAAGACAACAAAUCAUCUUUAAUUGGUAGAGCUGUACGCCUUCUUUGGCAUCUUCUAUACAUAAUAGUUAAGACUAUUAGUACUACGACAAUGCCAAUUGUCGGUAAACCAAUAUAAUCAUUUGGGAGUUUUUGUGGAGGUCGUUUUUUACAAGGUGGGACUAGCAAUCUAGGUGGACCACAAAGUGCAUAAUUCUUCAUGAAUGAUGUGCUAGAAAAGUUUGAAAAACAUCCUUUGCUAGGAAUUUCCCCUUCAAGUCUAUUGAAAGACACNNNNNNNNNNNNNNNNNNNNNNNNNNNNNNNNNNNNNNNNNNNNNNNNNNNNNNNNNNNNNNNNNNNNNNNNNNNNNNNNNNNNNNNNNNNNNNNNNNNNNNNNNNNNNNNNNNNNNNNNNNNNNNNNNNNNNNNNNNNNNNNNNNNNNNNNNNNNNNNNNNNNNNNNNNNNNNNNNNNNNNNNNNNNNNNNNNNNNNNNNNNNNNNNNNNNNNNNNNNNNNNNNNNNNNNNNNNNNNNNNNNNNNNNNNNNNNNNNNNNNNNNNNNNNNNNNNNNNNNNNNNNNNNNNNNNNNNNNNNNNNNNNNNNNNNNNNNNNNNNNNNNNNNNNNNNNNNNNNNNNNNNNNNNNNNNNNNNNNNNNNNNNNNNNNNNNNNNNNNNNNNNNNNNNCCAAACAAGAGGGUAUGGAUCCAUGCAGCUUAUUCAACCCUAAAUACAUCUCGUAUAGUCUCUCCAAAUCACAUAGGCUUUCUAAGAUGGGCCCUUCUAAUUUAUUAGAGGAAAGAUCUAGAGCCUGGAGAUUUCGCAGUCCUCCUAUUGAUGCUGGAAUGAAUCCACUUAAUUUAUUAUGGCAAAGUUGUAAAAGCAAUAGGUUGGUUAAGUUACCUAUUUCCAUAGGAAUAAAGCCUGUAAGCUCACACUUUUUGGCAUGAAAGUAUUGAAGGGAUUUUGAAAGGUUCCCGAUAUAAGUAGGAAGAACGCCACUCAAUGGAUUUCCUGAAACUUAUAUGGUUUUCAAAUUCUUACAAUUCGUCAAAGAAGAAAGAAAGCUCCACUCAUGAUCAGCAGCAGAUCCUGUGAUCAAAUUAUUGUCAGGGAUAUGGAGCACUUCAAGGUGUUUUAAGCUGCCAAGCAUUUUAGGGAUUGGGCCAGAGAAUAAGUUUUGUGACAAGGAUAGAAUCUUAAGCAUGGAAGCAUUGGAGAUAGAGUUGAGAAUGUUUCCGCUGAGUUUAUUUCCCCACAAUAAAAGAAUCUCAAGCUUUGGAGCUUUGGAGAUGGGUGGUAAAUUACCUGUAAAAUAGCAUCUUUUAGUAUACAUAUUCAUUGAAUACCAAAUUCACAAAAUAUAUAAUACAUUAAAAUAAAAACUGUAAAACUUUAAAUCAAUUAAGAAUAAAAUUUUGGCAUAGAAUUAAAAAUACUUGAUGGAAUCUGACCUGCACACAUAGUCGAAAAUUGAAGUGAAAAUCAUACCUUCUAAACUGUUGAAGUAAAAAUACUUUAAGCAUUUUUUUUCCAUGAAAUUAACUAUUUUGCCUUGAAUGAAAUAAAAUGCUCUUACUUUUGUUAUCUAUUACAAACCAAACUCUUUUAUGAAAAAAAAUAUUUUAAAUUAAAGAAAUAAAGAAAAUUCAAUAUCUUCUAAAUCAAUUUUUAGAUUUUGUACAGAUGAUUUAAUGAUGAUAAAAAAAUUAUUAGCACUAUUUCUGAAUUAACAAAAAAUAGUGAUAUAUUUUAAUUAUAUUUAUUAUUUAUUAGUUUUAAUAAUGUUUUUUUUAAUUAUAUGAAGUAAAAUUAUAUUGUCUACUAAAUAUGAUACAUAUACUUUAAUUAUAACUUCAAAAUUUAUUAUAUAAAUUAAUAUAUUUUAAUUAUAUUCAACCAUUUUAAUAACAAAAUAAAAAAAACUAAUUAGAAUAAUUUAUUUUUUAAAGUUUAAUGGAAAUUAAAAAAUUAAAAAUAAAUCAAUUCAUAUAAAUCUUAUUGUUUAUUAUCAGAUUAAAAUGGUAAAAGUAUAUGACAUAAAUAGAAGAAACAAAUUCAACACAACGUUUUUGGAGUAUGGAAAUUAUUAAAGUGAAAAACAUACCUUCUAAACUGUUGUUAAAUAGUACUAUUUCUUCGAGCGUAGUUAAAUUAAAAAUACUUGAUGGAAUCUGACCUGCACACAUAGUCGAAAAUUGAAGUGAAAAACAUACCUUUUAAACUGUUCAACUAAAAAUACUUUAAGCAUUUUUUUUACAUCAAAUUAACUAUUUUGCCUUGAUUGAAAUAAAAUGCUGUUACUUUUGUUAUCUAUUAGAAAUCAAACUCUUUUGUGAAAAAAAUAUUACCAGAUAAUUCAUUCCAACCCAGGUAAAGCCUUUCAAGCUUGGGAAGAUAUUGACACAUAUCAUUAGGCAAAUUACCAGAGAGGCUAUUGUUGGAGAGAUCAAUGGUCUUCAGAGAAGAAAUGUUGAAGAUCGAAGUUGGAAUCUGACCUGUAAGGCCUUUAAUUGCUUUAAUACUAAGCAGCUCCAAACCAAGAAGGUUACCGAAUUCCUUCGGAAUUUGACCUACACACAUAGUCGAAAAAUCAAAGUGUCAAACUACCUAUUUUGUUAGCAUAAGUCAAAGAGGUUUUCUUUUCUGUUCUACAGUAAUUUGGAGAUGUUAGAUUUUAAUAUAUUUCAGCAUAUGUUUUUCAUCAAAUGAAAUAAAAAGUUUUUCCUUUUGUUAUCUAUUACAAAUCAAGCUCUUUUAUAAAAAAAAUACUUUAAAUUCAAGAAAUCAAGGAAAUUGAUUACCUUCUAAAUUAUUAAACCCCAAACGUAAUUCCUGGAGUCGUGUUAGAUUUCCAAUACUUCUUGGAAUGAUCCCCAUAAAUUGAUUAUGGGACAACCACAAAUUUUUAAGGUUGUUGCAUUUGCCCAUAUUUGACGGAAUGUUACCAGAUAAUUCAUUCCGACCCAGGUAAAGCCCUUCAAGCUUGGGAAGACGUUGACACAUAUCAUUAGGCAAACUACCUGAUAGGCUAUUCCUAGAGAGAGCAAUAGUCUUGAGAGAAGAAAUGUUGAAGAUCGAAGUCGGAAUCUGACCUGUAAGGCCUUUAAUUGCUUGAAUACUAAGCAUUUCCAAACUAAAAAGAUUACCGAUUUCUUCAGGAAUUUGACCUGCAGACAUAGUCGAAACAUCAAGGUGUUAAAUUACCUAUUUUGUUAGUGUAAAUCAAAUAGGCUUUUUAUUUUUUUCGUUAUGAAAUAAUAAGGAUAUGUUAGAUUCUAAUCAUAUUUAAGUAUAUAUUAGUUCUUGAAAGAAAGAGUUCUUAGUAUUUAUAUUGCAAAUAUUUUUUUUAAAAUUUUAAAUGGGGGGGGGGGCAAAUGUGUUUAAACUAAAGACAUCAAGAAAAAGGCAUACCUUCUAGGUUAUUUAACCCCAAGUCUAAUUGUUUAAGUUGUGUCAAAUUCCCAAUGCUUUUGGGAAUGAUCCCACUAAAUUGAUUAAUAGACAAUUCCAAAAUUUGAAGGUUGCAGCAUUUGUCUAUACUUGAUGGAAUAGAACUUGAUAAUUCAUUUCUACUCAAGUAAAGCUCUUUAAGGUUGGGAAGAUGGACACACAGAUCAUCGGGCAAGCCACCAGAAAGACUAUUAUCACGAAAAUGAAUCCUUUUCAAAGAAGAAAUGUUAAAGAUGGAAGAUGGAACCUGGCCAGAUAAUUGAUUGAAUCCCAAGGUCAAGAUCUCUAGAUUGGACAUAUUGACAAGUGUUUGAGGGAUUGUGCCUGUGAAGUUAUUAUUACUCAUUUCCAACCUUUGAACUCUGUGCAAGUUCUCAAGCCAUGAUGGAAUUUCCCCAUUAAGACGGUUGUAGCUUAAUCGAAUGAUCCUCAAACGAUGCAAUUGGCCCAGUUCUUUAGGCAGAUGGCCACAGAAAUUGUUGUUGCUCAAAUCGAGAGAAAAUAGAAAUGAAAGAUUUCCAAGGUGUGGAGGGAUAGUACCCCUAAGAUUCAUGUUUGUAAGAUUCAAAGCUACAACUCUUUCAUGGAUGAUGCCACAAGAAACACCAACCCACUUACAAACAGAGGUAGAGUUCGUCCAAUUGUUUGCCAACACAUUUUGAGGAUCGACAAUGCAAUCUUUAAACUCAAAGAGUGCAAACUGAUCGGAGUUGAGAUUCCGGACUGUCAUAGCCAAAGAAACAAUAGAACAUUGUAUGAAUAAAAGUGAAAGAAGAUGAAAGCAAGUGUUGUAGUUCAUGAUUGCAAGACGAAAUAAGCCAGGAAAAGAAAAAGUAGGAAAAGGGAAGUUGAAUUGAUGAAGAAAUAGCCAGCCAACAUGCUUAAAUAGGCUUCAACCCUUGCACACUUCUCAUACAUAAAGUUCACUGCCAUUACAACAAGAAAACUCAUAUCUCCAUUCAUACCUAUCCAUACUUUAUUUGACUAACUUUUCCCUAACAAGUGUUCAGUAAGGAGACAAAUCACUUCGGAGCUAUUCACCGACUUCUCCAACCUUGGUUUCAAACUCCUAUCCCAUCAAUUCACUGUAAUCGAAACGAUAUACACGAGUCUUUCGGCUUAUAUUUUUAAAAUGUAUUUAAAUGAUUUUUUAUUAAUUUUAUUUGUUUAUAUCUAAAUCAAAUAUUAAAAUUUUUAUUUGAUACGGAUUUAAAUCGUAUUAUUUUAUCCUUGUAUCGAAAAAAAUUAAAUAUAGUAAAUUCUUGAAUUUUGUAAUAUAAGGGCUAUGUAUGCUUUUUAUCAUAACAACGUCUGGACAAUCUAGACAUUUUAACUUGCUACUUCUCUUUUUAAUUUAAUUUUUGUUACUUUUCAUACUAUUUUUUGAGAAAUCCAAAAAUUUCAGUCUGAAUUUUUUUUUAUUGCCACGUCUAUCUCCCGGGUAAGUCCGUGGUUAGGCAGCACACUUUGGGGGCAGGAUUGUAAUUUUAAUUCUAUCCGACUCAUUUUACUAUUUAGAAAUAUAAAAGUAAUGUUAUAUUAAAUUUUAUAAUUUUAAUUUUAAUUUUAAUUUUAAUUUUUAAACAAUAAAACGAGUCAUUUGUAUUUCCCUAGCUAAAUUGAAUCAAGAGUGAAAUUUUUUUUAAUCAUAAUUUACUAUUAUUUUAAUUAAUAAAAUUUUAACCUACUGCAACUAGUAGUUGCAGAAAAAAUGUCAUUCCUUUAGAAAAAUGAGAACUUAUGACAAAAUUGGAAAAUCCCAAUAAUAUUAUUAGAGUAAAACCUAUGAUCUAUCUAAACAAGAUAUAGAAGAAUUUGAUAUACAAAUUAAGGUUAGAAUUCAUGCGAAAAAAAAGAAGAAGAAGCUAGUAUGGUCAUUAAUUAUAAAGAUUAAAUCAAAAUAUUAUUUUUUAUAGUUACUUGAAUUAAUCAGGCUAAACAAACAAAAUAUUUUAGUAAAUUUGACUAUAAAUCAAGAUUCAACAAAUCAUGCUAACAGAAAAGUUCAAACUUUUAACGGCUUUUAGUGCACCCAAUGGAUAUUACCAAUGAAAAGUGAUGUCAUUUCAAUUAUGUGAUGCACCACAAAUCUUCCAAAGACAAAUAGAUUUUAUCUUUAAUAAAUAUAAAAAAAUACUAUGUAGUUUACAUAGAUGAUAUUUUGAUAUUUUCAGAUACACUAGAAUUACAUAAGAAACAUUUAAAUAUUAUUUCUUAAGAAUUCAUAAAAUAUAGAAUCAUAUUAAACCCUAAAAAUAUAGAGUUAGAAAAAACAGAGAGAAUUUUUACAAUAGUGGAAAUAAAAAAUUGUCCUCAAAAGAUUGAGGAAAAAAAGAACUUCCGACAAUUUGUAAUAUAUUCCUCCCAAAUUUUCAGUUUCAAUUUUAUUACAGAAAUUUCUUUGCCGACAAUAAGAAAAGAGCAUAUUCACAUUUUCGUCGCAAUUUCAACUAACACCCAAUCUCUUUCCCACUUUCCUUUUUCGGCCAAUUUCAAACGUAGCUGUUUUUCGAUUUUUCCUCUUGAUUUCAUUAAUAAAAUGAUCAAUCUAUUUGUUUUUUAAAUAUAUGAUUUUAUUAAUAUUUUUUAAUUAUAAUAUAAGAGUUGUUGUUUAUUUAUAGUUUUAUUACAUUAUUUACUCUCUUUUUUCUAUCAAGUUUUUUAAAUUACAAUAUAAGACUUAUUUUAUCAAAUUGUAGCUUAUCGAGUAUUCAUCUAUCUUAAUAAUAACUUGAGUUCCAAUCAUUAUCAUACCAGAAAGAGUUCCAUUUAUUCUUUCUCGUAAAUUUUAUAAAAAAUAUAUAUUUUAUUAUAAUACUAUAUGUGUUAGGAAUAAUAUUUUAUUUUGGAUGCCCAUAAUUUUCAAAGUUGUAACCUCUAAUGUAGUAACCUCAAUGAAAUUAUGAGGCUUUUAUAUUGUCAUAAUGUAAUCAAGCCUGUAUUUAUUCUUUGUAACUUAAACAGAGGCAUAUUUUCUAUUAUAUUGAUAUUUUCUAUAGAGAUAUAUACACAAGGAAUCAAAUAAAAAGUUAUUCACCUUUCUAUUAUAUUGAUAUUUUCUAUUUGAUUUGUUCUUUUCUUUCACUAUUCCAUAAUAUAUUAUCAGUACGAUUUUAAUUAAGAGUAAGAUGUUAUUAGAUUGUGUCAAAAUUUUGUUGGACUCCUAAGUAUUGGAAUUUAAUUGUUUAGGUUAAGAAUCAUUAGAAUCAAUGGCUACUUGAGAUAUGCUUGAGGAUGAUCUCAUUCUCUUCAUCACAAAGGUGGAGGUUAGAAAAUCUUUAUGUUUAAACAUUUAUAGCUUCAAAGUUAUUUUAACCUCUUAUUGAGACCUUAUAAUAUUUUGUAAUUUUUUGUCUUAUGGUAUAUAAAAAAAUAUCUAACCAUAGUGAUUGAUUAGUAAUAAGAAUUUGUUAUUUGUUAUGUUUAAUAUAUAUUUUAUUUAUAUUUAUUCAUUUUAUUUUUAUAUGAGUAAAUGAAGUGUUUGAAGAUUCGAAAUUUUUAUCUUCCAUGUUAAAAAUAAGUGCAAAAGUGUAUAUUAUUUAAAAUAAAUUACGCAUUAAUGUUAUAUGAUAAAAUCAUUACAUGUUCGGAAGAACUAAUAUUGCAUCAAACUGUAAAAAGCUCUUGAAGAGUUAAUAUUUUACCUCCUUGUGAUGUAAAAUCUUAUAAAAUAUGAUAUUUUUUUUCAAAUCAAGAAUAUAUAUGUUGAAGGAAAUCUUUAUGUAUUUUACAUUAAAACCAUGGAUAAAAAUGACAUGAGAUACUCAUGUAUUUGUAUAUAAAUAUUCCUUGAAGGAAUACACUUCACUUGUGUGAUUGACAUAUGAGCUCAUGUAUCACAUGUAUACAACCCAAAGUUUACAGUAUUAUUUCUUGAAAUUAUUUGUGUCGAAACCAUUUUUGAUAAGACGGGAUCGACUUGGAUUUUGUAAAAUAAAAAUGGGAGUCGCCACCGAUCUUUUAUUGAGAUGUGAUCGGAUCACCUUAAAAAUGAUUUUGGUAUACGAGUUUUAGAAAAAUAGAUUCGGGAGUCAGUUACGUACGAGGAAGGAUUGGCACCCUCGUAAUGCCCAAAAUUGGUACCGAAUUGAUUAUUAAAUGUCUUAAGGUCAAAUGCCAAAAAAAAUGAUUCCCCUUUUAAAUUUUUAUUCAAAUUUAUUAUUUUGAAAACUAAAAAUUUUGGUCAUCUUGUUUCAAUGAAGAAAUUGAAACCCCGUAAGUUAGGGUACAAUUCUUUGAAGUUCCGAUGACAAUUUACGAACUUGCUUUUAUUAAAAACCUCGUCUCGAGAUAACAAAAUGCCAUAUCCAAUGAGUUAGGACACAACACUUUGAAUUCUCGAGAUAAGAUUUGAUUUGAAAUUUUACGUUUGGAUUGAAAAAAGGAUACCCGGGUACUUAAAUUCAACGAGGAAAAUUGAAGCCCACUAAGUUAGGGCACAAUUCUCUUUGAAAAUCUAAGAUACCGAGUAUUGCUUUAUUUUAUAAAUCCUUGAAUGAAAAAAUGAAAGGUGAUUAAAUGACAAUAUGCAACGCGAAAGGAUAAUUUGUAAAUAAAUCACACAUUAAUCAAAUGAGCGGUAGAUAUAUACAAGCAAGUAAUACACAUAGCAACAAUAAUUUCAUGUAAAUACCCACAUUGGCUAAUAAGAGGAAACUAAUUAAAAUCAAGCAAUUUUCCAUAAACACUAGCGAAAUAUACAAAUUUUAAUAUAAUUUAAGAAAUAAAUAUAAUAUUUAUAAAUUAAAAUAUUAAAAUAAAUUUAAAUAAAUUAACAAUAUUGAAAUAAGUUGAAACAAAUUAAAGAUGUUAAAAUAUUUGAAAGAGAUAAAAUAUCUAUAUAAUAAUACGAAACUAAUAAUAGAAUAUGUAUGUACUCGUGUAUAUUAAGAUUUAUGUAUAUGUAUUUACAAAAUAAAAAAAAAUGUAUAAGUAUGAUAUAUAAGUAAAUUAUGAAAAUGUGUAUAUGCAUGUAUUAAAAUAUGUAUAUAUUUAUAAGUAUAUAUGUAUAUAAAAAAUGAAAUAUGCAAAAAAUGUAUUUACAAUAAUUUUAAAAAAAAAUGUACGUAUAUGUACAUUAUAGAAAAUGUAUGUAUAUACAUAUGGAUUAUAAAGUGUGGAAAAUGUAUAUAUAUUAUAAAAUGUAUAUGUAUAUAUACAUAUGAAAAUUAAAGAAAUAUGUAUUUAGAUAUAUAUAUAAAUACAUAUAUAAAUUGUAUAAUAUAAAAAAAUGUAUGUAUAUAUUAAUUAUAUAAAAAAAUAUGUACGUAUAUUUCAAAAAUGUACGCAUAAAUAUAGUUAUAAUAAUAUUAAUAAAUAAUAAUACAAUAAUAAUGAUGCAAUAUAACAGUAUUAACAAUAUAUUAAAAUACUUAAAAAUCCAAAAAAAACCAGAUUAAGGAUUAAAAGUGGAAAACACAAAAAAGGACCAAAUCACAACGCGCGCAACAAGAAGAGGACCCAAAGGGAAAUAUCCCCACGCUAAUCCCACAGCGUCGUUCUAGUGAGACCUAUGCGCAUGGUCUUUGGGUCAAAUUGAAACAGGAGAGAAAUUUUGUGGCCAAAAUUGCAAAUAUGUGAAAAAACUUCAUUGAAAAUGACACAAAAGCUAGGGACCGAUUACGCAAAUAUCCCCGCCCGUUAAAACACGCGGGUCACCUAGGUGGGUUGGGUCACACUCGCGGGUAUAGGCUUAUACAACGCUAUUUUGGGGCCACUAAAAUAGGCCUAAAACGACGCCGUUUCAUGCCUGUUAUAAAAAUCAAAAUUUCCCUAAAGAAUUCAUCUUUCUGCCAAUUUUUUAAAAACGAACAACCCUAGCUUUCUCUGCUAGGGUUUCUAAUUUUCCUAUAGCCGCUGCCGCCGCUAGGCCGUUCCAAGGGCCCCGAACCCUGCCCGAUUUUCAACGGCGACGGAGCAGACAGAGAUUCAACACUUCAGGUAAUUUCUUUUUUUUAAUUGAUUUUUUCUUUACACACAACGAAUAAAAGAUAAAUAAUAAAAAGAAAUAGAGACAUCAGAAGGGAAAAGAAGAAGAAAAAAAAUCUUAAAAACUCACUGCUAUCUUUUUUUUUUGAUCUUUUGAAUCAAUUUUCGUAUUCCUUUACACUGAUCUUUUUUCUUACACUGUUUUUCUUUUUCUAUAAUUUUUACAAUCUUUUCAUUAUCCUAGCCUUCUCUUGCGGUUCGAUAUUUUGUGGUAGCAUACUGAAAGGAUCGUGUACAACGUGCAGGCGACAUGCUGCGAGAGAGGCGAUAACUACUAGAGGGAGAAUGUGCGGCGCUGGGGGAGAAGGGUUAGGGUUUCUGGAAAUAGUUUAGAAUUAGGUUAAUUAGGUUAGGCUAGAUUUGGGUUUGGAUUAAUGUAAUUGGGCCACAUACAUUAGGUCUUUACUUGUAAAUGGACUGGGCACUUUUAUAUUUGGGCCCGAGUUAAAAUUGGCUAUUACAGCUGCCCCUCUUUGCUUGUUAUUGUGUAAUGAAAACAUAGCAAAGACUUCAGAAAUAGCCAAUUUUUCCUGGUCGUGCUGGACCUUAGCACUCUUCCUCUUCAAGUAGCCUCAUUCCAACCUAUUGCAUCUUCAGAGGUAUAGGAAUUGGUGCUUCGAUCCACUCCACUACAACAUUGGGGAAAUAUAAUUAUUUUCUUCAAUCUGUUUCACUGCAACCUUCAGGGAAACCAUAUUGGGUUAUUUAGUCUGCUUCACUGCAACUUUAGGGAAAUAAGACUAAAUAUGAUCUACUCUCUGCAACUUUAGAGAGAUAAAGACUUGAUAUCUUCAAUCUGCUCCACUGCAACCUCAGGGAGAUAGGAUUUACUAUCUUCAGUCUUCUCCGCUGCAAUCAGGGAGAUAAGACCUGAUGCGAUCUACUCUACUGCCAUUUUAGAGUGAUAAGAUCCACCACUUUAAUUCACACCACUGUAACUUCAGGGAGGUAGGAUUAUUGGCUUUAAUCUACUCCACUGUAACUUUAGGGAGAUAAGAUUCGCCAUCCUAGAGCUGCCCCAUUGCAAUGUUAGGGAAGUAAGAUUCAUUGUUGUAGCUUCAAUCUAUUUAACUGUAAUGUCUAGGAAACAAGAUUCGUCGUCGUAGCUUCAAUAUGUUCCACUACACUGGCCGGGAAGUAAGAUUCACCGUUGUGGCUUCAAUCUAUUUAACUAUAAUACCACAGAGAUAGGAUUCGCUGCCCAUAGCUUUAAUCCGCUCCACUUCAGCUAAUCCAAGUCUUAACGCCAGGGAGAUAAGAUUUGCUACCCUCAGCUUUAAUCUGCUCCGCUGCAAUGCCAGGGAAGUAAGAUUCGCUGUUGUAGCUUCAAUCUAUUCCAUUCAACAUCAAGGCGAUAAGACUGGUGUCUUCGAUUUGCUUCGCUGCUAGUACAAGAAGACAAGAUCUGCUAUUUUCAACCUACUCCACUAUUACUCAGGGAGAUAAGGCUAGUGUCUUCGAUCUGCUUCGUUGUCAGUUUAGGAAGUCAAGAUCUGCUAUCUUCAUUCUGCUCCGCUGCAAACUCAGGGAGGCAAGGCUAGUGUCUUCAAUCUGCUUCGCUGCCAGUACAUGAAGGCAAGAUUUGCUAUCUUCAACCUACUCCACUGCUGCUCAGGGAGAUAAGGCUGAGGUCUUCGAUUUACUUCGCUGCCAAUACAGGAAGACAAGAUCUGCUAUUUUCAACCUACUCCACUAUUGCUCAAGGAGACAAGGCUGAGGUCUUCGAUCUAUUUCACUGUUAGUAUAGGAAGGCAAGAUCUGCUAUCUUCAAUCUACUCUAUUGCAAACCCAGGGAGGCAAGACUGGUGUCUUCGAUCUGCUUCGCGGUCAGCACAGGGAGGCAAGAUCUGCUAUCUUCAUUGAUCUAUUCUCUAGAAACAUGACUUGUAUAAUCCAUUUUAUGAACCUAAUUAUGCCUAGUGAUUAGGAUGACAUGAUUAGAAUGAACCAAAUGCUCCUAGCUAGACGUUUAUGAAUGACAUUUGAAUGAAUGCAGAAUGUCAUUUUUUUGAGAAUGAUCAUUCUUUAUCACUCAGGUUGUCAUUACUCAAAGUUUAUUAAGGAUUUAUCACUGACGUGCUACAAUGCCUUCUUGCUCAGCUGGCAUUUCUGAAUAAACACUUAAUCAAACUAGCCCCACCGUGAACUUCAAAGCUUAAUCUACUGGGACGCAAAAUUUGUAUCAUCUUUCUCCCGUUGUGACCCAAGGGUAGAAAAAUCUGACUUUUUAUCAAUCCUCUCUCAUCGGAAUUUCAAGGAUACAGAAUGUGAAACUCUUUGGUUCUUUACACCAUUCCCAGGGUGUCAUAUCAAAUGCUGAUGCACAAAUGAAGGAUUCUCUUCUCUAAGGAAACCCCUUUCUAUUGCUUGGUGAUUAUUGCUUGCUUGUUCAUUUAAGCCUCAUCACCAACCUUACAUCUUGUCAUUUUGUUCAAUCAAUGUUUUUGACAACAAAAUAUGAAGGGAUAACUUUAAUUUAGAUUUUUCCUUCUUAGAUUUCCAACCUUUAAACUUGGUGCAUUCUAAACAAUAGUCAUGUUUCAAGUUACCGUAUUAUUUAGAAACUUCUAGAGUAAUAUGCAAAACUUCCCUUAUGAAAGUUUUACCAGUCCAUUAAUCAUUAUUCUAAUGCAACACACUUGCAAAAAGAAUAAAACAAUGGAUAAAAUAGAAUUGAUUUGAGAGUAUAGCUUGAAAUGAAUAUAUUAUCAAGAAUAUUGAGAAUAAAAGAAGAAUUUACUUGUAUCUCAAAAAAGAAUGAAGUAUUCCAAGAAUAAGCAAUUCAAUAUAAAUAGUAUGAAGACUAGGUGCCCCAAAUAUCGCAACUUGAACUUCUCUGCACAAACUUGCUGAAGACCAUUUUGAGUUUAACAUGUGUUUAGGAGAUCUACAAUACUCUGUCGAUGCCCCAAGAUGUCGCAUACCCUUUCCUGCUGAUUCAGGUAUAUCAAGACCACCACAUGCCCCACUCUGGUCAAAAUCUGAGCUACUCUAAUCACUUCCUGCCCUAUUCUGAUCAAAAUUUGAGCCGCCUUUUUCGGGUUUUCAACUCAAAUCCCCAUUGGUCUAAGGCGCCUUUUACGAGUUUUCACCUUAGCCUCUCCAUUUUUACUUGUUCAUUUUUCAAUUUUCAUUUUCAUUCCCUUUUUUUUACAACUCAAAGUGCCCUUUGCGGGUUUUCACCUUGGUCCCUUCUCCUUCCUUAAGCAAAGUAUUUAUUAACUGAAUUUGAGUUUAUAGGACUUGGUAGGUUUUUACCAUCCAUCUCGCUCAAAAUCAAAACUCCUUUGGAAAAAGCCUUCUCUACAACAUAAGGUUCUUCCCAAUUUGGCAUCUGUUUCCCUCUAAAAUAUUUUUUGUAGAAGGAGGAUCUUCAACAUUAGGUCACCCUCGUGGAAUUCUCUAGGACGAACCUUUUGUUAUAGGCUCAUAUCAUUUAUUUCUAGUACAUCUGACUGUGAUGAAUAGCUUUUAGCUUUUUUCAUUCUAUCAGGUUCAACUGAUCACAUCGCGAUUGGAUCCGUUCUGCUUCAUCCAACUUGCUCAACCAAUACCCGGAGAGAAAGAAUUUUGACUUUAAUGGAAAAAACUGUGAUAAACUAAAGAGAGAGGCAUUGCCCCCGGUAGAAUUUUCAUUGCAUCAUUCAUGAUAUUAAUCUUGAACAUACUGUAAAUUUCUGAUAUCGUGCUGUUGUUCAGAUUGCAAUGACAAUGCUUAACCCGAGCAAAUCCUGGUAUGACCAUGCGAAGACAUCUUUGAAUUCUUGAAGUUACUCAAAAAUGUCUUGCUUUGUUUCGUCGGUCUUGCAUGUUCCCUCAAGGUCACAAUCUCCAUUGUCUCCGCAUGAGGUAAAUUUGUUUCUCUUCUUGCUUUACCAUCCUCAACAAGUCCGGAGAUAGGCUACAAUCUAUGUCAUUUUCAAAGUCAUGAAAUCCUUCUAAACACAUGUCUCGCUCAAAAAGAGAUUACAAGUCUGUAGUAACGUCAUUCAUGUCAUUGAUAUCCAAGGACCUAUUGUAAGUAUAAGAGAAUAUACAAAGAAUGCAUGAAUUUAUGAAUAAUUAUUUAUACAAUAUGAUUAUGAAUGAAAGAAUGAUGUGAAAGAAAAUCCAAAAGAAUGAAAGAAUAAUUAUUCGAAAAGAAUGAAAGAAUAUUGGCUCAAAAAAAUGAAUACAAAGAUGUAUUUUAUUAGAAUAAUGACGUUCAGACAUGAGCCUAUUUCAAAAAAGAAUUCUUAUUGCCUCUAGGCUAAAAGCAACAAGUGUCCUGAACAUUACUCUAAGUAUGCACUAAAUACUAUAGAGAUUUCUUCUACAAUUCAUUUAUUUAAAACACUCCCAUGUUUAUAAGGGUGGAUAUCUAACAAGGUCCCUUUUCAAUUGUGUCUUCAUAUCUGGCAUUGAUGUGAACGCCUCUCAACACUUCUUCAUAAAUCACAUUCACCACAUUAUCAACUGUGAUUGGGUAGUGAAUUUUCUGCACUAGAUGAAUCGUCAAAUUUGACAACGCCUAUACUGAUAAGCCUUUCAACCACUUUUUUAAAGGCAAUGCAAUUUUCUAUGGAAUGCCCUGUAAUUCCCGCAUGAUAAUCGUAUUGUGCACUUGCGUCGUACCAUUUGGGAUAUAAAGGCUGUGGGGCUUUUGAGUAGAAAGGGGAAACAACGUGCGCAUCGAAUAAGUUUUGAUAUAGCUCCUUAUACGGCAUUGGAAUUGGCGUGAACUAGAGCUUCUUAGUACCUUGCUUCACACCUGAUUCUUGUCUUAAUGACCCCUACUGAUUAGUAACCAUGUUUCUUGGCUGAUUCACCAUAAUCGAUUUACUGUAUGUAUUCACACUGUUCACCUCAUUUUCUUUUUCUUUUGAGGAUUGCCUUCUGUUAUUUCCUCCAGCAUCAAUUUUUCCACUCCUUAUGGCGCUUUCAAUUAUUUCACCAUUCAUGACUAUGUCAGAAAAACUUUUUGUGGCACUUCCUAACAUAUGUGUGAUGAACGGGGCUUUCAAUGUGUUUAUAAAAAGUAUUGACAUUUCUCUUUCCAAGAGCGGUGGCUGAACUUGGACGGCGACCUCCCUCUAUCUCUGUGCGUACUGCCUAAAACUUUCAUUCGACUUCUUUUCCAUGUUUUGCAAGGUGAUUCUAUUAGGACCCAUUUUUGCUACAUGACUAUAUUGCUUCAUAAAAGCCUGUGCCAAAUCUCUCUAGGAGCUAAUCUUGGUACGACUCAUUUGAUUGUACCAUUUAGACGCUGCCUCCGUGAGGCUAUCCUGGAAGCAAUGUAUUAAUAGUUUGUCAUUAUUAACAUACCCAGUCAUUCGCCUACAAAACAUGGUAACGUAGGCUUCAGGGCAACUGGUCCCAUUAUACUUCGCAAAUUCUGGUAUUUUAAACUUAUAAGGGAGCACCAAAUCUGGGACCAAACUCAAAUCCUUAGCAUCCAUCCCACGAUGACUCUUAGUGCUUUCCAUUGCCUUGAAUUUCUCUUCAAUCCAUUUCCACCUUUCUUUUAGCUGCUUUGGAAAUUCUUCUUUUAUUUUUUCUUUUUCAACUGCCUCAUCAAAAUCAGGGAUAACUGGAUUAACAGGAUUAUUCUCGGGACUACAGCCUGAUCUAGCUUGGAAAUUCAUUGAUCUUGAAGUAUCGGUCUGAAACUGCUGAUGCCUGAUUGUGACAGAAAAUUUACGCAGGUAAACUUCAGCUUGGGGCUGCGCAUGUGGAGGAGUAAAGCCUGGAGGAUACAGGGGUCCAUCAUCACCUUCCUCUUCAACAUUGGCCACAGGGCUCUUUCUCUUAUUCUUUUCGUCAGUCAAAAGUCGCGUUAACUGUGUCAUCAUGCUCCCUUGGGAUUCCAUCAUUUUGUCCAUCAUAUUCUGCUGAAUCUUCUCGAGCUGUUCUUUCAUUUGCUGCUGAAGUUGAUCCUGCAUUUCUUUUUGAAACUGUUCGAGCCUUUCCAAUCUUUGGUCUAUAUUUUUCAACUUUGCUCGUGUACCAUAAUUGAGGAAUGAUUUUAAUCAAGUAGAACUUUUUAAUAGUUUUUAAUGCAUAUGAUGCAAUGUAUGAAAUGAAUGCCUAAAGAUAUGUUGAUUCUAAUUCAACUACAUUUAGAAAACUUUACUAGAAAACAAACUUCUUUACAUAAAACGAAUGCAUGUACGGCCUUGCCCUCAUACUCCAAGAAACAACAUCGAUCUUUCUUUAUCCGAAUGUUAAGAUAAAUCUCAUGAAUUUCCAAUGGAUGCCACUACUAGCUCCUUUUUCUUGAUCCUGGUCACUAUCCAUCGUUUGCCCAUCCUUGUAAUGCUCAUCAGCUUCUUUAAGGAAGUUGGAAUGUUGGAAACUCUUAAAUAAUCAACUUGAAUCCUUGAACCACAAAGUAAAGUCAUGUAUUCCUCCAUCACCUUUCUUGUGUUUCUCAAAAUAUAUUCAUGACGCCAUGCACUCAAAACAAAAUGCGACAAGUCAAUAUCAGGUAUAAAAACAAAAAAAAAAAUACCUACUUAGGUAACUACUAGGGUUUGGUAUAGUUCUAUCUAGGGCAAGUUCCUAAGGUUCACUAUAUGAGAUUUGACUUCUAGGGAAAAGGUACCCAAACCAGCAGAUUCCUCGAUCCUCACCCGUUAUAGGCUCAUGCGAUCCGAGUUCGGUUCAGGGGAAUACAUUUCCCUAUGGCUACAUGGAGAUAAAAAUCUCACGAAGACAUAGGUACGGAUGUAUCCGGAAGCGAUCCACUAUCCUGCACGGAGGUAAAAAUCUCACGAAGGACUAGUUUCUCACUCCCACUUAGAGGGGUAAAAUUGACCAACCUAUGCAAUGCAAAAUGCAAAUUUACUAACAAACUCAGACCAAUCAAGCAAAUAUGCCAUGCUGAAAAAUAAUGAAUGAAAAGGGGAAAUCAUAAAUUUUAAAACAAAAUUUGAUUUUUCAACCAAAAGACAAAAAUUAAUCAAUUUACGGCUCGACUCUCUAACCAGUCCCCAGUGGAGUUCCCAAGCUGUCGAAACCAUUUUUGAUAAGACAGGAUCGACUUGGAUUUUGAAAAAUAAAAUGGGAGUCGCCGUCGAUCUUUUAUUGAGAUGUGAUCGAAUCACUUUAAAAAUGAUUUUGGUCUACGAGUUUCAGAAAAACAUAUUCGGGAGUCAGUUACGUACGAGAAAGGAUUGGCACCCUCGUAAUGCCCAAAAUUGGUACCAAAUUGAUUAUUAAAUGUCUUAAGGUCAAAUGUAGAAAAAAAUGAUUCCCCUUUUAAAUUUUUAUUCAAAUUUAUUAUUUUGAAAACUAAAAAUUUUGGUCAUCUUGUUUCAAUGAAGAAAUCGAAACCCCGUAAGUUAGGGUACAAUUCUGUGAAGUUCCAAUGACAAUUUACGAACUUGCUUUUGCUAAAAACCUCAUCUCGAGAUAACAAAAUGCCAUAUCCAAUGAGUUAGGACACAACAUUUUGAAUUCUCGAGAUAAGCUUUGAUUUGAAAUUUUACGUUUGGAUUGAAAAAAGGAUACCCGGGUACUUAAAUUCAACGAGGAAUAUUGAAGCCUAGUAAGUUAGGGCACAAUUCUCUUUGAAAAUCUAAUAUAUCGAGUAUUGCUUUAUUUUAUAAAUCCUUGAAUGAAAAAAUGAAAGGUGAUUAAAUGACAAUAUGCAACGCGAAAAGAUAAUUUGUAAAUAUAAUCAAAUGAGCGGUAGAUAUAUACAAGCAAGCAAUACACACAGCAACAAUAAUUUCAUGUAAAUACCCACAUUGGCUAAUAAGAGGAAACUAAUUAAAAUCAAGCAAUUUUCCAUAAACACUAACGAAAUAUACGAAUUUUAAUAUAAUUUAAGAAAUAAAUAUAAUAUUUAUAAAUUAAAAUAUUAAAAUAAAUUUAAAUAAAUUAACAAUAUUGAAAUAAGUUGAAACAAAUUAAAGAUGUUAAAAUAUUUGAAAGAGAUAAAAUAUCUAUAUAAUAAUACGAAACUAAUAAUAGAUUAUGUAUGUACUCAUGUGUAUAUUAAGAUUUAUGUAUAUGUAUUUACAAAAUAAAAAAAAUGUAUAAGUAUGAUAUAUAAGUAAAUUAUGAAAAUGUGUAUAUGCAUGUAUUAAAAUAUGUAUAUAUUUAUAAGUAUAUAUGUAUAUAAAAAUAAAAUAUGCAAAAAAUGUAUUUACAAUAAUUUUAAAAAAACGUACGUAUAUGUACAUUAUAGAAAAUGUAUUUAUAUACAUAUGGAUUAUAAAGUAUGGAAAAUGUAUAUAUAUUAUAAAAUGUAUAUGUAUAUAUACUUAUGAAAAUUAAAGAAAUAUGUAUUUAGAUAUAUAUAUAUAAAUACGUAUAUAAAUUGUAUAAUAUAAAAAAUGUAUGUAUAUAUAAAUUAUAUAAAAAAUAUGUACGUAUAUUUUAAAAAUGUAUGCAUAAAUAUGGUUAUAAUAAUAAUAUUAAUAAAUAAUAAUACAAUAAUAAUGAUGCAAUAUAACAGUAUUAAUAAUAUAUUAAAAUACUUAAAAAACCCAAAAAAAAACAUAUUAAGGAUUAAAUUGAAAAUAAAUGGAGUUUGGGGGCUGAAUUAAAAGUGGAAAACACAAAAAAGGACCAAAUCACAACGCGCACAACAAGAAGAGGGCCCAAAGGGAAAUAUCCCCACGCUAAUCCCACGGCGUCGUUCUAGUGAGACCUAUGCGUAUGGUCUUUGGGUCAAAUUGAAACAGGAGAGAAAUUUUGUGGCCAAAAUUGCAAAUAUGUGAAAAUAAAACUUCACUGAAAAUAACACAAAAGCGGGGGAACCAAUUGCGCAAAUAUCCCCACCAGCGAAAACACGCGGGUCACCUAGGCAGGUCAGGUCACACUUGCGAGUAUAGGCCUAUACGGCGCCGUUUUGGGGCCACUGAAACAGGCCUAAAACGACACCGUUUCAUGCCUAUUAUAAAAAUCAAAAUUUCCCUAAAGAAUUCAUUUUUUUGCCAAUUUUUAAAAAACUAACUAACCCUAGCUUUCUCUACUAGGGUUUCUAAUUUUCCUAUGGUCGCCGUCCCUGCUAGGCUAUUCCAGGGGCCUCGAACCCCGCCCGAUUUUCAACGGCGACGGAGCAGACAGAGAUUCAACACUUCAAGUAAUUUCUUUUUUUUAAUUGAUUUUUUCUUUACACACAACGAAUAAAAGAUAAAUAAUAAAAAGAAACAGAGAAAUCAGAAGAGAAAAGAAGAAGAAGAAAAUCUUAAAAACUCACUGCUAUCUUUUUUCUGAUCUUUUGAGUCAAUUUUCGUAUUCCUUUACACUGAUCCUUUUUCUUAGAUUUUUUUCUUUUUCUAUAAAUUUUGCAAUCUUUUCAUUAUCCUAGCCUUUUCUUGCGGUUUGGUAUUUUGUGGCAGGUACAUACUGAAAGGAUCGUGUACAACGUGCGGGCGACAUGCUGUGACAGAGGGGAUAACUGCUGGAGGGAGAAUGUGCGGUGCUGGGGGAGAAAGGUUAGGGUUUCUGGAAACAGUUUAGAAUUAGGUUAAUUGGGCUAGGCUAGAUUUGGGUUUGGUUUAAUGUAAUUGGGCCACAUACAUUAGGUCUUUACUUGUAAAUGGACUAGGUACUUUUUUUUUUGGGCCCGGGUUAAAAUUGGCUAUUACAAUUUGAUUCUACACAAUCUUUAUAGUAUGCAAUUUGUGCUAACAAUGUUGGUGCAUUAUAUCCUAAGCUUGAUUUUCGUAGUUUUAGCUAAGAUAAUAUUAAGUUGUCUAUGCCUAUAUAUGUUAUACAUAAUGGUUAGCAAAAUUAUGCCUUCAUUUAAUUGCUUAACCAUUAAUAUAAGAAUAACUUUAAAAUAAGCAUAUGAUUUUAUUUGCAUAGAGCCAACAUGUAAGAAACAUUUAUCCCAUGAGAAUUGGCUUUCAUUUAUAAGCUAAUAGGUUUCAUUUAUGACUGUUUGGAUGUAAAAAUAUCUAUUUUAUAUUCCACCAUAAUGCACUAAGAUGGACCAUCAAGUAUAAAGUUGAGAAAAUUUAGAAUUUUUAUUUGAUGGUGAAAGUUGAAAAGAGAUAUAUAUUUAAAAUUUUGAAAAAACUAGUCAUGUUGCAAAUUUUCUUAGUAUUAGAGGGAGACAAGUUGGAAAAAUAAGUAUAAUUAUGUCAUCACUUUUUGUGAUCCCUCACUAAUAUUAUGUGCACAAAGUUUGAAGGAAAAAAGUAUUUGCUAGACAUGUUUAGUGAUGCAAUUUAGAGAUUAUAUAUACUAGAUGAUACAUAUACCAGCUAAAAUGUUCCAAAUAAUUAUGAGUUCUAGAAGGACAAAGUGAUAAAAAUAAUUUUUGGGCACGCUAGAAGGAUGAAAACUAAUUGAUUCUAUAAAUAAAAAAUUCUUGAAAGAAAAGAGUAAGAAAUGAAGCUGGCCACACGUUAAAGGAGACGAGUACUCAUGAAGAGACCCAAGGCAUAACUUUUAAUAAAACCCCAAAAGAGGUUCAAUACAUGAAAUUAUGAAUAUAAUAAGAUAUCUCGAUUAGUUAUGUCAUAACUAAAGAUGAUGGAGUUGAUUAAAGGAAAUUGUUGUUAACAACGAUAAUCUAUGUAGAAUAUUUCAAUAUUAUGGGAGUAUUUUCAAUGAAAAUAUACUUGAAAGAAUUGAGAUAGGAAUAAUUCAUCAAAAUAAAUAGAUGUUUCUAUUAUAACUUAUGAAAUGUGUCUCUGUCAUGAAGUCCAAACAUCCGGCAGGUGUAAAGCCAAGUGGAGUAUAUGUUAGCAUAAUAGCUAAAAAAUACAAAUCAUAAUAUAUAGAAUUGACUUGUAAUACAAACAUUCACAAGACACUUGAUUUUGAUUAUAAAAAAUGAUUAAUUUGUGAUCUUAUCAAUUCAACAUACUUCGUAUAAUCAACGAAUUAUCAAUUAACCUCAUUUAACCAAUUUCCUUUAACAUAUUUCAAAUCAAAUUAAUAUGUUGAGCACGCCCUUAACCCUUUUUCUUGAUUCAUUGCAUAGUCUAUCUCCAAGUACCAUAAUCAUCAACAUUUCAAUAUAUAAAGUCAUAACACAAUGAAUCAUAGUUAGAAUUUUUUUUAUCCUAUUAACCAAGUAUGGAACAAAAAUAAAAACCUAAUUUGUCAAGCUCAUUCAAUCAGCUUAUAUUUUAUAAGAAGAGCCUGACUACAAAUCCUAUACAUGAUUUCAAAUUCGACUAUUUGUAUUUGAGAUUGAAUUUAAAAUUCAUGCUGAAAUUAUCAAAUUAACUCGCAAAGCUACUCAAGCUAAACAUUAAGGUACUUGAAUUCAAGUGGGUAGAUAUCACAAACUCUUUUAGCUUGUAAAACUAUUUCUAAGGGUCAGCCCAAAAUCAUGUUUGUGCCCAAAAUCUGGUAACAAAUAUUUAAUUGAGCCAUCGGCCUAAAACAAAAAAGGCUUAAAAGGUUGGCACUCGAACUAUCAAAGAUAAACACCACCAUACACUGCUCCUCGAAUCCGAUACAUAUAAUAACACCCUUUGCCAAUUUUGUUCUUCUCAUUUUCUUUAACCUCAAUUUGGAAGGUCCCCUUUCUCUCUUUAGUGCUUUCUAGGGUUUGGGUUUUAAGAAUCCUCAGAGAUGCAAUUCAUGGAUCCCACUAAGAAACAAAAGCUUGACGAAAAUGGUAUUAUUUCAGCAUUAUCGGAACCUGACCCAAUCACCAAACUAACCCCACAAGAUGGGCGCAAGCUAAUCAAACGAUUCACAUUCAAUCAACUCCUUGACAUCCUCCAAGAUGUCGUUUGUUGUCACCUUGAUGUUCUUUCCGCCGUACGCUCUAUUGCCGAUCAAGAUCCAUCUCAAAGGAAGCUCUUCAUCCGUGGGUUGGGUUGGAAUACUACAACCCAACCCAACCCACAUUAGUAUGCUACCAUGAGGUAAUUUCUAGUGAUUUCUGUCUGUAACAUUAGACAGAUUAACAGUUAAAUCGUUCAACUGACAGAUUUCAUUAAAGAAAGAAGUCAAUUGAUUUUUUUUUGGAAUCAUUGAGUACUCAAUUGGAGCACUUUUUUCAUAAAGAUUAAAUUAAUUUUUUAAUUUGUUAUCGCUGAGAGCUACAGUAAUAAAAAAUUUUGAGGUAAAAUUGGAAUAACGGCCCAAAAAUCUAAUACUUAAUUUGUAAAAUUUUAUCAUUAAUAAGUAUUUGUCUUAGUGGUUAAGUAUUUGAGUCGUGUUUAUAAAAUUAAUUUUUAAUUUUUGCGUGGGUCGGGUAGGUGGUUGAGUUUGAGUCCAUUUCGAACUCUGGAAAAAGGUGGUUGGUUAUCUGAGAUGGGGUUAGUGCUUAGUAGAUUUGGAUUUGGUUUAUUUUAAAAUUUAUUAAUCAAUUUGUUAAAAAAAUAAAUUAGUUUUUUCCUAUUUUUUGGCUCACCAUUCUUUCUUUUGUUUUUCUUUAUGCUUUCUUUUUCUUUUCUUUUUCUGUUACCUUUCAAAUCACGUCGAUUUGUUCCUAUUUUGCUUUUGAGUUUUUCUUUUCUUUCCUUUAUUACGCUCCCUCUACGAUCGGGUCUUAAUUCCUUAAUUAUUUUCUCUUUGUUGGCGUUUCUCAUUCGUAAGUGGGUUAGUUUCGUUUUGAUGUGUUUUUACGUGGUUAGUAAAAGAAAUGUGUUAAGUUUUGGAUUAUGGAGUUGAUCGUUUUUAAUCAAUUCUCCAGUAAGUUGACUCGUUUGCUGUUGUAAUGUGCUAGGGUAAGAGAUUAAUUCUGAUUUGGGCCUGUGUGGUGUGUAGAUUUCCCAUGUGAAUUCGUUUGAUAUUUUUAGGAUAAAUCAUUCUUUAAAUCGUAUUGCUGAUGUUUUAAUUUAUGCAUUUAGGAUCUGGUAGUCUUGUAGGUGUUUUCGCAUAAACAAUUCGAACCAUGUGUGUAACGAAAAACCCGACAACAACGAGCGACGAAAGCUAAAAAAUUGCACUGUCGAUGCCACACGGCCAUGUGACAAGCCGUGUGCUGGACCGUGUGCAACACACUAUCUGAGCUAGUUGAGCCAUGUGAAACAAGAAACUAAGAAAAUCCAAUCUAACAAAGAAAAUAACUUGAUGUCCAAAAGCUACCAUGAACCGUAAUUCAUGGGAAGGCUUGUUGCUCAUUUUAUUGGUUUCCAUUUUGACUUUUGCAAAAGAAGUUUGAAUUUUGAAGAGAGCCUAGUACGUGAGAGCAAAAGAAAGAAUUCUAUAAAGAUUUUGAAUUUUGAAUUUUGAAUUUUGAAGCAAAUUUUCAUUAAGAUUGAAGAUUUGUAAUUAAUUUCUUAGGAGAUUAUCACGAGUUCCUUAAUUUUUUCAGUUAUAUUGCCCUUUGGAUGUUUUUAUUUUUAAUCAUGAACUAAUUUUCUAAAUACGUAAGAGAGAUGAACCCUAUGAUAGAUUGUGACACCCCAAAGCCGACCGGGAUAGACCGACCCAAAUUCGAAGCAUUACAUUAGCAACCUAAGUGACUCACUAGCUAACGACCACCCAAAACACACCCCGACCUUAUAACACCUCAAUCUUAUUUAAUUAUUAGUUAUUUUAGAGAUUCUUAGCUUUGACAACUUCUCUCCACCACUUCUCUUACGCUCCUUCCAGGAUCUUGCUUUUUGUCUGUUGAAAACUCAAAUGAACAAAAUAAAGUGAAUUUAUGAGUUUUGUUUUCUUUUAAAAAUAUUUUUAAUAUUUUUGUGGAUAUCAAGAGAUACCAAAAAUUAUUUCAUUAAGAAAUUUUAAUUCACUCGAAAAGUUAGUGUUUUAUUUCAAGGGAUCAUAAUUAAUCAUUAGAUUUCUGAAUUUUAAAUUUUGAAUUUUUUGACAAUUGCGUAAUUAAUAAGUACCAAUUUUGAGUGUUGUAGGGCUAGUACAAUCUUCCUUACACAUAACCGACUCUUGAUCUAAUAAAUAUUUGUCCUUAUACUUUGAUCUAAAUAUUUUGAUCUAAUAAAUGUAAAAAAACCUUUUAAACAAAAUAAGGUUGAAAUAAUCUAUUUGUCUUUAUACUUUGAUAAAAUUUAAGAUUUAGUCUGUAUACCUAAAAGGUUAAAAAUUAAGUCUUCUUGUUUUUAUUUAAAAAUCUUAGUCCUAUCGUUAAUUUUUUUUUGUUAAAAUUUACCAACUUGACAUAUUAAUUAGGUUUCCCUUAUAUGUCGUGGUAUACGACNNNNNNNNNNNNNNNNNNNNNNNNNNNNNNNNNNNNNNNNNNNNNNNNNNNNNNNNNNNNNNNNNNNNNNNNNNNNNNNNNNNNNNNNNNNNNNNNNNNNNNNNNNNNNNNNNNNNNNNNNNNNNNNNNNUUGAAAUACAAGAACUAACAACAUAUGUUAAAAUAUUACUAGUAAAUUAUAUAUCUACAACAAGAAUUGUAAAAUUCUGCACCUUUCGUUAUAAUAUGAUUUAUUAAUUUUAAAUUUUUUACAGAAUAAUAUGCUUUAAACUAUUUUUUGUAUCACUUAUAAAAAUUAUAAUAAACUUACAAAAUGAUUUCAUCAUAUUUAAUUAUUAACGGGAAAAAAUGAUACCAUAUAUAUUUUGUAUAUAUUAAGAUUCCGAAUCAUUAAUUAUAUAUCUACACAUUAUAAUAAAUUCAUCUUUCAAAAUUUUCCUUAUAAUUAAAUCAUAAAUUACAUUUAUAAUAUUAAAAAUAUAUUAUAUCAUAAAUAUUCUUUCAAAUAUUUUUUAAUGUUUAAUAAUAAGUUAAUUUAUAAAAUAUUCUUUCAAGAAAUUAACGUGAUGAGAUCAUUAGGUGCUUGGAUUUGGUGAUGGGGGAUGAAGAGAAAAGGGAUGGAAGUGAAGAAAAAUGUUGAGAAAUGGAAAGGGUUAGCGAGGGAAGCCGCCAUGAAAGUUUAUUGGUUCUAUGGAUAUGAACCUUCAAGCUUUUGUGGAUGAUGUUACUCAAAGGUUGUUGCAAGUAAAUUUUAAAAAAAAUUAGGUAAAAAGAAAAAAAAUUAGGUAAAUUUUAAAAUUUUAAAAUUUUAUCAUUAAUAAGUAUUUGUCUUAGUGGUUAAGUAUUUGAGUCGUGUUUAUAAAAUUAAUUUUUAAUUUUUGCGUGGGUCGGGUAGGUGGUUGAGUUUGAGUCCAUUUCGAACUCUGGAAAAAGGUGGUUAGUUAUCUGAGAUGGGGUUAGUGCUUAGUAGAUUUGGAUUUGGUUUAUUUUAAAAUUUAUUAAUCAAUUUGUUAAAAAAUUAAAUUAGUUUUUUCCUAAUUUUUGGCUCACCAUUCUUUCUUUUGUUUUUCUUUAUGCUUUCUUUUUCUUUUCUUUUUCUGUUACCUUUCAAGUCACGUCGAUUUGUUCCUAUUUUACUUUUGAGUUUUUCUUUUCUUUCCUUUACGCUCCUCCCUCUACGAUCGGGUCUUAAUUCCUUAAUUAUUUUCUCUUUGUUGGCGUUGCUCAUUCGUAAGUGGGUUAGUAAAAGAAAUGUGUUAAUUUUUGGAUUAUGGAGUUGAUCGUUUUUAAUCAAUUCUCCAGUAAGUUGACUCGUUUGCUGUUGUUAUGUGCUAGGGUAAGAGAUUAAUUCUGAUUUGGGCCUGUGUGGUUGUGUAGAUUUUCCAUGUGAAUUCGUUUGAUAUUUUUAGGAUAAAUCAUUCUUUAAAUCGUAUUGCUACCAUCGCUAAUGUGAUGUUUUAAUUUAUGCAUUUAGGAUCUAGUAGUCUUGUAGGUGUUUUCGCAUAAAAAAUUCGAACCAUAUGUGUAACGAAAAACCUGAUAACAACGAGCGACGAAAGCUAAAAAAUUGCACUAUCGACGCCACAUGACCAUGUGACAAGCCGUGUGCUAGACCGUGUGCAACACAGGAUCUGGGCUAGUUGAGCCGUGUGGAACACACAGAUGUGUGUGAAGACGUGUGCCACGCCAUGUGGGCCACACGAGCUGGCCAUUUAGGCCGUAUGGGACCAAAAUUCUAAAUUUUUUCCUAGGGUUAUACAUAGUGUGUAUAUUUGUCUCUAAAUUGAAAAAUUCUAAACAACUCUAAAUAAAUGGAAAGCAGCAAAUUACCUGACGAGGCAAGCUAGGUCAAUUACGACCAUUGUGUUAUACUUGUCUCUGAAUUGAAAAUUUUAGAAGAAAAUAAAGAGAAAGAGUUAGAAAAUACUUGAAAAUAGUUAAAAUUUAUAUCUGAUUGAUUGGAUAAACUACAAUCACCCAUAAUAGACCUUGUACUUGACUUUUUGUUGAGGGAGAUUGACUCGUUUAGGAGAAGUCUUUUGAGUGUUGUUUGCUAGGCAAUCGGUGCUGCCCUCAACAACUAAUGGUAGUGUCCCCAUGUCGGGAUUUUAUCCCUAGCCUCUACGGAAUAAUCAUUGAGGAUAUGUGCGUAGGGAUUCAAACUACCAACCAAUGCAUUUGUAGCCUUUACCUUGCAACCAUCUCCAUGAACCCAUAGGGUUCUUAGCGGAAUCAAGAAACGAAACCCUAACGUGAGAACAUUACCAUUUGUUGAAGGCUUUGUUAAUAGGGUCAUACCUAGGGAAGUUGGCAGGGGUCCAACCCCCCUUAAAAUGAAAAAAAUUCCAUUUAGGCCCUUUAAAAUUUUUAAAAUUUUAAAUUAAUAAAAGUAAAAUUGUACUUUGGCCCCCAAAAAAUGAUAAAAUUUUGAUUUAAUCCUUUAAAAAUUAUAAAAUACAGACUAUUAAAAUGGUGAACUUGCAUUUUGACUAUCGUAAAAAUUACAAUUUAAUUUCACCCCCUAAAAAGAUUUUCUGGAUUUGCCUCUAAUAAAAUCUUUGGAAAAUGAUUAAAAUAAAAUUAUUCUGUAAAUGAAAAAAGAAACUAAGAAAAUCCAAUCUAACAAAGAAAAUAACUUGAUGUUCAAAAGCUACCAUGAACCGUAAUUCAUGGGAAGGCUUGUUGCUCAUUUUAUUAGUUUCCAUUUUGAUUUUGCAAAAGAAGUUUGAAUUUGGACGAGAGCCUAGUACGUGAGAGUAAAAGAAAGAAUUCUAUAAAGAUUUUGAAUUUUGACUUUUGAAGCAAAUUUUCAUUAAGAUUGAAGAUUCGUAAUUGAUUUCUUAGGAGAUUAUCACGAGUUCUUUAUUUUUUCCAGUUAUAUUGCCCUUUGGAUGUUUUUAUUUUUAAUCAUGAACUAAUUUUCUAAAUAUGUAAGAGAGAUGAACCUUAUGAUAGAUUGUAACACCCUAAAGCCGAAUGGGCCAGACCGACCCGAAUUCGAAGCAUUACAAUAGCCACCUAAGUGACUCACCAGCUAACGACCACCCAAGACACACCCCGACCUUAUAACACCUCAAUCUUAUCUAAUAAUUAGUUAUUUUAGAGAUUCUUAGCUUUGACAAGUUCUCUCCACCACUUCUCUUACGCUCCUUCCAGGAUCUUGCUUUUUGUCUGUUGAAAACUCAAAUGAACAAAAUAAAGUGAAUUUACGAGUUUUAUUUUUUUUUAAAAAUCCUUUUAAUAUUUUUGUGGAUAUCAAGAGAUACCAAAAAUUAUUUCACUAAGAAAUUUUAAUUCACUCGAAAAGUUAGUGUUUUAUUUCAAAGGAUGAUAAUUAAUCAUUAGAUUUCUCAAUUUUAAAUUUUGAAUUUUUUGACAAUUACGAAAUUAAUAAGUACCAAUUGAGUGUUGUAGGGAUAGUACAAUCUUCCUUACACAUAACCGACUCUUGAUCUAAUAAAUAUUUGUCCUUAUACUUUGAUCUAAAUAUUUUGAUCUAAUAAAUGUAAAAAACCUUUUAAACAAAAUAAGGUUGAAAUAAUCUAUUUGUCUUUAUACUUUGAUAAAAUUUGAGAUUUAGUCCUUAUACCUAAAAGGUUAAAAAUUAAGUCUUCUUGUUUUUAUUUAAAAAUCUUAGUCCUAUCGUUAAUUUUUUUGGUCAAAUUUAUCAACUUGACAUAUUAAUUAGGUUUUCCUUAUAUGUCGUGGUAUAUGACUAACACAAAAUAAACAAGUUGACAAGUUUUGACAAAAAAUAUCAAAGAUGAUAAUAAAUUAAUUAAAAUUUUUAAAUUGAAAAAGUAAGGAAUUAAAUUUAUAACUUUUAAAGUACAAAGAAUGAACUUAUUGAAAUACAAGAACUAACAACAUAUUUUAAAAUAUCACUAGUAAAUUAUAUAUCGACAACAAGAAUUGUAACCUCUUAUAUUAUAUUCUUGUAUCUAUUUUUCAUCUUUCAUUAUAAUAUGAUUUAUUAAUUUUAAUAUUUUUAUAGAAUAAUAUGCUUUAAAUUAUUUUUUGUAUCAUUUAUAAAAAUUAUAAUAAACUUACAAAAUGAUUUAAUGAUAUUUAAUUAUUAACGAAAAAAUUAUAUCAUAUAUAUUCGGUAUAUAUUAAGAUUCCGAAUCAUUAAUUAUAUAUCUACACAUUAUAAUAAAUUCAUCUUUCAAAAUUUUCCUUAUAAUUAAAGCAUAAAUUAUAUUUAUAAUAUUAUAAAUAUAUUAUAUCAUAAAUAUUCGUUCAAAUAUUUUUUUAAUUUUUAAUAAUAAGUUAAUUUAUAAUAUAUUCUUUCAAUAAUUUAAUGUGAUGAGAUCGUUAGGUGCUUGGAUUUGGUGAUGGGGGAUGAAGAGAAAAGGGAUGGAAGUGAAGAAAAAUGUUGAGAAAUGGAAAGGGUUAGCGAGGGAAGCGGACAUGAAAGUUGGUUCUAUGGAUAUGAACCUUCAAGCUUUUGUGGAUGAUGUUACUCAAGGUUGUUGUAAGUAAAUUUUAUAAAAAUUGAGGUAAAAUUAAAAAAUGUUAGAGCCUAAUUUGUCAUUAUGACUAAAAUGUAAAACCAAAAUUUUUUGAAAAUGAAAAAAAUGGAAAAUCACAAAUUCUGUCACUUAUGUUUGCUUAAAAUAUAGUUUUGGACACCAAUCUUUUGAAGUAAAUAUAUGGUCACCAAUAUUAUCCAUUUGUUACUUUGUAAUAACUCACCUUAAACUUCAGUAAUUGACGAGCGCUUCCACAAACUAUGGAUGAUUUGGGGAUAAGAACUUCAAUAAUUCUGGAGUUAAAAGUGUAAACUUACUACUAUCUUAUAAGCAAAUAUUGAAAUUUAUCAUUAUAUUUUAAUUGAUACUUGUCAUUACACUUUGAAAAUAUAAGUAAAUUUACCAUUUAACUCAUAUGUGAUUGAACUUUGCAAGUAGACUUAAAAUUUUAUUUAAUUUUAUCACUAAAUUUAAUUUAUUUAAUUAAAUUUACAACUCAAUAUAGAUUUUGGUGACUUAAAACAAAAUUUUUUUUAGAAAAACUAUUCUUUCAGAUAAUUUUUUAAUGUUUAAUAAUAAGUUGAUUUAUAAAAUAUAGUUUCAUUGGACACAAACAUCCAAGGCGGUCAACAAACCACUGGUCAAAUUAUUUUGGAGAUAUAAUUUUUUUUUCUAAAUCAAGUGAAUUUACGAGUUUUGCUUUUUUUUUUAAAAAUAUAUAUUUUUUUAAUAUUUUUGUGGAUAUCAAGAGAUACCAAAAAUUAUUUCACUAAAGAAUUAAUUAGUGUUUUAUUUUAAGGAUUCACAACUAAACAUUAGAUUUUUCAUUUUUAAAUUUAGAAUUUUUUGACAAUCACAUAAUUAACAAGUACUAAUUUUGGGUGUUGUAGGGUUAUUACAACCUUCCCUACAGCUAACAGACUCUUAAACCUACUUUAUUCUCUAGAACUCAAUGCAAACCUCAAGUUUAUCUUUUUAAAAGAAUUCUAAAAUAUCUAUAUAAAAAGUGAUUUUUUUACAAAUCAGAUUUAACAAAAUUUUAAUUUUUUUAAAAAAUUUAAAGUGAUCUAAAAACAUAUUUUUAAGUGCUUUAGACCAUCCGGUGGUGAUUUCUUUAUUGUAUUAAAUGCUUGUAAUCACUCCUGAUAUAUUAUACUUGAGUUGUGGUAGAGUCAAUUGUCAACGUGCCAUAAUGUUCUAUUGAUGGUGAAAUUGAAGUUUUUGUUAUAUUAAUAGAGCUUGUCCUUCAAUGCGUAUAACAGGUGUUUAUUAUUUUUUCCCUUCAAAUUGUAUGAUCUCAUUCAUUAAAUGAAUUAGUGAAUUUCUCUUUAAAAAGUAUAAUUUUAAAAAUUAAAUACUUUAUAAAAUAUUUAAAACUAUUUAAAAAAUUGUCAGCGUUAAAACAAUCAACAAGAUAUAUUUUUCUCUAAAAAAUCAAUAAAACUAUGUUUGAAAUUUAAAUUUUUUUAACAAUAAUAUAUUUUAAAAUUAUUUACACCUUUUUUAUAUAUUUUGUCCUAACAUAUCAUUAUUUUCAACACUAUCGUAAUCCUAUUUUGAUAAUUCCCUUUCCAUACAUCCUUUUUUCUACAUAGAAUUUCGAAAGAAAAUGUGAAUUAAUGCAGACGUGAGAAGUCACCCAAUGAAAGUGACCUAAACCGACUUAUGGAAGAAUCAAACAAUAAUUUUGUAUCUUAUAAUAAUUACAUUUAUUAGUUUAUCAAUCAUUAUUUCACACAUAAAAAACACAAAGCAUAAAAUUCACUUUUAAAGUAUUUGGGUUGUAUUUGUAUUAUAGGAAAUGGAUUUAUUCUUGAUGCACAUGUUUUAUUAUAUUUAAAAAUUAAAAUUUAUGAUUGAUUGGGUUUUAGUUGAGUUAGUAUUAGUAUUAUUAUCACUGUAGUAAAAAGUGAACUCGAUCAUGCUCAAAUGCGUUUUAUCCUCCAAUUCAAGAGUUAAGAAAAAAUUAUUGAUAAUUAAAUUAUACAAUAUCUAAAAAGCAUUUAUAAAUAAUAUAAGGGAAAAAAAAGAGAGAGAAACAUAUUCAUAUCGAUGGGCUCUUUCAUUAUUAGACCUUUUUUCUCUCUCAAGUAAAAGUACUUAUGAUGAGGAUUAUGUAAAAUAAUGACCUGAAUAAUUUUUAACGUUUCAUCAUUGCAAAAAUGAAAUAAUAGAAAAGAAAGACUACCCAUUUUAUGAAAUAUAAAUUUUAAAUGAAUUUUAAAAUCUUUUUGUAGAAAGCUAUUUUUUUUAGGUGAUUCACCAAAGAAUAAAAAGAUGGGAGGUGAUUCCUCCUUUUUAAUAAAACCUUGUGCUUUUACAAACACCAAAUUAUUCCUAAGCUUUACAUUAAUAUACAUGAUUUAUUUGUUCGUUAUUAUUAUUUCUAUGAUUAUAAUAUUAUACUUAUUGGACUAUAAUCAUAACCAUGUUUAUUAUCAUUCAAUAAAAAUAAAUAAGUGUUAGGUGUAAUGGCAAUGUACAUUACACUGUUAAUAGGAGAUUAGGGUUUUGGACAAAGGAAGACUAUGAUUCGAAUUUUGGAGGCGACAUUCUUAAAAUGAGCAACCACGGAGCCCAAUUAUGAACCAUAAAAUGAACAUGAAAAGUACAAAAAAAAACACGUCUGUUAUCAAAUUAGUAAUCCAUCCCAAGGCUUAAAUUAACAAAUUUCACCAUGCAACCGUGUAGACUAUUUUAUGUAUAUACUAUAUUUAUUCUUUAUGCAAAUGUUUAUUAUAUUUAAAAAUUAAAAUAUAUGGUUGAUUGAGUUUUAGUUGAGUUAAUAUCGAUAUUGUUGUUAGUGCAAAAGAAUGUGAGUUCAAUCAUGUUUAAACGUUUUUAUCUUCCAAUUUAGGAGUUGGAGAGGAUUCUCAAUAGUUAAAUUAUAUAACUUUUUGUCUAUUUAAAAUUGGUUUAUAAAUAAUAUAAAUAAAAAGAUUUAAAAUAUAUAUAUUAAUAUUGAUCGGCUUUUUCAUUAUUAGACUUUUUCCCUAUAGGUAAAGUAUUUAUGGACAGGAUGAUGUAAAGUUAUGACCUAAAUAAUUUUAAACCAUUCAUCAUUGCAAAAAUGAAAAUAAUAGAAAUGAAAGACUAGCCAUUGUAUGAAAUUUGGCAGGCCGUGUCAAUUUCGUGGAUUUGCAUUCUGAACUGUGAAAAAAAAUGUAAAUUUUAGGUUUUUUCAAACAUUUUAAUACGUAUAUAUAAAAAAAAAAGAAGAUAGGAGAGAACCUUCCUAGAAUAUUUAAGAAAACAGCUCCAAAGACACUAUUGAAGCCGACUCUGAAGCAGAUUUUCAUCAAGAUUGAAGAUUCCCAGUUGAUUUCUUAAGAGAUUAUCAUGAGUUUCUUUAUUUCUUUCGGUUAUACUGCCCUUUGGAUGUUCUUAUUUUUAAGCAUGAACUAAUUUUCUAAAUACCUAAGAGAGAUGAACCCUAUGAUAGAUUGUGGCACCCCAAACCCGAUCAGGAUAAAACAGCCCGCAUUCGAAGCAUUACAUUAGCCACCUAAGUGACUCUCCAGCUAGCGACCACCCAAGACACACCCCAACCUUAUAACACCUCAAUCUUGUUUAAUUAUUAGUUAUUUAUUAUUGCAGAAGUAAAUAAUGAGCCAAUUUCAAACUUUUCCUAGGUAAUUUAACCUAAGGGCAAUUUUGUCAUUUUACCACCUAUUGUAAAACUAACUCGAUUUUAGAUCUAAGUGUUUACCAACCUUCUUUUAGUCAAAUUAUGCAAGCCUAAAUUUUUUAGCUUAAUUUGAGUUUGCUUACGAUACCUAAUUCAAGUUUUAUUAUUAAUGACUAAAUUGUAACUUAAACAAAUUAGAAUAUCAAUUUAAAGAGAAAAAAAUUCCAAACCCCAAAACCAACACGGGCGUGUGGGUAAGUGACACGGGCGUGUGGAGACUGGAGCUAUCACACAUGGGCGAGUGGGAUUGAAAAAUAUGAAAUAAAUUAAUCCACUUAAUUUUCCAACUACCAUGCUAUACUACCAAACCAAAUAUCGCUUGAAGCUUUGAAUAGGGGCGAAUCUAAAAAAUAUUAGAAGAAUUAUAAUUAAAUUAUAAAAUUUUGAGAAGUUAUCAUGUAUUAAUUUUUUAUUUUUUAAGGGUCUUCAUAGAAUUUUUUUUCACAUUUUGGUUGGGCCAAUACCCCUGUCUGCCUCUUUAAAUUUGCUUGAACCCUAAACUCAAUAUUCGAUUUGUUGUGGAAGUUUGAUACAUAAAAAUUUCUUUUUUAGAGGUUUAAAUUAUAAAUUUUUGAAAGUUUAAAAUAAAUUUGUCUUUUUUUAUUAACAAAAUAUAAAAGAAAAAAAAACAUGUUUAGACAAGCCAAGAAACCUUUGGGAUCAUACGGGUGAUUUUGAUGAUGUUUCAUCCAUAAAAAUUUCAUGGGAGGUCCAAAGGUAAUUAAAUGACUUGUAGGCUUGCUGAAUUUCUUUGAAAGGCCCAAAGGCAAUUUAACAUUCACAAAAUAAUCUCUAAAUACUGUAAAGACAAAUCAAAUCCACAGUAGCAUUAGAGUUGAUUAAGCUAAGCAUUGGCAGAUAUUACUUUGAUUUUGCAUGCAAUAUUGGCAAAACCCCUCUUACAUUAGAAAAUCAACAUAAUCCAUGAAACAUUGAUAGCCCAAUACAAAUUUCAUCGACAAAAAAGUCUCUUUGUUUUGUAGAACAUGAUUGUAAAGAUGUGGAGUUUCGUUCUUCUCAUUGGCCUCCUUUAGUGUUCCUUGAUCAACACAAUUAGAUUAGAUUAUGAAUGAUACUUUCAACUAUGAUAAUAUUAAAUACAAAACACUCUAAAUAACUCUAAAUAAAUGGAAAGCAGCAAAUUACCUGAUGAGGCAAGCUAGCUCAAUUAAGAUCAUUGUGUUAUACUUAUCUCUGAAUUGAAAAAUUUAGAAGGAAAUAAAGAGAAAGACUUAGAAAAUACUUGAAAACAGAUAAAACUUAUAUGUCAUUUAAAAUAAAAAAAAAAUUCUAUUUAAGCGGUUUACAAUUUUUAAGAUUUUUAAAAUUUUAAAAUGAUAAAGGUAAAAUUGUACUUUGGCACCCCCAAAAAUGAUAAAACUUUGAUUUAAUCAUUUAGAAAUUAUAAAAAUAUAGGCUAUUAAAAUUGUGAAAUUAUAUUUUUACUAUACUAAAAAUUACAAUUUAAUUUUACUCCCUAAAAGGAAUUUCUAGCUUCGCCCCUAAUAAAAUCUUUGGCAAAAGAUUAAAAUAAAAUUAUACCGUAAAUAGAAAAAGAAACUAAGAAAAUCCAAUCUAACAAAGAAAAUAACUUGAUGUCCAAAAGCUACCAUAAACCGUAAUUCAUGGGAAGGCUUGUUGCUUAUUUUAUUGGUUUCCAUUUUGAUUUUGCAAAAGAAGUUUGAAUUUUGAAGAGAGCCUACUACGUGAGAGCAAAAGAAAAAAAUAGUUUAUAUGAUUAAAAUUCCAGAAUGGAUUAAAAAUGUUGAAUUAAAGAUAAAAUUACUCACCAUCUCUGUUAAAAAUGUUGGAUGUUGUUUAGCAACCUUUGUUUGAUUUUCUUCAGCUCAACCACAACAUCUUUCAUAUCUUUUCUUUCUUCUGGUAACUCAGCUGAACAAUUCAAAGCCAACUCCAUGAUAGAUGAAAUACAAUUUGCUUUAACAACAAUGUACUCAUCCUCUCUUCUUAGUAAAUCAAUAUCUGCAAUUUCUAUCGCUCCUUUAGGCAAUGAACUUUCCAUCCAAUGCCUUAUACUCUCUUCUUCAACAAAAACAUUAUCAGUUGGCUUUUUCUUUGUGAAAGUUUCUAUAAGGACGAUCCCAUAACUAUAGACGUCAGAUUUUAUAGAAACAAUUCCUGCUGAUCCAAAUUCUGCAUUUCAAGUAUAAUUAGAACAUCAUUCAUCCUCAAUUAUUUCUAAAAUGCUUAUUCAAAUAUAUAUCCACAUACACAUGAAACCAAAAUAAAAUGUAAAUUAGGAAAAUAAUCAUACAAAAAUAAAAAAGAAUUCACCUGGUGCCAUAUACCCGGUAGUUGCAAGAGUCAUGGUUUGCUUCAUUACUUCACCUUCUCCCAACAAUUUGGCAACGCCAAAAUCUCCGACAUGUGCAACCAUGUCUUCAUCUAGUAAAAUAUUGCUUGGUUUUAUGUCACAAUGAAUUAUAGGUGUUGGAUGUCCAUUGUGGAGGUGUUCUAUACCUACCGCAACAUCUAUCAUUAUGUCGACCCUUUGUAUGAUAUCAAGGAAACAAUUUUCAGAAUGUAACCAUUUCUCAAGGUUUCCAUUAGACAUGUAAUCAAGCACCAAGGCUUUGAAGUCAACACUUGAGCAGCACGUAAUGACCUUCACAAUAUUACGAUGAACUAUAUUACGCAUAGCAUCACAUUCAAUGUCAAAACUCCUAAAUGCUCCCUCUGUUUGCAAAUUGAAAACUUUUAUUGCAACUUCCAUUCCGUCUGAAAGCCUCCCUUUAUAUACAUAUCCAAAACUCCCUGAACCAAGCAUAUUGCUUUCCUCAAAUCCAUUAGUUGCUCGUGAAAGUUCAUCAUGUGAAAUUCUUCUCGGUGUCUUCAAAGACAACAAAUCAUCUUUAAUUGGUAGAGCUGUACUUCUUUGGCAUCUUCUAUACAUAAUAGUUAAGACUAUUAAUACUACGACAAUACCAAUUGUUGGUAAACCAUACCUAAAAGCAUGCAAUAUAAUCAUUUGGGAGUUUUUGUGGAUGUCGUUUUUACAAGGUGGGACUAGCAAUCUAGGUGGACCACAAAGUGCAUAAUUCUUCAUGAAUGAUGUGCUAGAAAAGUUUGAAAAACAUCCUUUGCUGGGAAUUUCCCCUUCAAGUCUAUUGAAAGACACAUUAAAAUACUUUAGAUAUAAAAGCUUUUCCAAAGAUGUGGGAAUGACUCCAGAGAGAUUGUUAUUGCAUAAAUCCAAGAAUUCCAGACUAAUUAACCCAUCAAAUGAUUCAGGGAUAUGACCAUGUAGUAUAUUAUUUGAUAAAUCUAAUGAAACCAAAGUUUGAAGACCCCCAAAUGUGGAUAAGAUAUCGCCCGUGAGAAGAUUCCUUGAUAAAUUUAGUUUCAGUAGACUCCUCAAAUUUCCAACAUCAAUAGCAUGUGAAUUGUGAAGAUGGUUUGAUGAUAAAUCUAUUUCUAAGAUAUCUUUAAGAUUCCACAAAGUUGAGGGUAUUGUAGAACUCAAUUUGUUGGAAUCUAAGUAAAGAUAUCCCAAAGAAGUAAUAUUACCCAAACAAGAGGGUAUGGAUCCAUGCAGCUUAUUCAACCCUAAAUACAUCUCGUACAGUCUCUCCAAAUCACAAAGGCUUUCUAAGAUGGGCCCUCCUAAUUUAUUAGAGGAAAGAACUAGACUUUGGAGAUUUCGCAGUUCUCCUAUUGAUGCUGGAAUGAAUCCACUUAAUUUAUUAUGGCCAAGUUGUAAAAGCAAUAGGUUGGUUAAGUUACCUAUUUCCAUAGGAAUAAUGCCUUGAAGCUCACAAUUAGAGGCAUAAAAGUAUUGAAGGGAUUUUGAAAGGUUCCCGAUAUAAGUAGGAAGAACGCCACUCAAUGGAUUUCCUGAAACUGAUAUGGUUUUCAAAUUAUUACAAUUCGUCAAAGAAGAAAGAAAGCUCCACUCAUGAUCAGUAGCAGAUCCUGUGAUCAAAUUAUUGUCAAAGAUUUUGAGAACUUCAAGGUGUUUUAAGCUGCCAAGCAUUUUAGGGAUUGGGCCAGAGAAUAAGUUUGUUGACAAUUCUAGUUCCUUAAGCAUGGAAGCAUUGGAGAUAGAGUUUGGAAUGUUUCCGCUAAGUUUAUUUCUCCACAAAAAAAGAAACUCAAGCUUUGGAGCAUUGGUGAUGGGUGGUAAAUUACCUGUAAAAUAGCAUCUUUUAGUAUACAUAUUCAUUGAAUACCAAAUUCACAAAAUAUAUAAUACAUUAAAAUAAAAACUGUAAAACUUUAAAUCAAUUAAGAAUAAAAUUUUGGCAUGGAAUUAAAAAUACUUGAUGGAAUCUGACCUGCACACAUAGUCGGAAAUUGAAGUGAAAAACAUACCUUCUAAACUGUUCAACUAAAAAUACUUUAAGCAUUUUUUUUUCCAUCAAAUUAACUAUUUUGCCUUGACUGAAAUAAAAUGGUCUUACUUUUGUUAUCUAUUACAAAUCAAACUCUUUUAUGAAAAAAAUAUUUUAAAUUAAAGAAAAAAAGAAAAUUCAAUAUCUUCUAAAUAAUUUUUAGAUUUUCUACAGAUGAUUUAAUGAUGAUAAAAAAAUUAUUAGCACUAUUUUUGAAAUAACAAAAAAUUAGUGAUAUAUUUUAAUUAUAUUUAUUAUAUAUUAGUUUUAAUAAUUUUUUUAAUUAUAUGAAGUAAAACUAUAUUGUAUACUAAAUAUGGUACAUAUACUUUCAUUAUAACUUGAAAAUUUAUUAUAUAAAUUAAUAUAUUUUAAUUAUAUUCAACCAUUUGAAUAACAAAAUAAAAAAACAAUUAGAAUAAUUUAUUUUUUAAAGUUUAAUGGAAAUUAAAAAAAUUAAAAAUAAAUCAAUUCAUAUAAAUCUUAUUGUUUUUUAUCAUAUUAAAAUGAUAAAAGUAUAUGACAUAAAUAGAAGAAACAAAUUCAACACAAUGUUUUUGGAGUUUGGAAAAAAUUAAAGUGAAAAACAUACCUUCUAAAUUGUUGUUAAAUAGAUCUAUUUCUUCGAGCGUAGUUGAAUUAAAAAUACUUGAUGGAAUUUGACCUGCACACAUAGUAAAAAAAUUGAAGUGAAAAACAUAUCUUCUAAACUGUUCAACUAAAAAUACUUUUGUUAUCUAUUACAAAUCAAACUUUUUUGUGAAAAAAUUAUUACCAGAUAAUUCAUUCCAACCCAGGUAAAGCCUUUCAAGCUUGGGAAGAUAUUGACACAUAUCAUUAGGCAAACUACUUGAUAGGCUAUUGUUGGAGAGAUUAACGGUCUUCAGAGAAGAAAUGUUGAAGAUCGAAGUUGGAAUCUGACCUGUAAGGCCUUUAAUUGCUUUAAUACUAAGCAGCUGCAAACCAAGAAGAUUACCGAUUUCCUCAGGAAUUUGACCUGCACGCAUAGUCGAAAAAUCAAGGUGCCAAAUUACCUAUUGUGUUAGCAUAAGUCAAAGAGGUUUUCUUUUCUGUUCUACAGGAAUAUGGAGAUGUUAGAUUUUAAUAUAUUUUAGCAUAUGUUUUUUAUCAAAUGAAAUAAAAAGUUUUUCUUUUUGUUAUCUAUUACAAAUCAAACUCUUUUAUAAAAAAAAAUACUUUAAAUUCAAGAAAUCAAGGAAAUUGAUUACCUUCUAGAUUAUUAAACCCCAAAUAUAAUUCCUGGAGUUGUGUUAGAUUUCCAAUACUUCUUGGAAUGAUCCCCAUAAAUUGAUUAUAGGACAACGACAAAUUUUUAAGGUUGUUGCAUUUGCCCAUGCCAAAUGGAAUGUUACCAGAUAAUUCAUUCCAACUCAGGUAAAGCCCUUCAAGCUUGGGAAGAUGUUGACACAUAUCAUUAGGUAAACUACCUGAUAGGCUAUUGUUGGAGAGAUCAAUGGUCUUCAGAGAAGAAAUGUUGAAGAUCGAAGUUGGAAUCUGACCUGUAAAGCCUUUAAUUGCUUUAAUAUUAAGCAGUUCCAAAUUAAGAAGUUUAAAUCAAUUAAGAAUAAAAUUUUGGCAUGGAAAAAUGUGAUGAAAUCAAUUAGAAAGCUGAGACAUAAUAAGAAGUUUUGAGUAGUAAUUAGUCCUUGUGAUUUGUAUAGACAAAACAUAUAAUACACUAAUAAUUUUUUAAAAUAUUGUAAAACUUAAAAUAAAAUAAAAAUAAAAGUUUGGCACGAGAAUGUGGCAUCUAAUCAAUCUUAAAAAUGAGAUGACAUUGAAUAAUAAUUAGUUAUGAUUUGGGAAACAAAAAUGUUAGAGCCAUUGCUUUUAAUAUAAACUGGUAUGAUUUUUAUCUAUUGGGUUAAUUAUUUAUUUUUAUUAAAUUAUAGUGUAAAAUUUAAAGAUUAUUAUUUGCUCAAAAUUUUUGUAUUUUUCGUACAUUCAAAAUUUAAUCUUUAUAUUUUUUAUUUUCUCUAAUUUAGUCUCUCUACUUUUUGAAUUGAAUUUAGGUUCAUUUAUUAACACUAUUAAAAAAAAUUCUGUUAGUAUGGCAUUUUGAAAAAUAAAAUAAAUUUGAUAUCUAUGUUUUUAAUUAUUCCAAAUAUUGUUUUACUAUUUCAAGAUAAUUUUUUUGUGUCUAGAGCAAUAUCUUAAGAACUAUUGUUGCAUGUCUAAUUAUUCUAAAGAAUUGUCGAUUGAGUCUUAGCUUGAUUGCCAUGUGCAUUGUUGCCAAUGUAGGAGAAUGUGGGUUCAAGUAUGCUAAAGUGUAUUAUCUCCUAUUUAUGAAUUGGGGAGUUGAUAAAGUACUAGAUUUUGAUAUAAUUUAAAAUAUUAAAAAUUUAUUAAAAUAUUUUUUAUAAAAAUUGAUUGUACCACAAUAUACAAUUUUAAUAUCAAAAUUUUAAUUUUUUUUAAAUAUUAGCGAAUAUAUACUUUUUUUUCAAGUUACACAAUUUUACUAGUUUUUUACUUCUUUUUUUAAUUUUUAUCGUCUUUUAUAGUUUCUAAUAAUUUUUACAAUAUUUAGCAAUUUUUAACAAUUUUUAAUAAUUUUCUAAAGUAUAUGACCAAAAUAGAACAAACAAAUUCAACACCAUGUUUUUGGAGUUUGGAAAAAAUUAAAGUGAAAAAUAUACCUUCUAAUUUGUUGUUAGAUAGAUAUAUUUCUUCGAGUGUAGUUGAAUUAAAAAUAAUUGAUGGAAUCUGACCUGCACACAUAGUCAAAAAUUGAAGUGAAAAACUUACCUUCUAAAUUGUUCAACUAAAAAUACUUUAAGCAUAUUUUUUUUCCCAUCAAAUUAACUAGUUUGCCUUGAAUGAAAUAAAAUGCUCUUACUUUUGUUAUCUAUUACAAAUCAAACUCUUUUAUGAAAAAAAAUACAUUAAGCAUAUUUUUUAAGGUUGUUGCAUUUGCCCAUGCCAAAUGGAAUGUUACCAGAUAAUUCAUUCCAACUCAGGUAAAGCCCUUCAAGCUUGGGAAGAUGUUGACACAUAUCAUUAGGCAAACUUCCUGAUAGGCUAUUAUUGGAGAGAUCAACGGUCUUUAGAGAAUAAAUGUUGAAGAUCGAAGUUGGAAUCUGACCUGUAAGACCUUUAAUUGCUUUAAUAUUAAGCAAUUCCAAACCAAGAAGAUUACCGAUUUCCUCAGGAAUUUGACCUGCACACAUGGUCGAAAAAUCAAGGUGUCAAACUACCUAUUUUGUUAGCAUAAGUCAAAGAGGUUUUCUUUUCUGUUCUACAGUAAUUUGGAGAUGUUAGAUUUUAAUAUAUUUCAGCAUAUAUUUUUCAUCAAAUGAAAUAAAAAAAUUUUCCUUUUGUUAUCUAUUACAAAUCAAACUCUUUUAUAAAAAAAGACUUUCAAUUCAAGAAAUCAAGGAAAUUGAUUACCUUCUAGAUUAUUGAACCCCAAAUAUAAUUUCUGGAGUCGUGUUAGAUUUCCAAUACUUCUUGGAAUGAUCCCCAUGAAUUGAUUAUAGGACAAUGACAAACUUUUAAGGUUGCUGCAUUUGCCCAUGCCAAAUGGAAUGUUACCAGAUAAUUCAUUCCAACUCAAGUAAAGCCCUUCAAGCUUGGGAAGAUGUUGACACAUAUCAUUAGGCAAACUACCUGAUAGGCUAUUGUUGGAGAGACUAAUAGCUUUCAAAGAAGAAAUCUUGAAGAUGAAAGAUGGAACCUGGCCAGAUAAUUGAUUCAAUUCCAAGUUCAAGAUCUCUAGAUUAGACAUGUUAACAAGUGUUUCAGGGAUUGUGCCUGUAAAGUUAUUAUUUUUCAUUUUCAGCCUUCGAACUCUUUGUAAGUUCCCUAGCCAUGAUGGAAUUUCCCCAUUAAGACGGUUGUAGCUUAAUCGAAGGAUCCUCAAACGACGCAAUUGGCCCAAUUCUUUAGGAAGAUAGCCAUAGAAAUGGUUGCUACUCAAGUCGAGAGAGAGUAGAAGUGAAAGAUUUCCAAGGUGUGGAGGGAUAGUACCCCUAAGAUUCAUGCUUGUAAGAUUCAAAACUAUAACUCUUUUAUGGAGGAUACCACAAGUAACACCAAUCCAAUUGCAAACAGAGGUUGAGGCCGUCCAAUUGUUUGCCAAGACAUUUUGAGGACCUGCAAUGUGAUCCUUAAACUCGAGAAGUGCAAACUGAUCGGAGUUGAGAUUCUUGACUGUCAUAGCCCAGCAAAGUAUGGAACAUGGUAUGAAUAAAGCUAAGAGAAGAUGAAAGCAAGCUUUGUAGUUCAUGAUUGCAAGAUGGAAUAAGGCAAGAAAAUAAAAAAAGUAGGAAAAGGGAAGUUGAG
rnacentral:lncRNA from 1 species